UUUUUUUUCCUUUCGCGAGAGUCACGGUUUUGCUUCCCUGAGAGACACGGUUGUGCUUUCGCGAGAGUCACGGCCGUGCCUCUCGGAAACGAAAAAAUGUGUUUUCUGUCUUUUUUCUUUCGCGAGAGUCACGGUUUUGCUUCCGCUAGAGACAAGGGUGUGCUUUCGCGAGAGUCACGGCUGUGCCUCCUCGAAAACAAAAAAAAAACGUGUUUUCUCUUCUUUUUUCCUUCCGCGAGAGUCACGGUUGUGAUUUCAUAAGAGGCACGGGCGUGCCUUUUUCGGAAAGGGAAAAACUUAUGCUCCUGGUUCGGUUUCUUCGUCCGGUUUUUUUCAUGAAAAAAAGUUCGUCAAAACCUAUCAACAUGGGAUCUAGUUUUAAAGAUCUCGACGCGAGGAAUCCAACGGUGAAAGCGGUUUGAGAUUUGGACGCAUGGUUUGAGAGAUAAAACGUUUUGAAUAAACGGAUCUACGAAAAUAGGGAAAACUCCCAGGUUGCAACAAGUGGCACACUGCAUGUGCGCCACUUGUCACAACCCGGGGAAUUGGAGUGAUUUUUGCAACGAGUACUACUUGAAGGAAAUAUGAGGCAAUAAGAAAGUUGUUAUUUAUAUUUCUUUAUAUCAUGAUAAAUGUUUAUUAUUCAUGCUAGAAUUGUAUUAACCGUAAACUUAGUACAUGUGUGAAUACAUAGACAAAAUGAGUGUCACUAGUUUGCCUCUACUUGACUAGCUCGUUGAAUCAAUGAUGAUUAUGUUUCCUAACCAUAGGCAUGAGUUGCCAUUUGAUUGACGGGAUCACAUCAUUAGAGAAUGAUGUGAUUGACUUGACCCAUCCGUUAGCUUAGCACGAUGAUCGUUUAGUUUGUUGCUAUUGCUUUCUCCAUAACUUAUACAUGUUCCUCUGACUAUGAGAUUAUGAAACUCCUGAAUACCGGAGGAACACCUUGUGUGCUAUCAAACGUCACAAUGUAACUGGGUGAUUAUAAAGAUGCUCUACAGGUGUCUCCGAAGGUGUUUGUUGGGUUGACAUAGAUCGAGAUUAGGAUUUGUCACUCCGAGUUUCGAAGAGGUAUCUUUAGGCCCUCUCGGUAAUGCACAUCACUAUAAGCCUUGCAAGCAAUGUGACUAAUGAGUUAGUUGCGGGAUAAUGCAUUACGAAACGAGUAAAGAGACUUGCCGGUAAUGAGAUUGAACUAGGUAUUGAGAUAUCGACGAUCGAAUCUCGGGCAAGUAACAUACCGAUUGUAAGUGCAUCUAGUGCCACCCCUAGUUGGUUUUGGAGUACUGACGACAAACCUAGUUGAGGGACUAAUGUGUUUGUGAGAAUUGCAGGACAACACAGGUAGAAGUCCCUCAUUGAUUCGGUUUUACUACCAAAGAUGACCCCUAAAAAUGUAUGAAGACAUUGAAGUCAAAGGUGGUAUUUGAAGAUAUUCACAUUCAAGACUAUGACAAGAGAAGACACUAUACGAAGCCUAUGGAGCUCGAAGACUUAGAUCUUUCGUAGUUCUUUUUCUUUUUGUGUUGAGUCAUAGGAACCACCGUACUGUUAAGUGGGGUCCAAGAGAACUAGUCAGAAUGACUGAAGUGAUGCCUAAACCAAAAACCCAUGUCUUCCAGUGAAGACUAUGAGAUCGAAUCUUGUCCUGAGUCGGACAAGUCAGCUUUGCUUGUAGCCCAAAUAAAGUUGCCGUGUGAAUUUGAAAUCUGACCAUUGGAACACGUGUCAGUUCCUUAGUGACCCAGGGUCAUUUCGGACAAAUCAGGUCGGGUUGCCAAGUGGCUAUAAAUAGCCCACCCCCUACAACCAUAAACGGUUGGCUGCUUGAUAGUACGGCUUUUGUCGUUUGAGAGCAACCCACCUUGAAGCCUUUGAGAGAGAAUUCCUUGCGAGGAUAAAGCCCUAACCACCAGAGCCAGAGAGAAUUGGGCAUCACUUAAGUCUUCUUGUCUGUGUGAUCUGAAGACUUAUUACACUUGAGGACUGUGCAUCCUCCAGCCGGUUAGGCGUCGCGUUCUGAGCAUCCAAGAGACAUUGUGGAUUGCCGGUGAACGAAGUCUGUGAAGGUUUGGGAGUCUACCUUGAAGACUUACCAAAGUGAUUGGGCGAGGUCUAUGUGACCUUAGCUCAAGGAGAAUACGGUGAGGACUGGGUGUCCUGAGCUGCGUGUUCAGGACUGGGUGUCCGGGACUGUGUGUACUAAGGUUUAAAUACCUAGCCGCUCCAACCAGACGUACAGUUGUCACAACAACUGGAACUGGUCCAACAAAUCAUUGUCUUCAACGAGUCACUGGUUUCAUCUUCACUUCACUUUACUUACUGUUACUCCUUGUGAAGUCAUUGUAUGUUUGCACUAUCAUUUGUCUUCACUGAGUGACUGCGUGUUCUGUUUGGCUUCACAAUAUCUUCCUACCUGAUCCUUACUACCUAGCUGCUAUUAGUCUUUGUGCUUUCACUUCAUUGAAUAAUUGACUAUGGUUUGCCUAGUGUAGUCUACCUUCCGCUGCAUGGUAAUAGGUUUAAUUUUAUCGUUUGUCUUCAAAACUUCUAUGUUCUGAAGACUUUCAUAAAAAUUGCCUAUUCACCCCCCCCCCUCUAGUCGAUAUAACGCACUUUCACCGAUGACAAAGGGAACAACGUAUGUUGUUAUGCGGUUUGACCGAUAAAGAUCUUCAUAGAAUAUGUAGGAACCAAUAUGAGCAUCCAGGUUCCGCUAUUGGUUAUUGACCGGAGAUGUGUCUCGGUCAUGUCUACAUAGUUCUCGAACCCGUAGGGUCCGCACGCUUAACAUUCGGUGACGCUUGGUAUUAUGAGUUUAUGUGUUUUGAUAUACCGAAGGUAGUUCAGAGUCCCGGAUAUGAUCACGGACAUGACGAGGAGUCUCUAAAUGGCCGAGACAUAAAGAUCGAUAUAUUGGAUGCAUGGUUUGAGAGAUAAAACGUUUUGAAUAAACGGAUCUACGAAAAAAGGGAAAACUCCCAGGUUGCAACAAGUGGCACACUGCAUGUGCGCCACUUGUCACAACCUGGGGAAUUGGAGUGAUUUUGCAACGAGUACUACUUGAAGGAAAUAUGAGGCAAUAAGAAAGUUGUUAUUUAUAUUUCUUUAUAUCAUGAUAAAUGUUUAUUAUUCAUGCUAGAAUUGUAUUAACCGUAAACUUAGUACAUGUGUGAAUACAUAGACAAAAUGAGUGUCACUAGUUUGCCUCUACUUGACUAGCUCGUUGAAUCAAUGAUGAUUAUGUUUCCUAACCAUAGGCAUGAGUUGCCAUUUGAUUGACGGGAUCACAUCAUUAGAGAAUGAUGUGAUUGACUUGACCCAUCCGUUAGCUUAGCACGAUGAUCGUUUAGUUUGUUGCUAUUGCUUUCUCCAUAACUUAUACAUGUUCCUCUGACUAUGAGAUUAUGAAACUCCUGAAUACCGGAGGAACACCUUGUGUGCUAUCAAACGUCACAAUGUAACUGGGUGAUUAUAAAGAUGCUCUACAGGUGUCUCCGAAGGUGUUUGUUGGGUUGACAUAGAUCGAGAUUAGGAUUUGUCACUCCGAGUUUCGAAGAGGUAUCUUUAGGCCCUCUCGGUAAUGCACAUCACUAUAAGCCUUGCAAGCAAUGUGACUAAUGAGUUAGUUGCGGGAUAAUGCAUUACGAAACAAGUAAAGAGACUUGCCGGUAAUGAGAUUGAACUAGGUAUUGAGAUAUCGACGAUCGAAUCUCGGGCAAGUAACAUACCGAUUGUAAGUGCAUCUAGUGCCACCCCUAGUUGGUUUUGGAGUACUGACGACAAACCUAGUUGAGGGACUAAUGUGUUUGUGAGAAUUGCAGGAUAACACAGGUAGAAGUCCCUUAUUGAUUCGGUUUUACUACCAGAGAUGACCCCUAAAAAUGUAUGAAGACAUUGAAGUCAAAGGUGGUAUUUGAAGAUAUUCACAUUCAAGACUAUGACAAGAGAAGACACUAUACGAAGCCUAUGGAGCUCGAAGACUUAGAUCUUUCGUAGUUCUUUUUCUUUUUGUGUUGAGUCAUAGGAACCACCGUACUGUUAAGUGGGGUCCAAGAGAACUAGUCAGAAUGACUGAAGUGAUGCCUAAACCAAAAACCCAUGUCUUCCAGUGAAGAAUAUGAGAUCGAAUCUUGUCCUGAGUCGGACAAGUCAGCUUUGCUUGUAGCCCAAAUAAAGUUGCCGUGUGAAUUUGAAAUCUGACCAUUGGAACACGUGUCAGUUCCUUAGUGACCCAGGGUCAUUUCGGACAAAUCAGGUCGGGUUGCCAAGUGGCUAUAAAUAGCCCACCCCCUACAACCAUAAACGGUUGGCUGCUCAGAUUGAUAGUACGGCUUUUGUCGUUUGAGAGCAACCCACCUUGAAGCCUUUGAGAGAGAAUUCCUUGCGAGGAUAAAGCCCUAACCACCAGAGCCAGAGAGAAUUGGGCAUCACUUAAGUCUUCUUGUCUGUGUGAUCUGAAGACUUAUUACACUUGAGGACUGUGCAUCCUCCAGCCAGUUAGGCGUCGCGUUCUGAGCAUCCAAGAGACAUUGUGGAUUGCCGGUGAACGAAGUCUGUGAAGGUUUGGGAGUCUACCUUGAAGACUUACCAAAGUGAUUGGGCGAGGUCUAUGUGACCUUAGCUCAAGGAGAAUACGGUGAGGACUGGGUGUCCUGAGCUGCGUGUUCAGGACUGGGUGUCCGGGACUGUGUGUACUAAGGUUUAAAUACCUAGCCGCUCCAACCAGACGUACAGUUGUCACAACAACUGGAACUAGUCCAACAAAUCAUUGUCUUCAACGAGUCACUGGUUUCAUCUUCACUUCACUUUACUUACUGUUACUCCUUGUGAAGUCAUUGUAUGUUUGCACUAUCAUUUGUCUUCACUGAGUGACUGUGUGUUCUGUUUGGCUUCACAAUAUCUUCCUACCUGAUCCUUACUACCUAGCUGCUAUUAGUCUUUGUGCUUUCACUUCAUUGAAUAAUUGACUAUGGUUUGCCUAGUGUAGUCUACCUUCCGCUGCAUGGUAAUAGGUUUAAUUUUAUCGUUUGUCUUCAAAACUUCUAUGUUCUGAAGACUUUCAUAAAAAUUGCCUAUUCACCCCCCCUCUAGUCGAUAUAACGCACUUUCAAUUGGUAUCAGAGCAAGGUGCUCCCUUGUUCUGUGUGAUUCGGUUUAACCACCUGGAGUUUUAGCUAUGUCGACUGCAAGGAUAAUUAAAGUCUCCGCUGCGUGCCCCCUCUUCGAUGGAACUGAAUAUCCCUACUGGAAGAAUAAGAUGCGCAUGCAUCUUGAAGCCAUUGACGUCGACCUAUGGUAUGUCGUCGAGAAUGGCGUUCCCAAGGCUGGAGAAGGUGUCACUGCUGCUGAUGUCAAGAAAUUCGUUCAACUGGACUCUACUGCCAAGAAUAUCAUCUGUGGUCAUCUGACCAAAGGACAGUAUGGCCGUGUGAGUGCUUUGAAGACUUCCAAGCUGGUCUGGGACUGGCUCUCCAAGGUCAAUGAAGGCAUCUCAACCCAGAGAGAUCAGAGAAUCAGUGUCCUUCGCAACUUCUUCAACCGCUUCAAGCGAAAUGACAAUGAGAAUGUCCAGCACACAUUUGACCGACUCACUGAUAUCACAAAUGAGCUUCAAGCCCUCGGCGCCACUGAGAUUACCAAACACGAAGUCGUCAAGACGCUGCUGAGAUCACUUGAUAGUUCGUUUGACAUCCUGGCCCUGAUGAUUCAAGAACGUCCUGAUUUCAAGACACUCGAUCCGUCUGACAUACUUGAGAGGCUCAACACACAUGAGUUUCAGCUUUCGGAGAAAAGAGAUAUCUACGGUCCAAACUAUGGGCGAACUCGUGCCUUGAAGGCAAAAGUUGUCUCCUCAUCUGAAGAAGAAUCUGACAGCAGUUCUGAUGAUCCUGAAGACAUUGGAAGGGAAGUUGCUAUGCUUGUCAAGAAGUUCCAAAAAUUCACCAAGAAGAAAGGCUUCAGAAAGUCUUCCCAAUAAAGUUCAAGGAAUGAUGAAGCUCCUGCUCAUGACUACAAGAAGAAAACAUGUCACAAGUGCAAGAAACUUGGCCACUUCAUCUCUGAGUGUCCACAGUGGGACAAUGAGAACAAAAAGAAGAAGAAGAGCAAGGAAUAUGACUCUGAUGACAAGAAGAAGAAGAAAUACUCAAAGUCUUCUUCCAAGUCUUCCUCAAAGUCUUCAUCACACAAGAAGAGCUCAUCUGGCAAGGCACGUGCGUUUGUUGGCAAGGAAAUGGAUUCAGAGGAGGAGUCUGCUUCUGAGGAGGCAGAGGUGGAGUCUGAGGAGGAAUCCGACUCAGGCGUCGCAAGUCUGGCCACAGCAUACGUUGCCAAGUCCAUCUUCAACACUGAAGACAAUGACUUCAUCACCGACACCGAUGCAAAUGACAAGGACUACUCCGCUUCUACCUACUGCUUCAUGGCACGCGGUGCCAAGGUAAACACACACACUACUCACUGCCAAACAUCUAGUGACGAUGACUCUGAUUGUGGUUCAAAACCUAGCUACAAAACACUUGCUAAAAUUGCAACUGAACAACAGAAAGCUAUGGAACAUAUUCAAAAACUAUUAGACAGAAGCGAUGAUCUGUUAGGUGCUGAAAUGACUCGAUCUGAAUCCUUAAUUGAAGACAUAAAAAAUCUUCACGUUAAGUAUUAGGAACCUGAAAGUCGUCAUGAAACUCUCUCAACAACUCAUGAAAAGCUUUCCUAUGAUUAUCUUCAAAGGAAGCAAGAUCUUGAGAAAUUGAGAGCGGUUCAUGAAGAUCUUCAAACGGAAAACGAGUCACUUCGCGCCAAAAAGAUCGGUCCCGCUCAGGAAGGAUUUGAACCACCAUGUCUUAAAUGCAUUGAGCGUGAUAAUGCUAUUUCUGUUGCUGAAUGUUCUACUGCUACUGCUGUUGCAAUAUCUUCAACUGUUGAUGUGGUAACUAACCCCUCUGCUGAGGAUACCACCGCUAUCGCUGAUGAGAAUGCUAGGUUGAAGACAUUGCUUGAAACAGGGAUGUACAAAAGUCUUAAAGGGCAUCAAACGCUAUGUGAUGUCCUGAAAAAGCAGAUUCUGAACCGAAACCCUAGGAAAGAGGGUGUAGGGUUCGUAAGGAAAAUGAAUGCAGAUGGCUCUUACUGGAAACAUGAGCAGUACCCCAAAACCAUGUGGGUUGCUGCAAAGGAACCUUCAGCAGAUCCAUCCAAUCUAUCUGGCUUCACUUGUGCUAACCCCAUUAUCAUUGAUGAAUCCUUUGAUGCAAACUAUAUACUGUUUAAGAAUCAGAAUGGUGAAGUAUUUGCCAGGUACAUUGGUACUAACUGCAGGAGUGGACCGCCUAUGAAGAAGAUCUGGGUUCCGAAAAGGUGUUUGGAGAGUCUUCCUGUGAAUGUCAUCAUGACACCUCACGUGAAGAAGACAAACCUCAGACCAAAGGCUUCAUACGGUCCAAAGGCUUCAUACAGACAGAGGACUCACCUGAGUCGCACUAACGCAAAUGUUUUGCAGGGAAACCAUACUCAGGCAUACGAAUAUGAGAGCGGUUCAUCAAACCGCCAUGUUCAUAAGACCAAGAACUAUUCUGCUUAUUCUUAUGAGUACUAUUGUCCGCCUGCAAGACUGUUUGAAAAGGCUUCAAAGCCAAAAUUCUCAGAUGCUGCACUUAGACUUAUUGCUUCUAAGCCGCCCUUGAUGUGGGUGGCUAAGAAAGCUUAACUUUUUUUGCAGGGAAAGGUCUCCAGCAGAAAACCAAAAUCGUCUGACGCUAUUGCUAGGGACCUUAAACAUCUUGUAGGGCGCAAGAUCAAAUGCCCAAAUGGUCUUACUAUGUACUUCGUACCUGAAUCGCUUGCUACUCUCCCUAUUAGUCCUAACCUGGAUCUAAGCUUUCAUAACCCACUGGUUCGUCAAAUGUUUUUGCUUCACAAUGCUCUUGGUGAAGCCUAUCCCCCUAACUGCACUGUAGGGUACGACACCAGCGUCUUCAGAAUGGAUUAUUGACAGUGGGUGUACAAAUCACAUGACUGGCAAAAGAAGUCUUCUUAUGGACUCAACCUUACGUCCAUCUGACAAGAGCCACAUCACAUUUGCUGACACUGGUAAAAGUAAGGUAUUGGGUCUAGGUAGAGUUGCAAUCUCAAGGGAUCAACACAUGGAUAAAGUCAUGCUUGUUGAAUCCCUUGGCUUCAACUUAAUGUCUGUCUCAAUGCUUUGCGAUUUGAACAUGAUCGUAAUGUUUGGAAAAUAUCGUUGCCUUGUACUAAUGGAAUCUGACAAGUCUCUAGUGUUUGAAGGGUAUCGAAAAGAUGAUCUGUACGUGGUAGAUUUCUCAGCAGGGCCACAGCUUGCAGUAUGUCUUCUAGCAAAGGCUUCAGAAUGCUGGCUCUGGCAUCGGAGGCUUGGACAUGCUGGCAUGAGGAACCUCCACACCCUUGCGAAGAAGAAGCAUGUCAUAGGCAUCGAGAGCGUCAAGUUCAAGAAAGACCACUUAUGCGGUGCCUGUGAAGCAGGGAAGAUGACGAGGGCCAAACAUCCCUCGAAGACAAUCAUGACCACUACUCGACCCUUCGAACUGCUUCACAUGGAUCUUUUCGGUCCCACUCAUUACUCAACUCUAACUACUACUGCUUGCUCUAUGACUUUGUUAUUGUUGAUGACUAUUCUAGAUAUACUUGGGUGCACAUAAUCCUUUACAAGACUGAAGUGCAGGACGUCUUCAGACGCUUCACCAAUCGAGCUAUGAACAAUUUUGGCGCCAAGAUAAAGCACAUCAAAAGUGAAAAUGGCACUGAAUUCAAGAACACUGGCCUUGAUACAUAUCUUGAUACCUUGGGCAUCACGCAUGAAUUCUCAGCCCCGUACACGCCACAGCAAAAUGGCAUCGUCGAACGCAAGAACAGAACACUAAUUGAGAUGGCCAGAACAAUGCUAGAUGAAUACAAGACCCCAAGAAAAUUCUGGCCCGAAGCCAUUGAUACUGCAUGCCAUACAAUCAAUCGUGUUUAUCUUCACAAGCUACUGAACAAGACAUCUUAUGAGCUCCUUACUGGCAAGAAGCCAAAUGUCAGUUACUUCAGAGUAUUUGGCGCAAGGUGCUGGAUCAAGGACCCACAUCACACCUCAAAAUUUGCACCAAAAGCACAUGAGGGUUUUAUGCUUGGAUAUGAAAAGGAUUCGCACUCCUACAGAGUCUUCAAUCUCUUUCAUUACAAAGUGGUUGAAACAGUGGAUGUGCGGUUCGAUGAGACCAACGGUUCACAAAGAGAGCAGCUGCCAAAUGUGCUAGAUGAAGUUCCAUCCAGUGAAUCAAUCAAGCUAAUGGGAACUAGAGAAAUUAUACCUUCUGAAGCUCAUCCUGAAGAAGAACUUAUCAUUUCAGCACCUGAUCAACAUGAAGACAAUGCUCAGCCUGAAGACAUUCCUUCCAACAACGACAAUGAACAGCAAGCGCAAAGUCUUCACCCUGUACAUCCUCGCGUUGCCAAUGAAGUGCAGAUUGAAAGAAUAAUUGAUAGCAUCAAUGCACCUGGUCCACUCACUCGUUCAAGAGAAACUCAGCUAGCAAAUUUCUGUGGGCACUUCGCAUUCGUCUCAAUAGCAGAACCCAAGAAAGUUGAAGAAGCCUUCAUGGAACCUGAAUGGAUUCGAGCUAUGCAAGAAGAGCUUCAACAGUUUGAGCUGAAUAAUGUAUGGGAACUGGUUAAGCGUCCUGAUCCACGGAAGCAUAAUAUAAUAGGCACCAAAUGGAUAUACCGCAACAAGCAAGAUGAGCAUGGUCAAGUUGUCAGAAAUAAAGCUCGUCUCGUUGCUCAAGGAUAUACUUGUAACGCCCCGAGACCGAUGUGCCAGGUGUCCUCCAGUUAUUCGUUGUUGUUGCCUUGUCAUUUGCUUGCGUGUUGCAUCUUAUCAUGUCAUCAUGUGCAUUGCAUCAUCAUGUUUUCGAUACUUGCAUCCGUCCCGUUCUCCUCGUUUCGUCCGUUGUCCGUUCUGAGCCCAGACACACUUGCACGCGCCCGCGGCAUGUCCGAAAUAUUAUUUUAUAAGUGGCCAGAAAAUGUUCUCGGAAUGGGAUGAAAGUUGGCGUGUGGUCUUAUUAUAGUGUAGAUAGACCGCCUGUCAAGUUUCAUCGCAUUCGGAGUUCGUUUGAUAGCCCAACCGUUAACUAUAGCGGCAAUAUAGCCGGUCUAACGUCGGACGUUUUCGGUCUCCGGAAACCAUGCCGGGCUGCAUCUCUCCCCUCUUCUCUCACACCAACCCGCUCUUCACAAUCCGCCAGACCCAACCUAACCUCUCUCGUCAGCCCGCGGCCCUCCUCGCGCGCGUCCGAAAGUUGUCCCGGACCCGACCCGGACAGUUGCUACCGUUGUGUCCGGAUCAUCUCCAAACGUCUACAAAACGUCACCGUUUUCUUAUUUGGACUCCCUAGCUAUUUUAUUCGCGGCCGUCCGAUUACGAUCGGAGGGAUCCGAUAGCCCCUAACUAUUUCCACCUGCCAUAUAUAUACUAGGUCCAACCCUAAUAAUCAGGAGCCUUGUCCAAUCCUCCCAGCAGUCGCCGCCGCUCCUAGAUCCACCUCGGGAUCCCCUUCACUCGAACCAGCCACCGACCCCCUCCUCCUUGAUUUCAGCUACCAACCAACCUUCGCUUUCUUCUGCCUCCUGUCGUCCCAAGGAAGAGGACAUUCUCUUGGAGCCCGACCUCCUCUUCCCGAGCCGUAGCCACCCCGCGGCGUCCAACCUCGCCGGCCUCCAGGUCCUCUGCUUCUCCUCUGUUUUCUUCUUCCCCCUCUCCCGAUUUCUUCCUCUCUCACGAUCUCCCUCUCUCUCUGUUUUUUUCAUCAGCUGCAGGUCGCUGCCGCCUUGGUCAACCCUCACCGGAGCUCCGUCGACGCCCCGUUGGCCGGAUCCGGCCUUGAAACAGGCGGAUCCAUCCAUCCCCGCCUGAGCCCCGUGCCCUUCGCCGCCUCCCAUACGCCUCUGCUCGUGCCUGAGCACGAGCGCCUCACCGGAUGCCUCACGCAGCAGUCCCGCAUCAAGUCUCGCGCUGUCAUCCUUGUCCUCGUAGCCUCCCCGCUCUCCUCGUCGGCGCAGGGAGAUGAGCCCCUCUCGAACUCCAGCAACGGCGCCGCCCCUUGCAUCGACUGCCGCCAUCGCCAUGGCCUACUUCGCCUCGACGCCAUGGCCGCCCGAACCUGAAGCUCCAUCCUGCCUCGUUCCACGCCUUGGUUCCGGCCAGAACGGGCCGUCCCUGACCUCCACCGCCCAAAUCCGCUGCCGCGCCAUCCCGGAGUCCCACGCCAAGUCCUCCGCCGACGCUCCUUGCCUCGUUCGUCAGGGAAACGACGAGUACGUGGCUCGUCAACGCUCCAGCCGCUGACCACGACCGCGUGCGCCUCGUCCACAUCUUCCAGGAAGGCUAUGACGACAUGCGUGGGCUGCACCAUUGCAAGCCCAAAUCCCUCAAUCCACCCACCGGCCCAGCUUCGCCUCUGCCAGACUCUCCUCCAGCAAGGCCCCUCAAGGCCCAGCCGUCUGCCUCGUCCAGCCCAGCACCAACCGGGCCAAGCCCAAUGUGAGAAGCACCCCUCCAGCCCCUGUGCACUGUCGGGCCAUCAAGAUUCGGCCCAUGUCAUGUUUUUUUCCCAUCCUACGAAUUUGCUAUUUAAUCAGAGAACUGCAGUUUUUCAGAAAAACCCCUAGAGUUCUUGCAUAUCAUAACUCACCAACCGUGCAUCGGAUCUAAAUAAAUUAUAUAUGAAAGUUGCUUAGAAUUUUGUCUAGUUUAAGAAUAUUAAACUUUCAUGCAUGUUUGAAAUAUUUAAAAUGAUGUUUGGUUAAAUUUUCUCAAAUAACUUGUUAAAAUGUUUUAAUUCAUAACUAAAUAACCGUAACUCGGAUUUUAAUAAUCUUUAUAUGUAAAUGGGGUAGAAAAAUGCCUAGAUUUACAUGGUAGCCUCAUCUUGCAUGUUUAACAACUCUAAAAUAAUGUUUAGGGCAGAACAGUACCAAACCUUAAAUUAUGCAUAUGAGGAUUUUCCGGAAUUGUUGUUCGUUCCUUCCGGCCUCAUUUAAACUUGCCUAGAUAGGUAGUUUUGUUGUGCUUCACCCCUUGCCAUGUUAAUCAACAUUUAAUAUUGUUGUGUACAUAAAUGAGAUCGAACUAAAUAACUUAUCGUGGUGUUUCGUCAAUAUGCACCGUUGCAUAUUGAGCUCCACUUAAUUUGUAGGGUUGCUUGUGCACUUUGCCAUGCCAUGCUUCAUUAAACCGAACAUGCAUCAUACUUGAUUGUGCAUCAUGCCAUGAUUAUGUGGUGGUUGUUUACUAUGUUGUGUGCUUCUUUCCGGUGUUUGCUUCAUCGGGUUGGUUCCGGUAACAUCGCGUUUUUGAGGACCCGUUCGUCUACAUUCGUUUGUCUUAUUCAUGGACUCGUUCUUCUUCCUUGCGGGAUCUCAGGCAAGAUGACCAUACCCUCGAAAUUACUUCUAUCUUUGCUUGCUUAGUUGCUCGCUCUUUUUGCUAUGCCUAUGCUGCGAUGCCUACCACUUGCUUUUCAUGCCUCCCAUAUUGUUGAACCAAGCCUCUAACCCACCUUGUCCUAGCAAACCGUUGUUUGGCUAUGUUACCGCUUUGCUCAGCCCCUCUUAUAGCGUUGUUAGUUGCAGGUGAAGAUUGAAGUUUGUUCCUUGUUGGAACAUGGAGAUGUUGUUCCUUGUUGGAACAUGGUUACUUGUUGGGAUAUCACAAUAUAUAUUAUUUAAUUUAAUGCAUCUAUAUACUUGGUAAAUGGUGGAAGGCUUGGCCUUAUGCCUGGUGUUUUGUUCCACUCUUGCCACCCUAGUUUUCGUCAUAUCGGUGUUUUGUUCCCGGAUUUUGCGUUCCUUACGCAGUUGGGUUAUAAUGGGAACCCCUUGACAGUUCGCUUUGAAUAAAACUCCUCCAGCAAGGCCCAACCUUGGUUUUACCAUUCGCCACCUAGCCUUUUUCCCUUGGGAGUUGCGCAUCCCGAGGGUCAUCUUAUUUUAACCCCCCCGGGCCAGUGCUUGUCUAAGCGUUGGUCCAAACUAGAGCCCCUUGCAGCGCCACCUCGGGGAAACUCGAGGGCUGGUUUUAGUUGUACGGAUUGCUUAUCCGGUGUUGCCCUAAGAACGAGAUGUGUGCAGCUCCUAUCGGGAUGUCGGUGCAUCGGGUGGUCUUGCUGGACUUGUUUUACCAUUGUCGAGGAUGUCUUGUAGAACCGGGAUACCGAGUCUGAUCGGAAUGUCUCGGGAGGAGGUCUAUUCCUUCGUUGACCGUGAGAGCUUGUCAUGGGCUAAGUUGGAACACCCCUGCAGGGAUUUGAACUUUCGAAAGCCGUGCCCGCGGUUAUGGGCAGAUGGGAAUUUGUUAACGUCCGGUUGUACAAAUCCUUAAGAUGACCUUAAUUAAAAUGAAUCAACAGUGUGUGUUACCGUGAUGGUCUCUUUCCGGCGGAGUCCGGGAAGUGAACACGGUGUUGGAGUAAUGUUUGACGUAGGUUGUUCUAGGAUCACUUCUUGAUCAUUGUUUCUCGAUCGUGCUUUGCCUUAUCUUCUCGCUCCCUUUUGCGAAUAUGUUAGCCACCAUAUAUGCUAGUCGCUUGCUGCAGCUCCACCUCAUACCUUUACCUUACCCAUAAGCUUAAAUAGUCUUGAUCGCGAGGGUGUGAGAUUGCUGAGUCCCCGUGACUCACAGAUACUUCCAAAACCAGCUUGCAGGUGCUGAUGAUGCCAUUCCAGGUGACGCAACCAAGCUCAGGAGGAGCUCGAUGAAGAUCUUGUCCUUUGUGUCAUUUCGUUCUAGUUGAUUAGUAGUGGAGCCCGGUUGGGGUCGAUCGGGGACCUUUGUCGCAUUUGGGGUUCUUCUUUUAUUUUGGUUCCGUAGUCGGACCUUGUUUGUAUCUGGAUGAUGUAAUGCUUUAUUCAUGUAUUGUGUGAAGUGGCGAUUGUAAGCCAACUAUGUAUCUCUUUUCCCUUAUGUAUUACAUGGGUUGUUUGCGAAGAUUGCCUCACUUGCGACAUCGCUUUCAAUGCGGUUAUGCCUCUAAGUCGUGCUUCGACACGUGGGAGAUAUAGCCGCAUCGAGGGCGUUACAAGUUGGUAAUCAGAGCCUUCCCCGACCUUAGGAGCCCCAUUGAUUGAUCGUUUUUAGCAGCCAUUGUUGAGUCUAGAAAAAUGUUUUGAGUCAUUUAGAAAUUAUAUAUCAGAGAGUUUAGGAAUUUUUUUACUCCCCAGUCCCUUCGUCGCUCUGGUAAGGCAUCCUGACGUAGAGUUUUGACUCUUCUCUUCUCAAAUUUCACUAAAAACAAUUUUAGGAUCACACGGGUAUCUUGGAAUCGUUCCGAUGGUUUUAUGACGAGAACAUUGUCUUGGUGCCUCCUGUCAGGGGUUUUGUGGAAGUGUCCCGGGGAGUUGAGCUCUGAGGUGUUGUCGUCAUAAUUUUAUCGUUGCAGUUCUGGAAUACCUGAGUUUAGUACGCCGACAUCGAAAAUCUCUUUUAUGCAGUUCAUUGGUGAGAUAACCUCGACGCCACCCAGUACUGGGGGACUAAUCCACGAACACCUAUGGGACCGGCGGACCGAGUCCCUUUCGGUUCGGCGGGGGCGAGGGUCGCACGAAGAGCGGAUCGAGGCGAAGCACACGAGUAGUUUACCUAGGUUCGGGCCGCACGGAUGCAUAAAACCCUACUCCUGCUUUGUGGUUUGUAUUGAGUUCUUGCUCGGGAGCGCGGAGUGCUACAGUACACCUCAGCAGCUAACGAGACCGAGCGUGAGUGUUCUCUUCCUCCCCCCUCUAUGUUGCGCAUGGGCCUCCUUUUAUAUGCUCAAGGGGUCACCGACAGGUGGCAACGUAGACAAGGGUAAAAAUGGAAAGGUGCUGCGGUUGGUACAGCUACCUGCUAUAGUGUAUCAUACCUAACCCUGACGGCAGGGGACAAGGGCAUUAAAUGCCCGUCUGCAUCGCCUAAAUAGUGCAAAAGGGACCGCCAGGGACGCCUCCGCUCGCCACGAUGGCAAUCUUGUCAGUGCCGCUUGCCACCACGCACCGCUGGCUGCACAGCCUCCCGCCACGUACGCCUGGAAGGGUCCCAGAGCGACACGUUGGUGGAUGUGCUGGAGCGCGGGCACAGAGUGGUGGCUUGCCGCGGCAAGUGCCUUGCCGCGGUCGUUGUCUUGUCGCGUCCAGGAGCUUGUCGCUCACCGGGCCUUGCCGGGACACGUGGCGCGUCGCGGCAAGUUCCUUGAGAUGCCUUGGUUGGCCUUCCCGGCAAGCUCCUCUUGCCGGGGUCUCGUCUCCUUGGCUUGGAUACUUUGUCCUUGAAUGGCUCCAAAGGAACCACGGAGGACCUUGGCGGUCACCCGGCAAGCCUUGCCGCGGGAUGCUGCGACUGCCCGUGCACAAGUUCGGGAUACUAGGGUACCCCUACUCUAUUACACCGACAGGAGCCCCCGGGCCUGGGCCAUACACGGUGCCGAGCGCUGUUGGGCCAGGCCCAAAACAGGGUACGGGCACGCGCGGCCUGGGUUACGCCGUAUCUCUCCCCGUAUCCACCGCGCCCUCCCCGAACGGCACGCGUUGAAUGCGGCGUCGUGGGAGAGAUCGUGGGGGGUUUCUUUAUUCGGAAAGGCGGAACGUCCGCCCCCUCCCUCUUUAUAAGCAUGGGAAACAGGGGAAGUUUGCCCAUUCGCCGGUUGCUACUCCAAUCUCGGAAAUCUCCGCCGCUCCCUCGUCUUCCCAAAGCUGAAAGAGAGCAGCGCCCCACCCCCCAUCGCCACCAGCACCACCAACGCCGUCGACCUCCUCCACCACUUCCGCCAUGGCUCCGAGAGCCGACAAAGGGAAGGUUGUGAAGUCGACCGAGGCGCAGCGGCUUGCGGCGCUGCGAAAGGAGCGGGCAAUCUUCCCCCCCAAGCUCGCCGCGAGGGAGCUGAGGGAGAAUUACUACCUCUUCUGGUCGACGGAGACGCGAGCGCAUCCGCGCACGAAGGUACUUCCAGCCGCCGCUUGGAAAACGGCUCCAAAUGGAUACCCUUUCUUCGCCUUGUUCUUCUAUUGCGGGCUCUGCCCGCCUUUCUCUGAGUUUUUCUGCGAUAUUAUGAACACCUACGGGUUCCGCCUCCUUGACUUCACCCCCAAUGUCGUUCUGACCAUGGAAGUUUUCGCACAUCUCUGCGAAAACUUUGUCGGAGUCCAUCCCAAUGUAGCCCUUUUUCGCCACUUCUUUAUGCCCCGAGUAGAGAGAGGAGAGCCUUUAUCCGGCGGAAUCGCCUGGAUCUCGAAGGCCGACAAGAAGGACACUUAUCUGGAGGGAGAGUUCUGUGGCAAGUGGGAGGAAUGGAGAGCAGACUGGUGCUGGAUUGUCGAGGAGAACCCACAGCCGUUUACUGCCCGGCGCCAAGCCCCAGUAGCACGAGGCAGCGAUUGGAGUGACGUGGCCCCGGAGGAUGAUAGGCUGAAGAUUGCCGUCACCCGGAUCCAACGCCUCAGGCAUGCCGGGCUCACUGUAGGCGCUGUUGGCGCAGAUUUUCUUCGCCGCCGCAUCGCCCCCUGCAGGAACGGGGGAGACCCGCCUGGGAAUUCAAGAAUGCGGUGGAUAUCAUGAGGCUGCGUCCGGGCCUCAACUUCAACUUCACUGUUCUAGAGCUUAACGCGAUGCUCCAGGAGCUGUUCAAGUACGACCCUCAACAUCCCGAAGUGUUCAGGUUGCCCAAGGGUGUCGUUCCGCUGUGCAACAACUCCGCGCUCGACCGCAUCCGUGCAAUGAUGCCGCUGUGCGAUUCGCAUGGAAUUGUCCCAACUUGGCAAGAGCCUGCAGACAAUGUCGUGCAGGAGUUUUUUGACGGCUUGGUAGAAGUGCCGGUCCGCUCAGACGAAAAGGAUAGCCUCACCCGCGACACCACCGAUGCGGAGAUGACACGCAUCGCCACUAGGCUGGAAGAGGCGGCGGUAGCCGCAGCCGCGGGCGAAUUUGGAUUCACCAUGGAGGAGGCAGAGGCAGCAGAGGCGGCAAGCCGUGCCGAGCAAGGGGAACUCGUCGGCGAGAAAGAGCUUGCCGGGCAUGGCGUCGAGUCGAGUGAGCCCGCCGAGGAUACGAGCGGCUCGCUGGAGAUCAACUCCUCUUCCUCCUCAUCUUCAGGCAGCUUGCCGCAAGCAGAGCCUCCAUCCCCACCAAGAAGGCGUCUCCGCAAGGCCGGGGACGUAGCGGGGCGGCAGGCGAGUCGACAGUCGCCGCGCCGCGCUACACGCUCCACCGCGGCAAGCACUGUUGCCGCGGGAGCGCCUCAUGCUGCUGCGGCAACUGGAGCGGGGUCCACCCGGACCACCACUUCUGCUCCUGCCGCUUCUCACGCCACAGCGGCAGCCGGAGCGGGGUCGUCUCAGGCCACCGCCACUGUUCCCGCCAAGCGGCCAAGGGAAACUACUCCUCCGCCUCCCCGCGCCGCACGUGAGCCGGACUUCGACUUCUCCGCGUUCAGCUCCGACGAGGAAGAAGAAGAGUAAGAUUCUCUUGUUGUACUUGUAGUUCUUCAAUCCCUGAUGUCUUGUCUUGUAUCUCAUUUGCUUUACUCUGAACUUAUUCCUUUUUAGGACUCUGGCCUAGAGAGCAGCGAAGAGAGCCAAAGUCCCGGUGAUUUUCAUCAAGGACGAACCCACCGUGACAGCAGGGGGUGCGUCCGAGACAACCUUGCCGGACCCGGCAACUGUUCUCCAGAGCAGCCCCCAGCGUAAGUACAUGGUUCGCUUUCCGCUGUUAGGCGCGCAUGGAUAAUCUUUCUUUGCUGACAUCUGACUGUUAGUUUGUGUAGGAGCAGAGCAGCCCCACCAGGAGCGCCCGGAGGCCAGCCCCGAAAUGCCAAGGGAGAGUCCUCCGGCAAGGGAGAGUUCUCCAGCAAGGGACAGCACCAGCGUCCCCCCGGCGGCGGAGACUACGACUGCCGAACCCAGUACAGGUAAUCUUCUCUUCAAAGCUUCCCUUGGGUUCUUCUUCUUUUUGGGUAUUUUCUUGACUUUUCUCACUUUUCCGGCCAUCAGACCCAUCUGCUGCGGAGCCAAUGGAGACCGAGGUUGCUACCGACGACGCCGCUACCACUGAAGAAGCAGCCGGCGCUGAUGAUCCCGCUGGCGACGAGGCCGCCAAAGCUGCCGCCGCAGUAGCUGGCGAGGGGUCUGGCGAUCGCACUGACGGCCCUGAGGCCGCAGGAGCGCCAGGCGCUACGUCGACUGCCGACCCGUCCGCCGCUGCCGCAGCGCCAGGCUCCGAAGAGCCCCAGCCAGGCGUCUACUUGAAGGCCGGCGAUGGCGUCUUCAUCAACCUCCCCUGGGCGUCAAGCUCCAGGGCGCCGGACGAAGGAGAGAGCUUUGAUGGAGAGGUGCUCGCCUCCGCUGGGCUGACGUUGGUUGAUGCGCUGAGCAGCAGCAGCGGCGAGCCUGAGGAGGAGCGGCUGCUGCGGAAGCUGUUGCCGCUCUACCGCAUGCGGCAAGCCAAGCUGGAAUCCCGUGAGGCACUUGUCGCGAAGGCGGGAGCGAACAUCGAGAAGCGUGCGGAGGAGCUCCGGGGUCUCAACCAGGAAGCUCUCCGGUCCCUGGCAGAGGAGCGGGAGCAACUUGCCGAAGAGCAGAAGGCCUUCUUCUUCGAGAAGGCCGAAGUUGAAGAGCAACAGCGGCUUGCCGCUGAGAAGCUGUCUGCGCAGGAGGGCGAGCUGGUGCAGCGGAAGGUUAACCUCGACAGCCACGAGGAGGAGCUUGCUGCGCGUGAGCAAAAAUUCGGUGGGGCCCUUAAGCAAGCAGAGGAUGCUGCCGCAGUUGCCGAGGCCGCCAAGAAGGAGCUAGAGACGAAGGUGGCGCAGCUGGAGGCCGAUCUCAAGGCGAGUGGUGAAGAGCUUAGCGCCGCCAAGGACUCCAACGCAGAUCUUGAGUUGAAGCUGACCACUUUGACCAAGACGCUGGACGAUGCCAGGGAGCAGGAGGUGGCCUUGAAGGAGGAGAUCAAGGCCGACAAGGCGCUGCUGGCGAGUGCUGCCGCCGCCCAGAAUGCUUUUAGGGAGAAUGUGGAGCACUGGACGGAGGGUCUCGUGAAAGCUGCCGCAGAUAUCGACAGGGAGCUGGCGCAGCUGGGGGUGGAGGAUCUCGGGUAUCCCUCUGAUGAGAACCUCCAACCCAGCGCCAAGCUCACCUUGUUCUACAAAGGCGUGGCGACGGCCCUCCAGCGGCUCCGGGAGAAGAUCCCAAAGCAGCUGGCCGACGAGUCGCGCAAGAUCUGCGCGGGAGCUCUUCAAAAGGUGUUGGUGAAGGUGGCCUUCCGCAACCCGGGCCUCAACCUCACCAACGUCCUCAAGACCCUGCCGCCGGAUGCUGAUCUGGAGGCGCUCAAGACCCUUGUCGCACCCAUUGUGGACAAGGUGAGCGGGAUCAAGAGGAUUGAGGGUGAUCGCGUAGACUAGGCCGCCUGUUUUCUUCUUUUCUUGUCGCUGCUGGUCAUGUUAUGAAAACAAUCUGUUAGAGCCGCGACAAGCUACCUUGUAAUAUAACUCUAUUCCGGGUAAUGAUUGCAAUGUUAUUCCCUUUACUUGAUUCCUCCCUUUGUAUGUUUUGCCCCACGCUUUUAGGGAACUUGCCGGUGCAGGCACCUUAGCCGCGAGCGCUGAGUGCGGGACGUCAGCAGCCUGCUGGCGGUGCCGCUACCGACAAGAAACCUUGUGGCAACUAGUCGCAGCUCACUUAAGUUGUUGAGCGGCCUCGAAACAAAGUAAGGGCGCAACUAGCUACGAGUUGGUUCCUCCGCGCACAGUUUUUCCAUACAAAGUGCGGUCGUUCAAGGGAGAUAACUUAAAAAAUUUAAAAAAUCUGAUUGCUCAAACUUUGGCAACUUAGCUUUUCUGUUGCUUGCUUCCCGAUAAGGUGAAACUUUCUUGAACGACGCCUGGUCCAUACUAUUAUCUUCUCCUUUCCCCCCGGCAAAGUUGUGGGCGAGGGAACCUUCCUUUCCUUGAGAAAAAAGAAAGAGGAGAAAAUAAAGAUAAGGAGCCUUACGGCUCGUUAUUGCUUAUCGGGGAGUAGGUGCUGCACAAAGUGUCAGAUCACAUAUGCAAAAAAUAGAAAGCAUGAAAUUGACAAGAUGUGCGGAGCAUAUGAGCUUUACUUAUGCACGGGGUCUGCGCCCGGCUUUGUACAAAGGAUUACAUGCAAUCAGCGGCAAGACUUGUACAAAAGGUGGUUGCCGGAACAGGUUCCGGCAACCGCGCCUUACGGGUAAAACUUACGAAGAUGCUCAAUGUUCCAGGAAUUGCUCACCGGAAUGGUAUCUUCGGUCUCAAGGUGGACAGCGCCAGGCCUAGUGACUCGUUUCACCCGGUAAGGGCCUUCCCACUUUAGCGUCAACUUGUUGGAAUUCUUGGCGGACUAAACACGCCGAAGAACAAGGUGUUGGAAAUAUGCCCUAGAGGCAAUAAUAAAAGUAUUAUUAUAUUUCUAUGUUCAUGAUAAUUGUCUUUUAUUCAUGCUAUAACUGUAUUAUCAGGAAAUCAUAAUACACGUGUGAAUACAAAGACCACAAUAUGUCCCUAGUGAGCCUCUAGUUGACUAGCUCGUUGUGAUCAACAGAUAGUCAUGGUUUCCUGGCUAUGGACAUUGGAUGUCGUUGAUAACGGGAUCACAUCAUUAGGAGAAUGAUGUGAUGGACAAGACCCAAUCCUAAGCAUAGCACAAAGAUCGUGUAGUUCGUUUGCUAGAGCUUUGCCAAUGUCAAGUAUCUCUUCCUUUGACCAUGAGAGCGUGUAACUCCUGGAUACCGUAGGAGUGCUUUGGGUGUAUCAAACGUCACAACGUAACUGGGUGACUAUAAAGGUGCACUACAGGUAUCUCCGAAAGUAUCUAUUGUUUUAUGCGGAUCGAGACUGGGAUUUGUCACUCCGUAUGAAGGAGAGGUAUCUCUGGGCCCACUCAGUAAUGCAUCAUCAUAAUGAGCUCAAGGUGACCAAGGUGUUGGCCGUGGGAUCAUGCAUUACGGUACGAGUAAAGUGACUUGCCGGUAACGAGACUGAACAAGGUAUUGGGAUACCGACGAUCGAGUCUCGGGCAAGUAACGUACCGAUUGACAAAGGGAAUUGUAUACAGGGUUUGAUCGAAUCCUCGACAUCGUGGUUCAACCGAUGAUAUCAUCGAGGAGCAUGUGGGAGCCAACAUGGGUAUCCAGACCCCGCUGUUGGUUAUUGCCCGAGAGUGGUUUCGGUCAUGUCUGCAUGUCUCCCGAGCCCGUAGGGUCUACACACUUAAGGUUCGGUGACGCUAGGGUUGUUAGGAAGACUAGUAUGUGACUACCGAAUGUUGUUCGGAGUCCCGGAUGAGAUCCCGGACGUCACGAGGAGUUCCGGAAUGGUCCGGAGGUAAAGUUUUAUAUAUGGGAAGUUGUUAAACGGGCACCGGAAAGUUUUGGGGUCAUACCGGUAUUGUACCGGGACCACCGGAAGGAAUCCGGGGGUCCACCGGGAGGGGCCACCCCUCCCGGGGGCCACUUGGGCUGCGUGGGGAUUGCAGCCAUCCCCUAGUGGGCUUGGCGCGCCCCCCUCCUUGGGCCCAUGCGCCUAGGGGUGGGGGGGAAACCCUAAAGGGGGCGCACCCCCUUGCUUGGGGGGCAAGCCCCCCACCCCUUGGCCUCCGCCCCCCCUUAGGGUUUUCCCUAGAGGGCCGGACCCCCUUGCCCUUUCCCCUAUAUAUAGAGGGGUGAGGGGAGGGCUGCAAUACACCAUAACUCAAGGCGCAGCCCCUCCCCUCCCCAACACAUCUCCUCCUCCGUACGUGCUUGGCGAAGCCCUGUCGGAAUACUGCCGCGUCAACUGCACCACGCCGUCGUGCUGCCGUUGGAGCUGCCUUCCUCAACCUCUCCUUCCUCCUUGCUGGAUCAAGACGGAGGAGACGUCUCCCGUCCCGUACGUGUGUUGAACGCGGAGGUGCUGUCCGUUCAGCACUAGGACAUCGGUGAUCCGAAUCACGUUCGAGUACGACUCCAUCAUCACCAUCUCCUUGGCAAGCUUCCGCUCGUGAUCUACAAGUGGUAUGUAGAUGCAAACUCUCUCCCUUGACUCGUUGCUUAGAUGAACUCAUAGAUGGAUCUUGGUGAAACCGUAGGAAAAAUUUUAAUUUUCUGCAACGUUCCCCAACAGUGGUAUCAGAGCUAGGUCUAUGCGUAGUUCUCUUUGCACGAGUAGAACACAAUUUUGUUGUGGGCGUGGAUCUUGUCAUCUUACUUGCCUCUACUAGUCUUUUCUUGCUUCGGCGGUAUUGUGGGAUGAAGCGGCCCGGACCAACCUUACACAUACGCUUACGUGAGACCGGUUCCACCGAUUAACAUGCACUAGUUGCAUAAGGUGGCUGGCGGGUGUCUGUCUCUCCCACUUUAGUUGGAGCGGAUUCGAUGAAAAGGGCCCUUAUGAAGGGUAAAUAGAAGUUGACAAAAUCACGUUGUGGUUAUUCGUAGGUAAGAAAACGUUCUUGCUAGAACCCAAUUGCAGCCACGUAAAAGAUGCAACAACAAUUAGAGGACGUCUAACUUGUUUUUGCAGCAAUUGAUCAAGUGAUGUGAUAUGGCCAGAAGUUGUGAUGAAUGAUGAAUUGUGAUGUAUGAGAUCAUGUUCUUUGUAAUAGGAUUCACGACUUGCAUGUCGAUGAGUAUGACAACCGGCAGGAGCCAUAGGAGUUGUCUUUAUUUUUGUAUGACCUGCGUGUCAUUGAAGAACGCCAUGUAACUUACUUUACUUCAUUGCUAAACGCGUUAGUCAUAGAAGUAGAAGUAGUCGUUGGCGUGACAACUUCAUGAAGACACGAUGAUGGAGAUCAUGAUGAUGGAGAUCAUGGUGUCAAGCCGGUGACAAGAUGAUCAUGGAGCCCCGAAGAUGGAGAUCAAUGGAGCUAUAUGAUAUUGGCCAUAUCAUGUCACAACUAUAUAAUUGCAUGUGAUGUUUAUUAUGUUUAUGCAUCUUGUUUACUUAGGACGACGGUAGUAAAUAAGAUGAUCCCUUACAAAAAUUUCAAGAAGUGUUCUCCCCUAACUGUGCACCGUUGCUACAGUUCGUCGCUUCUAAGCACCACGUGAUGAUCGGGUGUGAUGGAUUCUUACGUUCACAUACAACGGGUGUAAGACAGUUUUACACAGCAAAAACACUUAGGGUUAACUUGACGAGCCUAGCAUGUGCAGACAUGGCCUCGGAACACGGAGACCGAAAGGUCGAACACGAGUCGUAUGAAAGAUACGAUCAACAUGAGAAUGUUCACCGAUGAUGACUAGUCCGUCUCACGUGAUGAUCGGACACGGGCUAGUCGACUCGGAUCGUGUAACACUUAGAUGACUAGAGGGAUGUCUAAUCUAAGUGGGAGUUCAUAAUUUGAUUAGAACUUAAUUAUCAUGAACUUAGUCUAAAACCUUUGCAAAUAUGUCUUGUAGAUCAAAUGGCCAACGCUCAUGUCAACAUGAACUUCAACGCGUUCCUAGAGAAAACCAAGCUGAAAGAUGAUGGCAGCAACUAUACGGACUGGGUCUGGAACCUGAGGAUCAUCCUCAUAGCUGCCAGGAAACAAUAUGUCCUAGAAGGACCGCUAGGUGACGCUCCCGUCCCAGAGAACCAAGACAUUAUGAAUGCUUGGCAAACCCGUGCUGAUGAUUACUCCCUCGUUCAGUGCGGCAUGCUUUACAGCUUAGAACCGGGGCUCCAAAAGCGUUUUGAGCAUCACGGAGCAUAUGAGAUGUUCGAAGAGCUGAAACUAGUUUUCCAAGCUCACGCCCGGGUCGAGAGAUAUGAUGUCUCCGACAAGUUCUAUAGUUGUAAGAUGGAGGAAAACAGUUCUGUCAGUGAACACAUCCUGAAGAUGUCUGGGUUACACAACCGUAUGACCCAGCUGAAUAUUAACCUCCCAGAUGAGGCGGUCAUUGAUAGAAUCCUCCAGUCGCUCCCACCAAGCUAGAAGAGCUUUGUGAUGAACUACAAUAUGCAGGGGAUGGUAAAGACCAUUCCUGAAGUAUUUUCUAUGCUGAAGUCAGCAGAGGUUGAAAUCAAGAAAGAACAUCAAGUGUUGAUGGUCAAUAAGACCACUAAGUUCAAGAAGGGCAAGGGUAAGAAGAACUUCAAGAAGGACAGCAAGGAGGUUGCCGCGCCCGGUAAGCCAGUUGCCGGGAAGAAGUCAAAGAAUGGACCCAAGCCUGAGACUGAGUGCUUUUAUUGCAAGGGGAAGGGUCACUGGAAGCGGAACUGCCCAAAUACUUAGCGGAUAAGAAGGCCGGCAACACCAAAGGUAUAUUUGAUAUACAUGUAAUUGAUGUGUACCUUACCAGUACUCGUAGUAACUCCUGGGUAUUUGAUACCGGUGCUGUUGCUCAUAUUUGUAACUCACAGCAGGAGCUGCGGAUAAACGGAGGCUGGGGAAGGAUGAGGUGACGAUGCGCGUCGGGAAUGGUUCCAGAGUCGAUGUGAUCGCCGUCGGCACGCUGCCUCUACAUUUACCUACGGGAUUAGUUUUGAACCUUAAUAAUUGUUAUUUAGUGCCAAGUUUGAGCAUGAACAUUGUAUCUGGAUCUCGUUUAAUACGAGAUGGCUACUCAUUUAAGUCCGAGAAUAAUGGUUGUUCGAUUUAUAUGAGAGAUAUGUUUUAUGGUCAUGCUCCGAUGGUCAAUGGUUUAUUCUUAAUGAAUCUCGAGUGUAAUAUUACACAUGUUCAUAGUGUAGAUGCCAAAAGAUGUAAAGUUGAUAACGAUAGUCCCACAUACUUGUGGCACUGCCGCCUUGGUCACAUUGGUGUCAAGCGCAUGAAGAAGCUCCAUGCUGAUGGACUUUUGGAGUCUCUUGAUUAUGAAUCGUUUGACACAUGCGAACCAUGCCUCAUGGGCAAAAUGACCAAGACUCCGUUCUCCGGAACAAUGGAGCGAGCAACCAACUUGUUGGAAAUCAUACAUACCGAUGUGUGUGGUCCAAUGAGCGUCGAGGCUCGCGGAGGAUAUCGUUAUGUUCUCACUCUAACUGAUGACUUAAGUAGAUAUGGGUAUGUCUACUUAAUGAAACACAAGUCUGAGACCUUUGAAAAGUUCAAAGAAUUUCAGAAUGAGGUGGAGAAUCAACGUGACCAAAAGAUAAAGUUCCUACGAUCAGAUCGUGGAGGAGAAUACUUAAGUCACGAAUUUGGCACACACUUAAGGAAAUGUGGAAUCGUUUCACAACUCACGCCGCCUGGAACACCUCAGCGAAACGGUGUGUCCGAACGUCGUAAUCGCACUCUAUUGGAUAUGGUGCGGUCUAUGAUGUCUCUUACCGAUUUACCGCUAUCAUUUUGGGGAUACGCUCUAGAGACAGCUACAUUCACUUUAAAUAGGGCACCGUCUAAAUCCGUUGAGAUGACACCGUAUGAAUUAUGGUUUGGGAAGAAACCUAAGCUGUCGUUUCUAAAAGUUUGGGGAUGCGAUGCUUAUGUCAAGAAACUUCAACCUGAAAAGCUCGAACCCAAGUCGGAAAAAUGCGUCUUCAUAGGAUACCCUAAGGAAACUGUAGGGUAUACCUUCUACUUAAGAUCCGAAGGCAAGAUCUUUGUUGCCAAAAACGGAUGCUUUCUGGAAAAAGAGUUUCUCUCGAAAGAAGUAAGUGGGAGGAAAGUAGAACUCGAUGAAGUACUACCUCUCGAACGGGAAAGUGGUGCAGCUCAAGAAAAUGUUCCUGUGAUGCCCACACCAAUUGAAGAGGAAACCAAUGAUGAUGAUCAAGGUACUUCGGAUCAAGUUGCUACUGAACUUCGUAGGUCCACAAGGACACGUUCCGCACCAGAGUGGUACGGCAACCCUGUCCUGGAAAUCAUGUUGUUAGACAACGGUGAACCUUCGAACUAUGAAGAAGCGAUGGCGGGCCCAGAUUCCAACAAAUGGCUAGAAGCCAUGAAAUCCGAGAUAGAAUCCAUGUAUGAAAACAAAGUAUGGACUUUGACUGACUUGCCCGAUUAUAGGCGAGCGAUAGAAAACAAAUGGAUCUUUAAGAAGAAGACGGACGCGGAUGGUAAUGUCACCAUCUAUAAAGCUCGACUUGUCGCUAAGGGUUAUCGACAAGUUCAAGGGAUUGACUACGAUGAGACAUUCUCUCCCGUAGCGAAGCUUAAGUCCGUCCGAAUCAUGUUAGCAAUUGCCGCAUACUAUGAUUAUGAGAUAUGGCAGAUGGACGUCAAAACGGCAUUCCUUAACGGGUAUCUUAAGGAAGAGUUGUAUAUGAUGCAGCCGGAAGGUUUUGUCGAUCCUAAGAACGCUAACAAAGUAUGCAAGCUCCAGCGAUCCAUUUAUGGGCUGGUGCAAGCAUCUCGGAGUUGGAAUAUUCGCUUUGAUGAGAUGAUCAAAGCGUUUGGGUUUAUGCAGACUUAUGGAGAAGCCUGCGUUUACAAGAAAGUGAGUGGGAGCUCUGUAGCAUUUCUCAUAUUAUAUGUGGAUGACAUACUCUUGAUGGGAAAUAAUAUAGAAUUUCUGGACAUCAUUAAGGCCUACUUGAACAAAUGUUUUUCAAUGAAGGACCUUGGAGAAGCUGCUUAUAUAUUAGGCAUCAAGAUCUAUAGAGAUAGAUCGAGACGCCUCAUAGGUCUUUCACAAAGCACAUACCUUGAUAAGAUUUUGAAAAAGUUCAAAAUGGAUGAGUCCAAGAAAGGGUUCUUGCCUAUGUUACAAGGUGUGAGAUUGAGCUCAGCUCAGUCACCGACCACGGCAAAAGAUAAAGAAGAGAUGAGUGUCAUCCCCUAUGCUUCAGCCAUAGGAUCUAUUAUGUAUGCCAUGCUGUGUACCAGACCUGAUGUAAACCUUGCCGUGAGUUUGGUAGCAAGAUACCAGAGUAAUCCCGGCAAGGAACACUGGACAGUGGUCAAGAAUAUCCUGAAGUACCUGAAAAGGACAAAGGACAGGUUUCUCGUUUAUGGAGGUGACAAAGAGCUCGUCGUAAAGGGUUACGUCAACGCUAGCUUCGACACAGAUCUGGAUGACUCUAAGUCACAAACCGGAUACGUGUAUAUGUUGAAUGGUGGAGCAGUAAGCUGGUGCAGCUGCAAGCAGAGCGUCGUGGCGGGAUCUACAUGUGAAGCGGAGUACAUGGCAGCCUCGGAGGCAGCGCAUGAAGCUAUUUGAGUGAAGGAGUUCAUCACCGACCUAGGAGUCAUACCCAAUGCGUCGGGGCCAAUCAAACUCUUCUGUGACAACACUGGAGCUAUUGCCCUUGCCAAGGAGCCCAGGUUUCACAAGAAGACCAGGCACAUCAAGCGUCGUUUCAACUGCAUCCGUGAAAAUGUUCAAGAUGGAGACAUAGAAAUUUGCAAAGUACAUAAGGAUCUGAAUGUCGCAGAUCCGUUGACUAAACCUCUCUCGCGAGCAAAAGAUGAUCAACACCAGAACUCUAUGGGUGUUCGAUUCAUCACAAUGUAACUAGAUUGGUGACUCUAGUGCAAGUGGGAGACUGUUGGAAAUAUGCCCUAGAGGCAAUAAUAAAAGUAUUAUUAUACUUCUAUGUUCAUGAUAAUUGUCUUUUAUUCAUGCUAUAACUGUAUUAUCAGGAAAUCAUAAUACACGUGUGAAUACAAAGACCACAAUAUGUCCCUAGUGAGCCUCUAGUUGACUAGCUCGUUGUGAUCAACAGAUAGUCAUGGUUUCCUGGCUAUGGACAUUGGAUGUCGUUGAUAACGGGAUCACAUCAUUAGAAGAAUGAUGUGAUGGACAAGACCCAAUCCUAAGCAUAGCACAAAGAUCGUGUAGUUCAUUUGCUAGAGCUUUGCCAAUGUCAAGUAUCUCUUCCUUUGACCAUGAGAGCGUGUAACUCCUGGAUACCGUAGGAGUGCUUUGGGUGUAUCAAACGUCACAACGUAACUGGGUGACUAUAAAGGUGCACUACAGGUAUCUCCGAAAGUAUCUAUUGUUUUAUGCGGAUCGAGACUGGGAUUUGUCACUCCGUAUGACGGAGAGGUAUCUCUAGGCCCACUCGGUAAUGCAUCAUCAUAAUGAGCUCAAGGUGACCAAGGUGUUGGCCACGGGAUCAUGCAUUACGGUAUGAGUAAAGUGACUUGCCGGUAACGAGACUGAACAAGGUAUUGGGAUACCGACGAUCGAGUCUCGGGCAAGUAACGUACCGAUUGACAAAGGGAAUUGUAUACAGGGUUUGAUCGAAUCCUCGACAUCGUGGUUCAACCAAUGAUAUCAUCGAGGAGCAUGUGGGAGCCAACAUGGGUAUCCAGACCCCGCUGUUGGUUAUUGCCCGAGAGUGGUUUCGGUCAUGUCUGCAUGUCUCCCGAGCCCGUAGGGUCUACACACUUAAGGUUCGGUGACGCUAGGGUUGUUAGGAAGACUAGUAUGUGACUACCGAAUGUUGUUCGGAGUCUCGGAUGAGAUCCCGGACAUCACGAGGAGUUCCGGAAUGGUCCGGAGGUAAAGUUUUAUAUAUGGGAAGUUGUUAAACGGGCACCGGAAAGUUUCGGGGUCAUACCGGUAUUGUACCGGGACCACCGGAAGGAAUCCAGGGGUCCACCGGGAGGGGCCACCCCUCCCGGGGGCCACUUGGGCUGCGUGGGGAUUGCAGCCAGCCCCUAGUGGGCUUGGCGCGCCCCCCUCCUUGGGCCCAUGCGCCUAGGGGUGGGGGGGGAACCCUAACGGGGGCGCACCCCCCUUGCUUGGGGGGCAAGCCCCCCACCCCUUGGCCGCCGCCCCCCCUUAGGGUUUUCCCUAGAGGGCCGGCCCCCCUUGCCCUUUCCCCUAUAUAUAGAGGGGUGAGGGGAGGGCUGCAAUACACCAUAACUCAAGGCGCAGCCCCUCCCCUCCCCAACACAUCUCCUCCUCCAUACGUGCUUGGCGAAGCCCUGUCGGAAUACUGCCGCGUCAACUGCACCACGCCGUCGUGCUGCCGUUGGAGCUGCCUUCCUCAACCUCUCCUUCCUCCUUGCUGGAUCAAGACGGAGGAGACGUCUCCCGUCCCGUAUGUGUGUUGAACGCGGAGGUGCUGUCCGUUCAGCACUAGGACAUCGGUGAUCCGAAUCACGUUCGAGUACGACUCCAUCGUCACCAUCUCCUUGGCAAGCUUCCGCUCGUGAUCUACAAGUGGUAUGUAGAUGCAAACUCUCUCCCUUGACUCGUUGCUUAGAUGAACUCAUAGAUGGAUCUUGGUGAAACCGUAGGAAAAAUUUUAAUUUUCUGCAACGUUCCCCAACACAAGGUCACCUUCCUCGAGACUUCUGGCGUUAACUUUGCGGCUAUGGUAGCGGCGCAAAGCUUGCUGGUAGCGAGCAGCUCGUACAGCAGCCUGAAGACGGUCUUCCUCAAGGAGUAGCGCGUCAUCUUGUCGCAGCUGCUCUUGCUCAAGCUCAUCAUAAGCGAGCACUCGAGGUGACCCGUAUACGAGUUCCGUGGGGAGAACUGCCUCUGCUCCAUAGACUAGAGCGAAAGGUGUCUGGCCAGUGGCUCGAUUUGGCAUUGUCCUGAUCGACCAAAGAACCACCGGCAGCUCCUCGAUCCAGUUUCUUCCGCACUUAUGCAGCCUGUCGAAAGUUCUGGUCUUGAGCCCAUGCAGCACUUCAGCAUUUGCCCUCUCCACUUGACCGUUGCUUCUCGGUUGAGCAACAGAAGCGAAGCAGACCUUGGCGCCAAGAUCUUGGACGUACUGCAUGAAGGUGCGGCUCGUGAAUUGCGUACCGUUGUUGGUGAUUAUCCUGUUAGGGAUCCCGAAGCGGCAAACAAUCGACCUGAAGAACUUGACUGCUGACUGUGCUGUCACCUUCCUCACUACUUCCACUUCCGGCCACUUUAUGAACUUGUCGAUUGCAACGUACAAGUACUCAAAGCCCCGACUGCUCGGGGAAAGGGGCCGAGGAUGUCGAGCCCCCAGACCGAAAAUGGCCAGGAUAAAGGGAUCAUCUGGAGAGCUUGAGCUGGUUGGUGUAUCUGCUUGGAAUGGAACUGGAACGCUUCACACUUGGUUACUUGUGCAGUUGCAUCCUGGAGGGCUGUCGGCCAAAAGAAACCUUGCCGGAAUGCUUUGCCGGCAAGUGCUCUUGCGCCAAUGUGGUGACCACAUAUGCCUCCAUGUAUCUCUGCCAACAGCUUUUGUCUGUCUUCCCGGUGAAUACACUUCAAUUUCACAUCGUUGAGUCUUCUUCUGUACAGUGUGUUGUCGACAAACUGGUACAUACUCGACUGCCGGGCUACUCUUUCCGCUUCUUCUUACUCUUCAGGAAGUUCUCCUGUCUGAAGGAAACGGACAAUCUGCUGUGCCCAUGCUGGAGCUUGUGGCUCGACAACAAGGACUAAAGGCAAAUCUGCUGCUGCGGGAACAUCCGCUUUUACGGCGAGAACCUGCGGCUCUGCCGGAGCUUGACGUUCCCCGGCAAGCUUGCCGGAGCAAAACUUGUCGGGAGCUUCUGUUGUAGUGGCGGGUGGCGGUGGCGAACGGUGCGAAGAGCGGGAUAUGCUCGGACUUCUAACUAUGUUAGAAGGAGCAGUAUCCCGUCCAGGCGACCGUGCCUCGCUCGUUCCAGCAUGUUGGCGUGCAUGCUGGUCUUGAGCACUCCGAGAUCCACCAGCUCGAUCUUGGUCCAGCAAACGCAUGGUACCGUGAGUACCAUGACGCUGCCGGUCCCGUGCCUCCUGAGAUGGGCGCAGUGCAUGUACGGACGUCGAGGUCUUGGAGUGCGCCCGGUCGUUGUGGGAGCCGGCUACGCCGCCGAUGGGCAGCGCGGCCUUGUCCUUGGACCUGGCAGCACCGUGAGCUCCCUCGCCGACGCCCAUUCUUCCGCCGGCGUCUGCCCCAUCAGCUGUUUGCUCCGGCGGUGGUGGGUUCGGCGCGGACGGAGCAGCCGCCUCCGAAGCCUUCUUCUUCGGCGGCUUGUCGAUAAAGAUGAUGAAGAUCUAGCUCAUGUGAACACCGGAUCUGGUUCACACAACCUCAAAGCCCCCUACCUGGCACGCCAAAGAUGUCGGGGGACUAAUCCACGAACACCUAUGGGACCGGCGGACCGAGUCCCUUUCGGUUCGGCGGGGGCGAGGGUCGCACGAAGAGCGGAUCGAGGCGAAGCACACGAGCAGUUUACCCAGGUUCGGGCCGCACGGAUGCGUAAAACCCUACUCCUGCUUUGUGGUUUGUAUUGAGUUCUUGCUCGGGAGCGCGGAGUGCUACAGUACACCUCAGCAGCUAACGAGACCGAGCGUGAGUGUUCUCUUCCUCCCCCCUCUACGUUGUGCAUGGGCCUCCUUUUAUAUGCUCAAGGGGUCACCGACAGGUGGCAACGUAGACAAGGGUAAAAAUGGAAAGGUGCUGCGGUUGGUACAGCUACCUGCUACAGUGUAUCAUACCUAACCCUGACGGCAGGGGACAAGGGCAUUAAAUGCCCGUCUGCGUCGCCUAAAUAGUGCAAAAGGGACCGCCAGGGACGCCUCCGCUCGCCACGAUGGCAAUCUUGUCAGUGCCGCUUGCCACCGCGCACCGCUGGCUGCACAUCCUCCCGCCACGUACGCCUGGAAGGGUCCCAGAGCGACACGUUGGUGGAUGUGCUGGAGCGCGGGCACAGAGUGGUGGCUUUCCGCGGCAAGCGCCUUGCCGCGGUCGUUGUCUUGUCGCGUCCGGGAGCUUGUCGCUCACCGGGCCUUGCCGGGACGCGUGGCGUGUCACGGCAAGUUCCUUGAGAUGCCUUGGUUGGCCUUCCCGGCAAGCUCCUCUUGCCGGGGUCUCGUCUCCUUGGCUUGGAUACUUUGUCCUUGAAUGGCUCCAAAGGAACCACGGAGGACCUUGGCGGUCACCCGGCAAGCCUUGCCGUGGGAUGCUGCGACUGCCCAUGCACAAGUUCGGGAUACUAGGGUACCCAUACUCUAGUACACCGACAGGGUUCGACGUCUAGUGGUCCGCCUAUUCACGGUCGGUUUUACAGUGGUCUCGUUGUGUCUUAAAGAGUCCUUGGCUAUGCCGACUCGGGGACGCUUCGUAUGUCAUGUGCACUGCCUUGUACAUGAUGGUGUUGUACGAUCGAGCCCGUGUAGGCCCCACCACAAAAACUUCGGAUGAAAUCUCUAUCAUAUGUUUGUUCCGGCUUACUCUGGAAGCCAAUCCUUUGUUUUGUUUUGAGUUGUGGUAUUCGAGUUGCUUCAAUGUCAAGUGUUGAUUCCAUACCUUCCCCAAAUGGUGUUCUCAUACUCCUAUGUGAAUACUAAACCUUCAUGAUAAUCGAGACUGUCAUGUCAAUCCUUUUCAACUGGUGUGCUUCUCUUCAAGUGGAUUCGAUCAUUUCAACUUCCACAAGAUCAAUUAUCAGUUCUUCUCAAUGGUGUUUGUUUCAUCCGUCUCCAAGUUGCCUUUGUUUUCCCACCCUCCCCCCCUUUGUUUCUUCAAGGACUCAGAUUUCUUCAUCAGGUAUCCAUUUUAUUCUUGUGAAGUCUCUCCAUUCUUUUCCUUCAUGUUCUUACCCGGUGAUUCUCAUGAAGAUUCUAACAGAGCCUCAAGUCUGGCACUCUUCACUCGUUUUCUUCUCCGGUGGAUUCAAAUCUAGCUUUGGUGUUGAUCACAUCCUUUCCUCGUUUCAAUGCUUUCUCAUGCCGGUGCACCUCUUAAUCUUCCACUUCUCACUAUUCAAUUGUUCCGGAGUGCUCAAGAUAUCUCAGAGGAUGUUAGUGUUUAUUCUCAUUCUUUCAAGAUCUUUUGAGAAUGUUAUCUUAUUCAAACCAUUUAAUUCAACCGGUGCUUUCUCUCUUAAAUCGUUCAAUGGUGUUCUUUUCAGUGGUCCCUAACCCACAGGUCUUUUCCCAGGAUCUUACCUGACUCUUCUAAUUUUUCCCGGAGCUAUCCUAAAUUCUUGUCAAAGUUUGACGUAAGUAUGAUUUAUCAUCGGUCAAAUGUGUUUUCCUCCAAAAUCUCUCAAUUCUUUUCAUCAUUGGUUCAACCUUUAUAAUUUUCCAUCCCGGAGUAUCUCAACAAUUCAUGGUGGUGUUUCUCAUCGGCAUUCUCAACAUUUGAAGACCGAAGAAGAGUUUCUCUUUAAUCUUGCUCUUUUCUCUUCAAGAUUCGUGAUUCUAGCUUGUUGCCAUCCUCUCGUAAUUGUAUUGAUCGUGAGAAUUCUUUUCACCUAUCCGGAGCAAUUCAAGAUUCUGCUAAAUUUGAUUAUCCGGAGGCCAUAAUUUCGGGAUUAUUCAUUCUCAGCUUUCAGCUAUCAUUCUCCAAUUUUACCGGUGUUUCGCUCAAGUGAUCUUUAAUCGGCUCGUGAUCUCUUUUUUCUCUUUUAUGUAAAUUCCCCUCAAGUAUCUUCAUUUGCUCUCUAAUUCUUCCCGGUGCUUCUUUAUUUUUCUUCUUCGUUCAUUUUCAAUUCUUACAGUGGUUUGCUCAAGAUUCUAUUCCAUGGUUAUCAUAUCAACUCAUUCGUUGUUUUCCAAAUCCUACCGAUGGCUUGUUGAAGACCGUCUCAAGUUUGCGCUAUAUCUCGCUUAAUCCUCUCUACGAGAAUAAGUAGUGUGCCAAAUCCGUUGCUUGUCAUCAAUUAAAUUGGUGAAGGAUAAGCAUAAUGUAAUUCUUAUUCUUGUUUCAUCCAAUUGAUUUAAUUUCUUAUUCCGGAGGUUCAUCAAAUUCUCGAUUCAAGUUGUCCAUCUUUCUUUUCCGGAGUUCCAAGUUUCCACUCAAUCUCAUCGCAAAGCUUCAUCUAAUCAUUACAAGGUUUCACCUUGUGUUUUCAACUUCUCUUUCUUUUUGUUAUUCUUUUGUAUCGGAGUUCUUCAUGGAGAUUCUACAUGGUGGUUCAUCAAGGCUUUAAAUUCCUUCUCGAAGUGUUCAUCAACAUUCAUUUCUAAGGAGCUCAAGCAUUCUCAUCUUGCAAUCCGGAGUUCAAUCUUUCUUCCGUAUCAUUGGAGGUGGUAUUAUGUCAUUCUUGAUAAUUUGGAAUUCAUGCUUCAUGAUUCACAUGUUGUCAUGAAUGAGAUAUUUUAAAUCCAUCAAUCUCGUCAUUGGAAUUAUCUUGGGUUAUAUUUCACCUAAAGCUUUCCCUAAGGAGUAAUGCUAUUAAUGGUGAUAUUAUAUGAUCCAAGAUUUUCAUUUAUCCUCCCGGUGAAAUAGUUUCUCGUCUCCUUGUUCUUAUCAAUCCAAUUCUUUUCCCGUGAGUGGCAGGUUGUCACCUCAUAAUUUGAGAUGUACUCCAUAAGACCUUAUCAAGCUUAUUCUUUUCGUUGUUGGUUUUCCAACAACUCCGUUCUAGCAUUUGUUGUAAGUGUGCUCCCUCAAGAUUGUGUUUCCCUUUGUUCAUUCCAUUUCAUUCUUACUUUUGUUCCAGAGGCAUUGUGAUGUUGCUUUCUUCAACCAUCAUCUCGUUUCAUCAAAGAUUAUGUUCUUUUCAUGAUUGUCCAUUUAACUGGAGUGCCGUGCCCUCUUUUCAAGAUCUAUCACCUUAUCAAGUUCUUAUUUAAUUCCUUUUAUUGUCAAUCAGAGUGCUGCCCGAGGUUGUUCUCCCUUGUUUCCUCUUUUCUAACAGAGUGUUUUCAGCUUCGAUCAUCUCCAUUGUUUACGUUUCUCAAAAUGGCUUAACCUUUUUCAAGGUUCUUUGGUCUUACUCGUUUGUCAAAGAAGCAACUUAGUUUUACCUCUUCUCUUUCUCUUCCGUUUUCCCUCCGGUGCCAUUCUAGAUCUCGGGACGAGAUCCUCUCGUAGUGGUGGAGUGUUGUAACGCCCCGAGACCGAUGUGACAGGUGUCCUCCAGUUAUUCGCUGUUGUUGCCUUGUCAUUUGCUUGCGUGUUGCAUCUUAUCAUGUCAUCAUGUGCAUUGCAUCAUCAUGUUUUCGAAACUUGCAUCCGUCCCGUUCUCCUCGUUCCGUCCGUUGUCCAUUCUGAGCCCAAACACACUUGCACGCGCCCGCGGCAUGUCUGAAAUAUUAUUUUAUAAGUGGCCAGAAAAUGUUCUCGGAAUGGGAUGAAAGUUGGCGUGUGGUCUUAUUAUAGUGUAGAUAGACCGCCUGUCAAGUUUCAUCGCAUUCGGAGUUCGUUUGAUAGCCCAACCGUUAACUAUAGCGGCAAUAUAGCCGGUCUAACGUCGGACGUUUUCGGUCUCCGGAAACCGUGCUAGGCUGCAUCUCUCCCCUCUUCUCUCAGACCAACCAGCUCUUCACAAUACGCCAGACCCAACCUAACCUCUCUCGUCAGCCCGCGGCCCUCCUCGCGCGCGUCCGAAAGUUGUCCCAGACCCGACCCGGACAGUCGCUACCGUUGUGUCCGGAUCAUCUCCAAACGUCUACAAAACGUCAUCGUUUUCUUAUUUGGACUCCCUAGCUAUUUUAUUCGCGUCCGUCCGAUUACGAUUGGAGGGAUCCGAUAGCCCCUAACUAUUUCCACCUGCCAUAUAUAUACUAGGUCCAACCCUAAUAAUCAGGAGCCUUGUCCCAUCCUCCCAGCAGCCGCCGCCGCUCCUAGAUCCACCUCGGGAUCCCCUUCACUCGAACCAGCCACCGACCCCCUCCUCCUCGAUUUCAGCUACCAACCAACCUUCGCUUUCUUCUGCCUCCUGUCGUCCCAGGGAAGAGGACAUUCUCUUGGAGCCCGAGCUCCUCUUCCCGAGCUGCAGCCACCCCGCAGCGUCCAACCUCGCCGGCCUCCAGGUCCUCUGCUUCUCCUCUGUUUUCUUCUUCCCCCUCUCCCGAUUUCUUCCUCUCUCACGAUCUCCCUCUCUCUCUGUUUUUUUCAUCAGCUGCAGGUUGCCGCCGCCUUGGUCAACCCUCGCCGGAGCUCCGUCGACGCCCCGUUGGCCGGAUCCGGCCCGGAAACAGGCGGAUCCAUCCAUCCCCGCCUGAGCCCCGUGCCCUUCGCCGCCUCCCAUACGCCUCUGCUCGUGCCUGAGCACGAGCGCCUCACCGGACGCCUCACGCAGCAGUCCCGCAUCAAGUCUCGCACUGUCGUCCUUGUCCUCGUAGCCUCCCCGCUCUCCUCGUCGGCGUAGGGAGAUGAGCCCCUCUCGAACUCCAGCAACGGCGCCGCCCCUCGCAUCGACUGCCGCCGUCGCCAUGGCCUACUUCGCCUCGACGCCAUGGCCGCCCGAACCUGAAGCUCCAUCCUGCCUCGUUCCACGCCUUGGUUCCGGCCAGAACGGGCCGUCCCUGACCUCCACCGCCCAGAUCCGCCGCCGCGCCGUCCCGGAGUCCCACGCCAAGUCCUCCGCCGGCGCUCCUUGCCUCGUUCGUCAGGGAAACGACGAGUACGUGGCUCGUCAACGCUCCAGCCGCUGACCACGACCGUGUGCGCCUCGUCCACGUCUUCCAGGAAGGCUACGACGACACGCGUGGGCUGCGCCAGUGCAAGCCCAAAUCCCUCGAUCCACCCACCGGCCUAGCUUCGCCUCUGCCAGACUCUCCUCCAGCAAGGCCCCUCAAGGCCCAGCCGUCUGCCUCGUCCAGCCCAACACCAACCGGGCCAAGCCCAAUGUGAGAAGCACCCCUCCAGCCCCUGUGCACUGUCUGGCCAGCAAGAUUCGGCCCAUGUCAUGUUUUUUCCCGUCCUACGAAUUUGCUAUUUAAUCAGAGAACUGCAGUUUUUCAGAAAAACCCCUAGAGUUCUUGCAUAUCAUAACUCACCAACCGUGCAUCGGAUCUAAAUAAAUUAUAUAUGAAAGUUGCUUAGAAUUUUGUCUAGUUUAAGAAUAUUCAACUUUCAUGCAUGUUUGAAAUAUUUAAAAUGCUGUUUGGUUAAAUUUUCUCAAAUAACUUGUUAAAAUGUUUUAAUUCAUAACUAAAUAACCGUAACUCGGAUUUUAAUAAUCUUUAUAUGUAAAUGGGGUAGAAAAAUGCCUAGAUUUACAUGGUAGCCUCAUCUUGCAUGUUUAACAACUCUAAAAUAAUGUUUAGGGCAGAACAGUACCAAACCUUAAAUUAUGCAUAUGAGGAUUUUCCGGAAUUGUUGUUCGUUCCUUCCGGCCUCAUUUAAACUUGCCUAGAUAGGUAGUUUUGUUGUGCUUCACCCCUUGCCAUGUUAAUCAACAUUUAAUAUUGUUGGGUACAUAAACGAGAUCGAACUAAAUAACUUAUCGUGGUGUUUCGUCAAUAUGCACCGUUGCAUAUUGAGCUCCACUUAAUUUGUAGGAUUGCUUGUGCACUUUGCCAUGCCAUGCUUCAUUAAACCGGACAUGCAUCAUACUUGAUUGUGCAUCAUGCCAUGAUUAUGUGGUGGUUGUUUACUAUGUUGUGUGCUUCUUUCCGGUGUUUGCUUCGUCGGGUUGGUUCCGGUAACGUCGCGUUUGUGAGGACCCGUUCGUCUACAUCCGUUUGUCUUCUUCAUGGACUCGUUCUUCUUCCUUGCGGGAUCUCAGGCAAGAUGACCAUACCCUCGAAAUCACUUCUAUCUUUGCUUGCUUAGUUGCUCGCUCUUUUGGUAUGCCUAUGCUGCGAUGCCUACCACUUGCUUUUCAUGCCUCCCAUAUUGUUGAACCAAGCCUCUAACCCACCUUGUCCUAGCAAACCGUUGUUUGGCUAUGUUACCGCUUUGCUCCGCCCCUCUUAUAGCAUUGUUAGUUGCAGGUGAAGAUUGAAGUUUGUUCCUUGUUGGAACAUGGAGAUGUUGUUCCUUGUUGGAACAUGGUUACUUGUUGGGAUAUCACAAUAUAUCUUAUUUAAUUUAAUGCAUCUAUAUACUCCCUCCGUUCUGAAUUACUUGUCUUAGAUUUGUCUAGAUGCGAAGGUAUCUAGCACUAAAAUGAGUCUAGAUACAUCCGUAUCUAGAAAAAUCCAAGACAAGUAAUUCGGAACGGAGGGAGUACUUGGUAAAGGGUGGAAGGCUCGGCCUUAUGCCUAGUGUUUUGUUCCACUCUUGCCACCCUAGUUUCCGUCAUAUCGGUGUUUUGUUCCUGGAUUUUGCGUUCCUUACGCGGUUGGGUUAUAAUGGGAACCCCUUGACAGUUUGCUUUGAAUAAAACUCCUCCAGCAAGGCCCAACCUUGGUUUUACCAUUCGCCACCUAGCCUUUUUCCCUUGGGAGUCGCGCAUCCCGAGGGUCAUCUUAUUUUAACCCCCCCGGGCCAGUGCUUGUCUAAGCGUUGGUCCAAACUAGAGCCCCUUGCAGCGCCACCUCGAGGAAACUCGAGGGCUGGUUUUAGUUGUACGGGUUGCUUAUCCGGUGUUGCCCUGAGAAUGAGAUAUGUGCAGCUCCUAUCGGGAUGUCGGCGCAUCGGGUGGUCUUGCUGGACUUGUUUUACCAUUGUCGAGGAUGUCUUGUGGAACCGGGAUACCGAGUCUGAUCGGAAUGUCUCGGGAGGAGGUCUAUUUCUUCGUUGACCGUGAGAGCUUGUCAUGGGCUAAGUUGGAACACCCUUGCAGGGAUUUGAACUUUCAAAAGCCGUGCCCGCGGUUAUGGGCAGAUGGGAAUUUGUUAACGUCCGGUUGUAGAAAACCUGAAGUUGACCUUAAUUAAAAUGAAUCAACAGCGUGUGUUACCGUGAUGGUCUCUUUCCGGCGGAGUCCGGGAAGUGAACACGGUGUUGGAGUAAUGUUUGACGUAGGUUGUUCUAGGAUCACUUCUUGAUCAUUGUUUCUCGAUCGUGCUUUGCCUUCUCUUGUCGCUCUCUUUUGCGAAUAUGUUAGCCACCAUAUAUGCUAGUCGCUUGCUGCAGCUCCACCUCAUACCUUUACCUUACCCAUAAGCUUAAAUAGUCUUGAUCGCGAGGGUGUGAGAUUGCUGAGUCCCCGUGACUCACAGAUACUUCCAAAACCAGCUUGCAGGUGCCGAUGAUGCCAUUCCAGGUGACGCAACCAAGCUCAGGAGGAGCUCGAUGAAGAUCUUGUCCUUUGUGUCAUUUCGUUCUAGUUGAUUAGUAGUGGAGCCCAGUUGGGGUCGAUCGGGGACCUUUGUCGCAUUUGGGGUUCUUCUUUUAUUUUGGUUCCGUAGUCGGACCUUGUUUUUAUCUGGAUGAUGUAAUGCUUUAUUCAUGUAUUGUGUGAAGUGGCGAUUGUAAGCCAACUAUGUAUCUCUUUUCCCUUAUGUAUUACAUGGGUUGUUUGCGAAGAUUGCCUCACUUGCGACAUUGCUUUUAAUGCGGUUAUGCCUCUAAAUCGUGCUUCGACAUGUGGGAGAUAUAGCCGCAUCGAGGGCGUUACAAUACUCAAGUGGAAGGCAUUGACUUCGAUGAAACAUUUGCUCCUGUGGCUAGACUUGAAGCCAUACGCAUACUGCUGGCCUAUGCAAAUCAUCAUAACAUACUUCUAUAUCAAAUGGAUGUGAAGAGUGCCUUUCUCAAUGGCAAGAUUGAAGAAGAAGUGUAUGUUGCACAACCGCCUGGCUUUGAAGAUCCAAAACAUCCUGACAUGGUAUACAAGCUCAACAAGGCACUGUAUGGCCUCAAACAAGCCCCUCGGGCCUGGUAUGACACACUCAAAUACUUCCUGAAGAGCAAAGGCUUCAUACCUGGUUCCCUAGAUCCCACUCUUUUCAUGAAGACAUAUGAUGGUGAACUGUUUGUGUGCCAAAUAUAUGUGGAUGACAUUAUCUUCGGCUGCACCAAUCAGAAGUACAGUGAAGAGUUUGGAUAUAUGAUGCAAGAGCAAUAUCAGAUGUCCAUGAUGGGGGAGCUGAAGUUCUUCCUCGGUCUUCAAAUACGACAACAACGCAAUGGCAUCUUCAUAUCUCAAGAGAAGUAUCUCAAAGAUUGCCUGAAGAAGUUCGGUAUGCAAGACUGCAAAGGCUUCACAACACCAAUGCCAGCCAAACAUCAUUUGGGUCCUGACGACAAUGGUAAAGAGUUCGAUCAAAAGGUAUACCGCUCCAUGAUUGGUUCUUUACUUUAUCUAUGUGCAUCUAGGCCAGAUAUUAUGCUUAGUGUUUGCAUGUGUGCUCGAUUUCAAGCGGCACCAAAGGAGUCACAUCACUUAGCUGUGAAGCGAAUUCUUCGAUAUUUAGCUCACACCCCAACUCUAGGAUUAUGGUAUCCAAAGGGCUCAGAGUUUGAUCUAGUUGGAUUUUCGGAUGCUGAUUAUGCUGGUGACAAAGUUGAUCGCAAGUCUACAUCAGGCACAUGUCACUUUCUGGGACGAUCACUUGUAUGUUGGUCUUCAAAGAAGCAGAACUGUGUAUCUCUCUCCACUGCUGAAUCUGAAUACAUUGCUGCUGGAUCUUGCUGCGCUCAGCUUCUGUGGAUGAAGCAAACACUCAAGGACUAUCGCAUUCAUAUGAAGCAAGUGCCACUUUACUGCGACAACGAAAGCGCCAUCAAGAUUGCCAACAACCCAGUUCAGCACUCGAAGACAAAGCACAUUGAAAUUCGUCAUCACUUUCUCAGAGAUCAUGUUGUGAAGGAAGACAUUGAUAUCAUACACGUCAACAUUGAAGAGCAAUUGGCAGAUAUCUUCACCAAGCCCUUGGAUGAGAAGAGGUUUUGCAAGUUGCGGUGUGAGCUAAAUAUCCUGGAAUCCUCAAAUGUCCUGUGAUCAGGCACACAUCCUAACCCUUAUGCAUAUUGAUGACUUAGAUAUGCAACACACAAAGUAAAGUAUAUCUUCAAUCAAUGAAGACAUACAUUCUAAGUGUGAAUACAUUAAUGUGGAAUUUGACUUCGGAGCGCCACGAUAAUUAUGCGCCGUGUCUGGGUCUAAUACUUCCUAUACGGUGGGUAACGCCACCACCAAACGUUCUAUUUUGAAGUGUUUCACUCAUGGCGUUACCUUGCAAUGUCUUCACAUUUGGUUUGGCUUCGAUCUCAACAUAUUUUCAUGAUUAUCUUCACUAUGUUGGUUGAUUAUAUAUAUAUAUAUAUAUAUAUAUAUAUAUAUAUAUAUAUGCUAGUGUUCUGUCCUCUACAGCAUUCACUUAUAGCUAUGUCUUCGUGUUGAAUUUUUUUUGAACUAAGUGAAUGUGAUCGGACCCUAACCUCUCUAUGCUUUCUAUCUCAAACUCUAUCUCCCCAAGUAAUAUGCAUUCUAUUGAAACUGUCGAAUGUCUUCUCUGCGUCCUUGUCAGCAGAAGAUACAGAGACAACCAUUAAGUCCGUUUUCAAUGCUCAUUCCUCCACAUGAAAUCUGGAGAAGUAGGAACGACCACCCGACAAUCCAGGCGUGCGUGGGACGUGGAACAAACCCCAAAAUUCCGCAUAAUGGCCACGUGUUCCUCAGAUGCGAAUCCCCAGGGGCACCUGUGUAAUAGCACAGUGCCGCCCCUAUGCCUAUAAAUACACACUCACAGCGGUCAUUAUCUCUUCUUCCACCCUCGCACGAACCCUAGCGCCACCGCUAGCCCUCGACGAUGCCGGCGACGAAGCGCUUCGCUGCCGCAACCUCUCUGACGCCGUCUUCACGCCGACCGCGGACAUCAUCCUCUCCGCCGUCGCCGUAGGUGUCCUCCGUCGCCAAGUUAGGGCACGGAAGAUCGAACUGCUCGGCCUCAUCUUACACUCCAUCUAGCAGUUCUUAGUGUGGUAAAUAAAACUUCCUCUUUUACAGCACCAUUGAUCCUAUGGAUUUGUCACUUUCUACCACAAGCAGUUUCUGUUCACACAAGCUAGAUCUCUCUCGUACUGCAUCUCAUAACAUGCCUAUUAUAUUCACUUGUGCUUCACAAAGUAGUUAGGUUCCUCACUUGUACUGAUCUAUGGAUUUGUACAAAUCUGGAACCAACUUCUUAUCUGUGAGUGAAUGUCUUCGCACGAUGAGGUCAAUGUCUUCUAAACUGAUUUAUCUUCAAAAUCUUCUGAGGAUGCAUAUGACCUCUUCCCCUUCCCUCGCACCUUAAUGCUGUCACAGGUACAUGUCCGUGGGAGAAUCCUUCGGUUCUCAUAGUCUGCAUUCAUUUGCAGAAUUCUUACAGCAUCACAUAAAUUCUCCCGAAGCCAGUUCCUGUUGGUCCAGCAAACGAAAACCUUUGAAGCCUUUGAACAUCUUGAAGCCUUUCAGGUUAAAUUUUAUGGCUUCAGAGAAAGCAGCAAGGAAGGGUGGCAGAAAGCGUCAUGGUGAGACCUCCAGAGAUCUGCCAGAUGAACUCUCAGAAAUGUACAAGACAGAUCCUGAAGAGGAUUACAGUCAGCGCAAGACCCGAAUCCAAUGGAUUCAAAGAUAUUGGGCAGAACAAUGGUUCAAAUACAGAUUUGUGACCCAGGAGUAUGCUGAGAAAAACGCCACCAAGAGACCGUGGGGAGACAUCCUAUUCAAGAAUCUUCUACCCAGGUUCAGAGAUGAAGCCAUUGCUCAAGGCUUCUAUCCAUGCAUGGUCCGUGGACCACAGCCUACUGAUGCACACUCGUCGUCACUGCUAUGGUGUCGAUGACGACAAUCUGUUCAAGCGCAACUUACAGUUUGCUCAGAACUCAGCGAAGCAGAACAAGAAGACUUUUGGGUUAGACUUCAACCCUGGUCCCUCAGCACCAAGGGCAGAUGGCACACGAGAUGCUGAACCCAAUGUCAUCGGUCCUUUCGCCAACCUUGAAGGCCUCAUCACCUACAUCUUAGUUCAAGGGACUGCAGUGAAUGAGCCUACAACUGACACUGAGUCAGAAGAAGCUUCUGCAGCUCUGAAGACAAAGAAGUUGAAGAAGCCUAAAGCUUCAAAACCUGCCUCUUCACCAAAAGUCUCAAGGGCGAAGCCACUGGCAGCUGCACCUCCUGAAGACAGUGUGCAGUGUGAAGACUUAUCACGCGUCUCCAAGCCCCAGAAGGCCAAGAUGCCUCUGUCUCACACUGGCAAAGAGCUAACAGCUGCUGCCAUUCUGCGCAACGACGACAUUGAUCUGUCAAGUGAUCAAGAUCUUGCAGAUGACGCUCUUGAGCAACUCAUCAAGAGCAAAGAAGAAGCAGAAAUCUUCAAUGAUCUGCCUCUCUUUGAUGUCACCAUCAUCCACAACUUCAUUGACGAGUGGUUUGACACGCCAAACAUCAGCUUUGAAGAUCUGCAGCUACCCAUUGGCCUCAGUGUCGCCUUCCAAGGCGCCAUUGCUUCAGAACUUGCUAUUGCCCAGCGCAUUGUUGAACUGAAGCAGAAGAUUGACUAUGAAAAGGCUCAGUUCAAGAAGCAUAUGGCCAAGCUCAGCAUGCAAGAAGUGAAGAACUUCAAGACAAUGAUGCACGAGCUCAAGGAAGCCUUUGUGAAGAAGUGUGUAGAAGCUCAGGGUUCGCGUGAGCGCAUGAAGACUCUGGCUGACAGAUGUGUGCAAGCCUAUAAUGAGGCUGAGAAGCGCAAGGCACUUGGGCGUCCUGGCAUCGACCCCAGGAUGGCCGCAAAGAAGAAGAAGAAGCCUGCUACGGCUGAACCUGAUGCACCAAGGCAAGAAGCAGUUCCGAUUGUCUUCCCAACUAGACUGACUGGCUCGAAGCCAAAAAGCCGGUCAACAGCUUCAGAGCUCAAGAAGACAAGGACUGUUGAGGCUGAAGCCAGGAAGAGGAAACACUCUGAAGCCUCUCCUACUGCCCCCUCCAAGAAGAAGAGGAAGACCAAGAAAGCUCGGGCUGCUUCCACAGAGCCCUUGGUAGUUGAACCCAUUUCUAUGGUCUAUCCUGAAGCGGAACGACAACUAACAAUUCAUGAGCCUGCUUCCACAGAGGCUCAUGAAGCUGAAGACAUUUCAGCAGCUGAUCCCAUCGCUGCUGAAGACAUUGGUCAACAUGACAAUGUAGAAGAUGAUGCAGUCCUUCCUCAGUUUGAAAACAGCGAACUCAUCAGCAUUGGUCGUCCACUGACGCCAAUUGCACAAGAUGCUUCAUGGACGGAUCGCCCACAAGAGGAAGAAGACUAUGAGGCCCAGCCCACUCCAACUCCACAGGCAUCGUCUGCAUUACGCAGGCUUCGCAAAGGUCCAAGGCCUCAAGUCUCUGCUGAAGACAUUCCGGUUGCAUCAGCCGCAGAAGACAAAGUACCACAAGAUCCCACUCCCCUGUUCCACCAAGAAGCAGUUCUCCAGGAGAACGUGCCUGUGACCGACCCUCCAGCUAGUCAAGUGGAGGAUGAAAAUCUUGAGGCUGCCACAACUAACAAUGAAGCUAAUGUGGAGCCCUCCCCAGCAAAAGCUUCAGAAGAUAGCGAAGCCACUGAUCCCGCCACUUCUGUUCCUGAGUCUGCUGCCGGUCCCCAACUCAACUAUCAUGUUGAGCACAGGCCUCAGGUCCAGAAGCCAAUCCCAAGACUGCCAAGGUUUCCAGGUCCUACAUCAGCACCUGGCUCCUUCAACAUCAAUGGCUUAAGGGCAGACAACACGUUCUUCAAUAGCUCCAGGAACCCCUACUCAAGGGAAAGGAUAUCAUUUGAUCGGUUCUGGAGUUAUCCUCAGCGAAGCUAUUACUCUUGCAUUCUUUACAACCAAGGUCGCAUCUUCCCACACAAGCGCCUUGACGUUGAAGCUAUAGCCGGUAUGCCCUGUCUAGAGGAAGCGUUGGAUUGCUUCAAGUAAGGGGGUCUGCUACAGUUUGUUACUGCUGAAGAGCAUUGGAAUGAAGAGCUGCUACUAUAAUUCUAUGCCACACUUCACAUCAAAGGGUACAGCAGAGAUCCGAAGACUUGGGUCCUGGAGUGGAUGACUGGCAACGUUCAUCACGAAGCCAAUGCAUUUGACAUCAUUGAGCUCACUGGCUUGCCCACUCCUGGCGAUCUCUUCGAGCAAGGCUGUCAGCUGCAUGCUGAAGCUAUUGAGAGCAUCUUUCAGCGGCCAGAACCUGAUAUGAGUCAAAUGCUCGGCAUGAUGAAGCCAUUGCCCCAAGAUGCUGCGUAUCCCACAGAGUUCUUCGUUGAAGACCUUGAGUACCUGCCCAGAACCAUCUAUCACAUCAUCAGGCGAACUCUCUGGCCUAUCGAAGGGCACUCUCCAAAUGCCAAGCUUCAGGGUGCAAUGAAGACUUUGGUCUUCUAUAUACUUCAUGGCAAAUGCUUCAAUGCACAUGACUUCUUCAUACGCCAACUUGCUGCAUCAGGCAUUGAUCUGUUUGGUUUGAAGUUCUACGCCCCUUGGGUCAUGCGGCUGAUCAAGCUACACUCCGCCAUGUCGUAUCAGCCCUUAGCCCGCAACCAUCGGAUCUUCUUGCCUGACGUGGACAUGUCUACUGAAGCCAUAUAUUCUAAGCCUGCCAAGCAACCUCUAAGUCUUCAGAAUGCAGACCAUUAGAGUUUUGCUCAGAAUGUUGAAGGCGUUGAAGCAGUUUCUCGGGUGUAUCCUUUGGCUGGCACUACACGUGCACCACACCCUGCUUCCACUGAAGCCACUGACAGUGCCACUGCUCCAAGACCCAAGAAGCGCACUCGUGUUCUCAACGACCGAGAGCUUCUUGUGGCUCUACAUCAGAAACAAGAUAGGCAUCAUGACUAGCUGAAGCAUCAGAUGAAAAGCCUCUUGGUGGAUGUUAAUCGCACUCGAAAUCUUGCCACCAAGAAUGCUUUCAUUGCCCAUGAAACCUGUCGCCACACAUGAAAAGGGCUCACGAUGAUGUGUUCUGAAGCUGAUCUUCAAGAGGAUGGCUUCUCUAAGAGAUUCAAGUUUGACUCCACACCUCCUCGAAGGGCUGUGCUGCUAGGAACUCCAUCCCUUGAAGACUCUGAGUUCUCUUCCUCUGCUGCCACAGUGACUGCCAGAAUUAUUGAGGAAGAAGACGAUGCUACUUCACCGCCACCUCCUUCAGCACCUCCAAGCUCUUCUGCACCGCCAAACAACACCAACAACCCUGCUACUUCACCUACUCCUCGUGGGAACGAGUAGAGGCUCUAUGUCUUCAAACCUUUUUGGUCAUUACUGACAAAAGGGGGAGAAGCAUAUGAGAUUGAUAGUCUUCAAGCGGGUCCAAAUGGGCGGGUGCUUUAUAUUUUGCUUCGUGCUUAAAACUCUUGUUUAAGCUAAAUUUGGUUCUUAUGAGUUGUAACACUUAAACUAGAUGGUCGUCUGCUACUUAUUUGCCACCUUGUCUUGCGAAGAUAAAUUCCGCAUGUGCGACGAUAAAUUCCGCACUUAGCUCAUUCUGCAGACGUCCAUUUUCCAUUAUGCAUGUCAUUAUCUUCAUAUACUCUCACAUGCAUAGUGGAUUGUCAUCAUAAGUUGAAGUGGAUCUCCACAAGUACAACCUGCCAUGUGCAUUUGCAUUCCAAAAGCAAAUUAACUUAUAUGCACAUCUUCAGGGGGAGCCCUUGCAACUUAUGAAGACAAUUCCUUAUUCUGUACAAUUUCACAGAUUAUAUUCCCCGUUGAAAACUUCAACUAGUUUGUCAUCAAUCACCAAAAAGGGGGAGAUUGUAAGUGCAUCUAGUGCCACCCCUAGUUGGUUUUGGAGUAUUGACGACAAACCUAGUUGAGGGACUAAUGUGUUUGUGAGAAUUGCAGGAUAACACAGGUAGAAGUCCCUCAUUGAUUCGGUUUUACUACCAAAGAUGACCCCUAAAAAUGUACGAAGACAUUGAAGUCAAAGGUGGUAUAUGAAGAUAUUCACAUUGAAGACUAUGACAAGAGAAGACACUAUAUGAAGCCUAUGGAGCUCGAAGACUUAGAUCUUUCGUAGUUCUUUUUCUUUUUGUGUUGAGUCAUAGGAACCACCGUACUGUUAAGUGGGGUCCAAGAGAACCAGUCAGAAUGACUGAAGUGAUGCCUAAACCAAAAACACAUGUCUUCGAGUGAAGACUAUGAGAGCGAAUCUUGUCCAGAGUCGAACAAGUCAGCUUUGCUUGUAGCCCAAGUAAAGUUGCCGUGUGAGUUUGAAAUCUGACCGUUGGAACACGUGUCGGUUCCUUAGUGACCCAGGGUCAUUUCAGGACAAAUCAGGCCGGGUUGCCAAGUGGCUAUAAAUAGCCCACCCCCUACAACCAUAAACGGUUGGCUGCUCAGAUUGAUAGUACGGCUUUUGUUGUUUGAGAGCAACCCACCUCGAAGCCUUUGAGAGAGAAUUCCUUGCGAGGAUAAAGCCCUAACCACCAGAGCCAGAGAGAAUUGGGCAUCAAUUAAGUCUUCUUAUCUGUAUGAUCUAAAGACUUAUUACACUUGAGGACUGUGCAUCCUCCAGCCAGUUAGGCGUCGCGUUCUGAGCAUCCAAGAGACAUUGUGGAUUGCCGGUGAACGAAGUCUGUGAAGGUUUGGGAGUCUACCUUGAAGACUUACCAGAGUGAUUGGCGAGGUCUAUGUGACCUUAGCUCAAGGAGAAUACGGUGAGGACUGGGUGUCCUGAGCUGCGUGUUCAGGACUGGGUGUCCAGGACUGUGUGUCCUAAGGUUUAAAUACCUAGCCGCUCCAACCAGAUGUACAGUUGUCACAGCAACUCGAACUGGUCCAACAAAUCAUUGUCUUCAACGAGUCACUGGUUUCAUCUUCACUUCACUUUACUUACUGUUACUCCUUGUGAAGUCAUUGUAUGUUUGCACUAUCAUUUGUCUUCACUGAGUGACUACGUGUUCUGUUUGGCUUCACAAUAUCUUCCUACCUGAUCCUUACUACCUAGCUGCUAUUAGUCUUUGUGCUUUCACUUCAUUGAAUAAUUGACUAUGGUUUGCCUAGUGUAGUCUACCUUCUGCUGCAUGGUAAUAGGUUUAAUUUUAUCAUUUGUCUUCAAAACUUCUAUGUUCUGAAGACUUUCAUAAAAAUCGCCUAUUCACCCCCCCCCCCUCUAGUCGAUAUAACGCACUUUCACCGAUGACAAAGGGAACAACGUAUGUUCUUAUGUGGUUUGACCGAUAAAGAUCUUCGUAGAAUAUGUAGGAACCAAUAUGAGCAUCCAGGUUCCGCUAUUGGUUAUUGACCGGAGAUGUGUCUCGGUCAUGUCUACAUAGUUCUCGAACCCGUAGGGUCCGCACGCUUAACGUUCGGUGACGAUCGGUAUUAUGAGUUUAUGUGUUUUGAUAUACCGAAGGUAGUUCAGAGUCCCGGAUAUGAUCACGGACAUGACGAGGAGUCUCUAAAUGGCCGAGACAUAAAGAUCGAUAUAUUGGACAGAUAUGUUCAGGCACCGGAAGUGUUCCGGAGAAGUUUCGAAUAAAAUCAGAGUGCCAGAGAGUUAUUGGAAACCCCGGGGGAACUAAUGGGCCUUGAUGGGCCUUAGUGGAGAGAGAUGGGCGGCCAGGGCUGUUGGAAAUAUGCCCAAGAGGCAAUAAUAAAAUGGUUAUUAUUGUAUUUCCUUGUUCAUGAUAAUUGUCUAUUGUUCAUGCUAUAAUUGUAUUAACUGGAAACCGUAAUACAUGUGUGAAUACAUAGACCACAACAUGUCCCUAGUAAACCUCUAGUUGACUAGCUCGUUGAUCAAUAGAUGGUUAUGGUUUCCUGACCAUGGACAUUGGAUGUCAUUGAUAAUGGGAUCACAUCAUUAGGAGAAUGAUGUGAUGGACAAGACCCAAUCCUAAGCAUAGCACAAGAUCGUGUAGUUCGUUUGCCAAGAGCUUUUCUAAUGUCAAGUAUCAUUUCCUUAGACCAUGAGAUUGUGCAACUCCCGGAUACCGUAGGAAUGCUUUGGUGUGCCAAACGUCACAACGUAACUGGGUGGCUAUAAAGGCACACUACGGGUAUCUCCGAAAGUGUCUGUUGAGUUGGCACGAAUCGAGACUGGGAUUUGUCACUCCGUGUGACGAAGAGGUAUCUCUGGGCCCACUCGGUAAUGCAACAUCAUAAUGAGCUCAAUGUGACUAAUGAGUUAGCCACAGGAUCAUGCGUUACGAAAUGAGUAAAGAGACUUGCCGGUAACGAUAUUGAACAAGGUAUGGGGAUACCGACGAUCGAAUAUCGGGCAAGUAACAUACCGAUAGACAGAGGGAAUUGUAUACGGGAUUGAUUGAAUCCCCGACAUCGUGGUUCAUCCGAUGAGAUCAUCGUGGAACAUGUCGGAGCCAAUAUGGGUAUCCAGAUCCCGCUUUUGGUUAUUGGACAGAGAGAUGUCUCGGUCAUGUCUGUAUGGUUCCCGAACCCGUAGGGUCUACACUCUUAAGGUUCGGUGACGCUAGAGUUGUUAUGGGAAAUAGUAUGUGGUUACCGAAGGUUGUUUGGAGUCCCGGAUGAGAUCCUGGACAUGACGAGGAGUUUCGGAAUGGUCCAGAGGUGAAGAUCGAUAUAUUGGACGAAGGGUAUUGGAGUCCGAAAUUGUUCCGGGGGUACCGGGUGACAACCAGCGUGUCCGAAAGUGAUUUUGGAGGCCCCGGCAAGCUUUGGGGGGGCCUUAUGGGCCAAGAGGAAGGGGCGCACCAGCCCACUAAGGGGCUGUGCGCCCCUCCCACCCCAUCUCACGUAACUUGGACAGGUGGGGGCGCCUCCCCUAGGGCAGCCACCCCUCCCGGCUUGGGGCACAAGUUUCCUAGGGGUGGGGGCGCUCAAACCCAUCUAGGGUUUUUCCUGUGGCCGCCGCCCCUCCCCUAGGGAACCCUAGGGCACCUCCUCCACCCCCUUCCCCCUAUAUAUAGUGAGGGAGAGAGAGGGCAGCCGCACCCCUUCCCUGGCGCAGCUCCUCCCUCCUCCAACUCUUCCUUCUCCUCCAUAGAGCUUGGUGAAGCCCUGAAGGAAUACCACAAACUCCACCACCACGCUAUCAUGUUACCGGAGUUCUCCCUCAACUUCUCCUCUCCUCUUGCUGGAUCAAGAAGGAGGAGACGUCCCCGGGCUGUACGUGUGUUGAACGCGGAGGCACCGUCCGUUUGGCGCUAGAUCGGAUCUUCCGCCGAUUUGAAUCGCCGCGAGUACGACUCCAUCAACCGCGUUCUUGUAACGCUUCCGCUUAGCGAUCUUCAAGGGUAUGAAGAUGCACUCCCUCUCUCUCGUUGCUAGCAUCUCCUAGAUUGAUCUUGGUGACACGUAGGAAAAUUUUGAAUUAUUGCUACGUUCCCCAACAGUGGCAUCAUGAGCUAGGUCUAUGCGUAGAUUCUAUGCACGAGUAGAACACAAAGCAGUUGUGGGCAAUGAUUUGUUCAAUUUGCUUACCGUUACUAGUCUUAUCUUGACCCGGCGGCAUUGUGGGAUGAAGCGGCCUGGACCGACUUUACACGUAUGCUUACGUGAGACUGGUUCCACUGACUGACAUGCACUUGAUGCAUAAGGUGGCUGGUGGGUGGCUGUCUCUCCCACUUUAGUCCGAUCGGAUUCGAUGAAAAGGGUCCUUAUGAAGGGUAAAUAGCAAUUGGCAUAUCACUGUUGUGGUUUUGAGUAGGUAAGAAACAUUCUUGUUAGAAACCCAUAGCAGCCACGUAAAACAUGCAACAACAAUUAGAGGACGUCUAACUUGUUUUUGCAGGGUUUGCUAUGUGAUGUGAUAUGGCCAAAAGGAUGUGAUGAAUGAUAUAUGUGAUGUAUGAGAUUGAUCAUGUUCUUGUAAUAGGAAUCACGACUUGCAUGUCAAUGAGUAUGACAACCGGCAUGAGCCAUAGGAGUUGUCUUAAUUUAUUUAUGACCUGCGUGUCAAUGAAAACGCCAUGUAAUUACUUUACUUUAUUUCUAACUGUUAGCCAUAGUAGUAGAAGUAAUAGUUGGCGAGGCAACUUCAUGAAGACACGAUGAUGGAGAUCAUGGUGUCAUGCCGGUGACGAAGGUGAUCAUGCCGCGCCUCGAAGAUGGAGAUCAAAAGGCGCAAGAUGAUAUUGGCCAUAUCAUGUCACUUUAUGAUUUUCAUGUGAUGUUUGUCAUGUUUACAUCUUAUUUGCUUAGAAUUAUGGUAGCAUAAAUAAGAUGAUCCCUCACUAAAAUUUCAAGAAAGUGUCCCCCCUAACUGUGCACCAUUGCAAAGGUUCGUUGUUUUGAAGCACCACGUGAUGAUCGGGUGUGAUAGAUUCUAACGUUCACAUACAAUGGGUGUAAGCCAGAUUUACACAUGUGAAACACUUAGGUUGACUUGACGAGCCUAGCAUGUACAGACAUGGCCUCGGAACACAAGAGACCGAAAGGUCGAGCAUGAGUCGUAUAGUAGAUAUGAUCAACAUGAAGAUGUUCACCGAUGAUGACUAGUCCGUCUCACGUGAUGAUCGGACACAGCCUAGUUGACUCGGAUCAUGUAUCACUUAGAUGACUAGAGGGAUGUCUAUCUAAGUGGGAGUUCAUUAAAUAAUCAGAUGAACUUAAUUAUCAUGAACAUAGUCAAAAGGUCUUUCCAAAUUAUCUCGUAGCUUACGCUUUAGUUCUGCUGUUUAAUAUAUGUUUCUAGAGAAAAUUUAGUUGAAAGUUGAUAGUAGAAAUUAUGUGGAUUGGGUCCGUAAACUGGGGAUUAUCCUCAUUGCUGAGCAGAAGGCUUAUGUCCUUAAUGCACCGCUCGGUGUGCUGAACCUCGAGCGUCGUCUAUAGAUGUUGGGAAACAUCUGACAUACACGUUUUGAUGACUACGUGAUUGUUCAGUGUGUAAUGCUAACGGUUUAGAAUUGUGGCACCAAAGACGUUUUUGAAACGUCGCAGAACAUAUGAGAUGUUCCAAAGACUAAAAUUGGGAUUUCAGACUAGUGCCCACGUCAAGAGGUAUGAGACCUCCGACAAAUUUCUUAAUCCUGCAAACUAAGGGAGAAAAACUCAAUCGUUGAGCAUGUGCUCAGAUUGUCUGAGUACUACAAUCGCUUGAAUCGAGUGGGAGUUAAUCUUCCAGAUGAGACAGUGAUAGUUCUCCAUAGUCACUGCCACCAAGCUAUUAGAGCUUCGUGAUGAACUAUAACAUAUCAGGGAUAGACAUGAUGAUCCUUGAGCAACUCGCGAUGUUUGACACCGCGAAAGUAGAAAUCAAGUAGGAGCAUCAAUUGUUGAUGGUUAAACCACUAGUUUCAAAAAGGGCAAGGGAAAGAAGGGAUACUUUAUGAAACGACAAAUCAGUUGCUGCCCUAGUGAAGAAACCCAAGGUUGAACCCAAACCCGAGACUAAGUGCUUCUGUAAUGAGGGGAACGGUCACUGAAGCAGAACUACCCUAGAUGCUUGGUAGAUGAGAAGGCUGGCAAUGUCGACAGAAGUAUUUUGAAUAUACGUUAUAUUGUGUACUUUACUAGUACUCCUAGUAGCACCAGGGUAAAGAAUACCGGUUCGGUUGCUAAGCGUUAGUAACUCGAAAUAAAAGGCUGCGGAGACUAGCUAAAGGUGAGAUGACGAUAUGUGUUGGAAGCGUUUCCAAGGUUGAUGUGAUCAAACAUCGCACGCUCCCUCUACCAUCAGGAUUGGUGUUAAACCUAAAUAAUUGUUAUUUGGUGUUUGCGUUGAGCAUAGACAUGAUUGGAUUAUGUUUAUCGCAAUACGGUUAUUCAUUUAAGGAGAAUAAUGGUUACUCUGUUUAUUUGAAUAAUACCUUCAAUGGUCUUGCACCUAAAAUGAAUGGUUUAUAGAAUCUCGAUCGUAGUGAUACACAUGUUCAUGCCAAAAGAUAUAAGAUAGUAAUGAUAGUACCACAUACUUGUGGCACUGCCAUUUGAGUCAUGUUGGUAUAAAACGCAUGAAGAAGCUCCAUGUUGAUGGAUCUUUGGACUCACUCAUUUUUGAAAAGAUUGAGACAUGUGAACUAUGUCUAUUGGUAGAUAUGCAUGAAGAAACACCACACAGAUGGAUCGUUUGGACUCACUUGAUUUUGAAUCACUUGAGACAUGAUAAUCAUACCACAUGGGCAAGAUGACUGAAAGGCCUCAUUUUCAGUAAGAUGGAACAAGAAAGCAACUUGUGAAGUAAUACAUUUUGAUGUGUGCAGUCCAAUGAGUGUUGAGGCACGCAGUGGAUAUCGUUAUGUCCUUACUUCACAGAUGAUUUGAGUAGAUGCUGAGUAUAUUUACUUGAUGAAACACAAGUCUAAAUUAUUGAAAGGUUUAAGUAAUUUCAGAGUGAAGUUGAAGAUCAUCGUGACAAGAGGAUAAAAUGUCUAUGAUAUGAUCAUAGAGAUGAAUAUCUGAGUUACGAGUUUGGCACACAAUUAAGACAUUGUGGAAAUUGUUUCACAACUAAUACCGCCUGGAACACCAUAGUGUGAUGGUGUGUCUGAACAUCAUAACUGCACCCUAUUGGAUAUGGUGCAUACCAUGAUGUCUCUCAUCGAAUUACCACUAUCGUUUAUGGGUUAGGCAUUAGAGACAACCGCAUUCACUUUAAAUAGGGCACCACGCAAUUCCAUUGAGACGACACCGUAUGAACUAUGGUUUAGAAAAACCUAAGCUGUCGUUUCUUAAAAUGUUUGGGGCUGCGACGCUUAUGUGAAAAAGUUUCAGGCUAAUAAGCUCGAACCCAAAGCGGAUAAAUGCAUCUUCAUAGAAUACCCAAAACAGUUGGGUAUACCUCCUAUUUCAGAUCCGGAAGCAAAAGUGAUUGUUUCUAGAAACGGGUCCUUUCUCGAGGAAAAGUUUCUCUCAAAAGAAUUGAGUGGGAGGAUGAUGGAGACUUGAUGAGGUUAUUGAACCAUCACUUCAACUAGUGUGUAGCAGGGCACAGGAAGUUGUUCUUGUGGCACCUACACCAAUUGAAGUGGAAGCUUAUGAUAGUGAUCCUGAAACUUCGGAUCAAGUCACUACCAAACCUCAUAGGUCGACAAGGAUGCGUACUACUUCAGAGUGGUACGUAAUCCUGUCCUGUGUUGCUAGACAACAAUGAACCUACGAGUUAUGGAGAAGCGAUGGUGGGCCCGGAUUCCGACGAAUGGCUCGAGGCCAUAAAAUCCGAGAGAGGAUCCAUGUAUAAAAACAAAGUAUAGACUUUGGAAGAACUACUUGAUGGUCGUAAGACUGUUGGGUGCAGAUGGAUUUUAAAAGGAAGAUGGACAAUGAUGGUAAGUGUCACCAUUAAGAAAGCUCGACUUGUUGUUAAGAUGUUUUCUGACAAGUUCAAGGAGUUGACUACGAUGAGACUUUCUCACUCAUAGUGAUGCUAAGAGUCUGUUGGAAUUAUGUUAGCAGUUACUGCAUUAUUUAUGAAAUCUUGCAGAUAGGAUGUCAAAACAUUGUUUCCUCGAUGAUUUUCUUGAGGAAAGGUUGUAUGCGAUACAACAAGAAGGUUUUGUCAAUCCUGAAAGAUGCUAACAAGUAUGCAAAUCUCCAGCAAUCCUUUUAAGGACUGGAGUAAGCAUCUCGGAGUUGGAAUGUACGCUUUGAUGAGAUGAUCAAAGAUUUUGGGUUUAUACAAAGUUUAUGAGGAACUUGUAUUUCCAAAGAAGUGAGUGUGAGCACUAUAGAUUUUUUGAUGAGUAUAUGUUGUUAACAUAUUGUUGAUCAGAAAUGAUGUAGAAUUUCUUGAAAGCAUACAGGGUUAUUUGAAAAGUGUUUUCAAUGGAAAACCUGGAUUAAGCUACUUGAACAUUGAGCAUCAAGAUCUAUAAGGAUAGAUAAAAAAUGCUUAAUAGUACUUUCAAAUGAAUACAUACCGUGACAAGAUUUUGAAGGAGUUCAAAAUAGAUCAGCAAAGGAGGAGUUCUUGGAUGUGUUAGAAGGUGUGAGUAUUGAGUAAGGCUCAAGACCUAACCACGGCAAAAGAGAGAGAAAGGACGAAGGUCGUCCCCUAUGCUUUAGACGUAGGCUCUAUAGUAUGCUAUGCUGUGUACCGCACCUGAAGUGUGCCUUGCCAUGAGUUAGUCAAGGGGUACAAGAGUGAUCCAGGAAUGGAUCACAUGACAGCGGGCGAACUUAUCCUUAGUAACUAGUGGACUAAGGAAUUUUCUCGAUUAUGGAGGUGGUAAAAGAGUUCGUCGUAAAGGGUUACGUCGAUGCCAACUUUGACACUAAUCCGGAUGACUCUGAGUGGUAAACCGGAUUCGUAUAGUAGAGUAAUUGUUUGGAAUAGCUCCAAGUAGCGCGUGGUAGCUGCAUCUACAAGAUGACAUAGAGAUUUGUAAAGCACACAUGGAUCUGAAAGGUUCAGGCCCAUCGACUAAUAAACCUAUCUCACAAGCGAGAUAUGAACAAACCCCAUGGGUGUUGGAUUCAUCACAAUCACAUAGUGAUGUGAACUAGAUUAUUGGCUCUAGUGCAAGUGGGAGACUGUUGGAAAUAUGCCCUAGAGGCAAUAAUAAAAUGGUUAUUAUUGUAUUUCCUUGUUCAUGAUAAUUGUCUAUUGUUCAUGCUAUAAUUGUAUUAACUGGAAACUGUAAUACAUGUGUGAAUACAUAGACCACAACAUGUCCCUCGUAAACCUCUAGUUGACUAGCUCGUUGAUCAAUAGAUGGUUAUGGUUUCCUGACCAUGGACAUUGGAUGCCAUUGAUAACGGGAUCACAUCAUUAGGAGAAUGAUGUGAUGGACAAGACCCAAUCCUAAGCAUAGCACAAGAUCAUGUAGUUCGUUUGCUAAGAGCUUUUCUAAUGUCAAGUAUCAUUUCCUUAGACCAUGAGAUUGUGCAACUCCCGGAUACCGUAGGAAUGCUUUGGGUGUGCCAAAUGUCACAAUGUAACUGGGUGGCUAUAAAGGCACACUACGGGUAUCUCCGAAAGUGUCUGUUGAGUUGGCACGAAUCGAGACUGGGAUUUGUCACUCCGUGUGACGGAGAGGUAUCUCUGGGCCCACUCGGUAAUGCAUCAUCAUAAUGAGCUGAAUGUGACUAAUGAGUUAGCCACCGGAUCAUGCGUUAUGGAACGAGUAAAGAGACUUGCCGGUAACGAGAUUGAACGAGGUAUGGGGAUACCGAUGAUCGAAUCUCGGGCAAGUAACAUACCGAUAGACAAAGGGAAUUGUAUACGGGAUUGAUUGAAUCCCCGACAUCGUGGUUCAUCUGAUGAGAUCAUCGUGGAACAUGUGGGAGCCAAUAUGGGUAUCCAGAUCACGCUAUUGGUUAUUGGCCGAAGAGAUGUCUCGGUCAUGUCUGCAUGGUUCCCGAACCCGUAGGGUCUACACACUUAAGGUUCGGUGACGCUAGAGUUGUUAUGGGAAAUAGUAUGUGGUUACCGAAGGUUGUUCGGAGUCCCGGAUGAGAUCCCGGACAUGACGAGGAGUUCCGAAAUGGUCCGGAGGUGAAGAUCGAUAUAUUGGACGAAGGGUAUUGGAGUCCGGAAUUGUUCCGGGGGUACCGGGUGACGACCAGCGUGUCCGAAAGUGGUUUCGGAGGCCCCGACAAGCGUUGGGGGGGCUUAUGGGCCAAGAGGAAGGGGCACACCAGCCCACUAAGGGGCUGUGCGCCCCUCCCACCCCAUCUCACGUAACUUGGACAGGUGGGGGCGCCUCCCCUAGGGCAGCCACCCCUCCCGGCUUGGGGCACAAGUUUCCUAGGGGUGGGGGCGCUCAAACCCAUCUAGGGUUUUCCCUUUGGCCACCGCCCCUCCCCUAGGGAACCCUAUGGCACCUCCUCCACCCCCUUCCCCCUAUAUAUAGUGAGGGAGAGAGAGGGCAGCCGCACCCCUUCCCUGGCGCAGCCCCUCCCUCCUCCAACUCUUCCUUCUCCUCCGUAGAGCUUGGUGAAGCCCUGCAGGAAUACCACAAACUCCACCACCACGCUAUCGUGCUGCCGGAGUUCUCCCUCAACUUCUCCCCUCCUCUUGCUGGAUCAAGAAGGAGGAGACGUCCCCGGGCUGUACGUGUUGGAAAUAUGCCCUAGAGGCAAUAAUAAAUUGGUUAUUAUUAUAUUUCCUUGUUCAUGAUAAUCGUUUAUUAUCCAUGCUAGAAUUGUAUUGAUAGGAAACUCAGAUACAUGUGUGGAUACAUAGACAACACCAUGUCCCUAGUAAGCCUCUAGUUGACUAGCUCGUUGAUCAAUAUAUGGUUAUGGUUUCCUGACCAUGGACAUUGGAUGUCGUUGAUAAUGGGAUCACAUCAUUAGGAGAAUGAUGUGAUGGACGAGACCCAAUCCUAAGCCUAGCACAAAGAUCGUUUAGUUCGUUUGCUAAAGCUUUUCUAAUGUCAAGUAUCAUUUCCUUAGACCAUGAGAUUGUGCAACUCCCGGAUACCGUAGGAGUGCUUUGGCUGUGCCAAACGUCACAACGUAACUGGGUGGCUAUAAAGGUACACUACAGGUAUCUCCGAAAGUGUCUGUUGGGUUGGCACGAAUCGAGACUGGGAUUUGUCACUCCGUGUAAAUGGAGAGGUAUCUCUGGGCCCACUCGGUAGGACAUCAUCAUAAUGUGCACAAUGUGAUCAAGGAGUUGAUCACGGGAUGAUGUGUUAUGGAACGAGUAAAGAGACUUGCCGGUAACGAGAUUGAACAAGGUAUCGGGAUACCGACGAUCGAAUCUCGGGCAAGUAUCGUACCGAUGGACAAAGGGAAUUGUAUACGAGAUUGAUUAAAUCCUUGACAUCGUGGUUCAUCCGAUGAGAUCAUCAUGGAACAUGUGGGAGCCAACAUGGGUAUCCAGAUUGAAAGAUCGUGGAUGUCGCCUAGAGGGGGGGUGAAUAGGCGUUUUAAAAUAAUUACGGUAGAGGCUCGAACAAAUGCGGAAUAAACCUAGCGGUUAAUUUGUCAAGCACAAAACCUACAACAACUAGGCUCACCUAUGUGCACCAACAACUUAUGCUAAGCAAGGUAAGCAACAAAGUGAUAGCAAGAUAUAUGACAAAUAACAAUAUGGCUAUCACAAAGUAAAGUGCAUAAGUAAAGGGCUCGGGUAAGAGAUAACCGAGGCACGAGGAGACGAUGAUGUAUCCCGAAGUUCACACCCUUGCGGAUGCUAAUCUCCGUUUGGAGCGGUGUGGAGGCACAAUGCUCCCCAAGAAGCCACUAGGGCCACCGUAAUCUCCUCACGCCCUCGCACAAUGCAAGAUGCCGUGAUUCCACUAAGGGACCCUUGAGGGCGGUCACCAAACCCGUACAAAUGGCGACCCUUGGGGGCGGUCACCGAACCCGUACACUUUGGCAACCCUUGGGGGCAGUCACCGGUACCCGUCAAAUUGCUCGGGGCGAUCUCCACAACCUAAUUGGAGACCCCGACGCUUGCCCGGAGCUUUACACCACAAUGAUUGAGCUCCGAACACCACCAACCGACUAGGGGGCCCAAGCACCCAAGAUAAACAAGCUCAAGGGCACCAAGCACCCAAGAGUAAUAAGCUUCUCAACUUGUAACUUCCACGUAUCACGUGGAGAACUCAAACCGAUGCACCAAAUGCAAUGGCAAGGGCACACGGAGUGCCCAAGUCCUUCUCUCUCAAAUCCCACCGAAGCAACUAAUGCUAGGGAGGAAAAUGAGAGGAAGAACAAGAAGGAGAACACCAAGAACUCCAAGAACUAGAUCCAAGGGGCUCCCCUCACAUAGAGGAGAAAGUGAUUGGUGGAAAUGUGGAUCUAGAUCUCCUCUCUCUUUUCCCUCAAAAACUAGCAAGAAUCCAUGGAGGGAUUGAGAGUUAGCAAGCUCGAAGAAGGUCAACAAUGGGGGAAGAACACGAGCUCAAAGGAUUAGGUUCAAUGGGGAAGAAGACCCCCUUUUAUAGGAGCUCCCGAAUCCAACCGUUAUGCUCACAGCCCGCACCGAGCGGUAGUACCGCUUGACAUCACGGUACUACCGCUAGGGGUAGCGGUACUACUGCUCGGGGUAGCGGUACUACUGCUUGCGAGCGGUACUAAAAAAUUACAUCCGUGCCUACCACCGCUGGACUUGUGACGAGAUUUUGGUCCCGAGCGGAAGUAGCCACGGAAGUAGCCGCGGUAGUACUGCUCCAAGCGGUAGUACCGCUCCCAAGGGCGGUAGUACCGCUCCCAAGGGCGGUAGUAAAAAAUUACUUCCGCUCCUACCCGCGGUACUACCGCUGCAGCCUUUUCAGAACACCAAAACUGCCACAACUUCUUCAUUCGGACUCCGAAUUCGAUGAAACCAAGUUUGUUGGAAAGCUAGCGACAAGGGCUAACACAAUCUUGAAAGAAAUACCAAUAAUAAGCAAAUGAGAAAAGGCCCAAAAGAAAAUGGUGAGAACCCUUCCUCGGAGAAGACCGGUAAAACCUCCAACACCGAAAACAUCAUAGAAGACGCAUGCAAACUCCAUUUUCGAUGAACUCAAGCUUGUCAUAAAGAUGACCAUAAGCUCUAAGACUCACAAAGAGAAUCAAACAAGAACCAAGAAACAUGAUGAAAGGAUGCAAUGGUUUGAGCUCUCGACGAACGAUACGAUCAAGCUACUCACUUGAGAGCCCCCCUUGAUAGUACGGCUAUCGAUCCUAUAACCCGGUCUCCCAACUACCACCAUGAGACCGGUAAAAUAGAAAACCUAUCAAGGGCAAACCUUUGCCUUGCACAUGGUCCAGUUGAGCUAGAUGAUGACGAUCUUGACUCCCUCAAGUUGGACCACCUUUCUUGAUUGCAUUGGCUCGAUGAAGACUAGAUGAUUGCUCCCCCAUAGUUCACUAUGGGUGAGCGACUCUUCGGCACAUAUUCACAAGUCCAUUGACACCACAAUGGAUGGCAAGAUUCAAACUUGAUUGCUCCCCCAUACUCCAUUAUGGGUGAGCCACUCUUUGUGUUGCUCCACUUGAACUUGCACACUACAAACUUGAUGACGAUCACCACUUGAUGUCAUCCUCCAUGGGUUGUAUGGGAUCUUCCUCUUGACGCAAGACCAUGGAAACAUACCUAACCCCACAAAGAACUCUCACGUAGACCAUGGGUUAGUACACAAAGCAUAAUGGACAAUGCUUACCAUACCAUGGGAACACUUGGUCCCACUCGGUACAUCUUAUAUGCUUUGUGAGUUGAUCAACUUGAUUCACUCUUGACUUAGUCUUGAUCAACCUUGAAUCUUUCCGACUCUCUUCAUUUGGAUGAUGUCUUGAAGGUAAAUAUGAAUGAUCACACAAUCUUCUUCUUCAAGACAUGCUUGCAAUAAGCUCAACACUCACAUGACCAAUCUUUGGAUAAUUCCUUAAUAGCACCUUGGUCAACCCAUAAACUCCUUGAAACCAACACAUGGACUUCAAGAAAUGCCUAUGGAAACAUCCUUCAAAUAUAACUCGAUGCAACCAUUAGUCCAUAGAGAUUGUCAUCAAUUACCAAAACCAAACAUGGGGGCACCGCAUGUUCUUUCAAUCUCCCCCAUUUUGGUAAUUGAUGACAAUCACUUUCAAGAGAGUUUAUACAAAUGCAACAACCAUGCAGUGCAACAACCAAUGAUGCAUGAGAAUGGGAUGCAAAUGCUUAGGAACCAAAACCAAAGCAAGGAGAAAACUCAGAAGAAUUCUCCACAAAACUCUCUGAAACUCCUCCCCCAUUGGCAUCGAUUGCCAAAAUGGGUGAAAAGCUUAGAAGGCCAAUAUAAAGAGUGUUCCUCCAUAAAUUGUGUAUCUCUCAAAAAUAGAGUGGAAUGCAAUACACAUAUCCAAUGGUAAAUACUUGGAGGAAGACAAACUAUAUUGAGGCCUAAAGAUUGCAAAAGAGGAUAUGCCACAAAGACAUAACAAAGAGAGAAACAAGCAAUCGAGCAAUCAAAAGAUACCAAUUGAAGCAAGCAAUCAAAUGAUAUCAAUUGAACCAACUAGACCAAAGAUCCUAUGAGCCACAUGAAUGAAGGAUAUUAUGAUAUGAGCAAAGGAGUGUUCUAAAUAAGCUAGAGAAGCUCCCCAUGAUUUGUGCACACAUAAGAAUAUUUGUAUUUGGAUACAAAGUGCACAAAAUAGGAUCAUAGCUCCCCCAAAAUCAAUAGAAACUUACAUCCAGUGCAAGUGAGCAUAUAGGAAACAAAGCCUAGCGCUUGCAACAAGCACAUGGUUGAGCAACAAGUAAAAGAGGCAACUUAAGAAUAGGCUCAACCAAAAUGAUGUGUGUGAGUCAUGGCGAAGCACUUGAGAAGACUAAAAAUAGGAUGAGCAUUAAGCAUCAACAUAGUCUUGAAAGAAUGAGGCACACGGUGCAAGACCUAUCAUUCCCACACACAACUAGCAAAUGGGUUCACAAGCUUACUAAUAAGCAUAUAAAGAACCUAUGCUUGUGACAACCCGUGGUGAAGAUAGAAGAUGAAAGCCUCAUCAAGACGAGGGAAAAAGCCUCGUAAAGACAAGCAUAGGGAAAAUAAUCUUCACCACACAAGAGUGCAUCAAGAUGCUACAAUAGAGGACACGCACUCAAGGCAAAAGCUUUCACGGAGCCACCAAAGAAAUAACAUAAGAAAGACAAGGUGGACGUGAAAGAAAGGAUAUCAACUAGAGAUGUAAGUUCUCUCAAGUGUAUAAGGUUCUAUGUAGACGAAAUCAUGAUGAUAUAUAUAUCUACAAAGAAGAAUGUACACCCAAAAUAGUUACAACACGAAGGAACAAGAUAUCCACAAGGAAGUCAUAAAUAUACCAAUAAGAUAUUUGCUUGAAAGCAUAGCACUUGGCUAGAUAUGGUCUUAUUGUAUAUAAAUGAAGUCCAAACACACAUCCAUCAAGGGCAUCACAACUAGCAACAAGAGAUCAUCGUUGGGAUGCUUUGAGAAAGGAAACAAGUAUCACAAGUUAUGAAAUGAAAAUCAUGCCAAGAUGCAACCUACACAAGGUUGAAUGCAAGAGGAGAAAGCAUGAAUAGAUACUUGUUACCGAGAUAUCAUUGGAAGGAUGUAGUAGAUACCAAUUGAAGGUAGAUAGUAGUUCAUUGAUCAUCCUAGCUUGAUCCCAAUAUGCACAUGGUGACAACACCUUCCUUGUGAGUGAGCCGAGCAUCCAAUGCAUCUCCACUUGUUCCUAGAACAACAACACAAACAAAAUGGUACCCAAACUCAUUGGGACCAAAGAGUUAGAAACACCAAUAUACAUAGGACAAACUCCACAUAACUAUGUGCAUAUAGAUAUGAAAAUGAAUUUCAUGCACAUCUCAUCCAAAUUGAGACUAGGUGGAGUUUCCCCUAUAUAUUGAGUCAAAGAAAGAAAGCAUGCCAAAUGAAAUACAUGAAGUAAACAUGCAUGCUCAAGACUUUCAAAACCCGAAACCAAAAGACGACGAAAUGCCAAGUGAAAAGGAUACCAAAUGGAGAAAUCAUCACUUGGAAGAUAUCAUAAAGAUACAUCAAGGAAUGAGAUAUCCAUUGAUACACACUAAACUAAAGAUGUCAAACUCCCAAAGAGAGGAUGGUUCCAAACAAACCAAGCUCUCGACAAAGUUUCAUGAUGGCACAAAGUACCAAAAGAAAAAGGCUUGCCUUCCACCAACACACUUGAUAAGGAUCACAAAAAAAAAGUGUUCUAAAGAAAAUAGAAUAGCUCCCCCACGAGUUGUGCAUUAUAUAGGAUUUGUAUUUGAAUACAAGAAGCACAAGGUGGGAUCACCGCUUUCACUAUAUCUAGAAAACACUAGACAAGAACAAGAAAUAAACAAGAUCCACAAGUGGUAUGGAAGACAACGGGAGUUGACACAAACCUUGGCAAGAGAAAAAGCAAGUAAAACAAAAGCCAAUGUAAAGAUGAUCAACAAAUUCUACCACACAUAAGACUACCAAUUGUCAAAGACAAGAAGUAUUUGGUAAUAAUUCCCGGUGGUAGAUAACAAGGAUAUCCGACAUCAUCUUCACACCAACCACAAGCAAAUUGCAACUUGUAGAGCUAACAUGCCACCUAGGAACAAGAUAAUCUACAAUAUCAAUUCUAGGUGACAAUAUCUCAAAUGUACACAUUUUCUAGGCUUGUAAUAUGCACUUAGCAUAUUACUCCCCCAUAAUGUGAUACCAAUAAGAACUUAACAAGAGGCAAUAAGAGGAACAACCAAGAGAUAAUUAAUGGACUAUUUAGAAUUUGAAUUUCUCAUGAGAGAUAUACCACCUAGCGACUAGAUAAUAUUGUAAUAUCAAUACUAGAUGGUAUUCCUCAUGUACACACAUUUAUAGGAUUGUGAGGUGCACAAAGCACAUCACUCCCCCAAAAUGGGAUGUUCCAUCAAUCUCUCACACGAGCCAACUAGGAUACAAACAAGAAGCAUAAAGGCUCAACGCAUGACACACACGUACAUGAUGUGCAAACCAACACACAAGCACGUUGGAAUCACAACAUAUACAAACACAUGCAAGGAACAAAACCAAAACAUGCAAGGGGGCAAGUAACUUUCAAGGUAAACAAUUUUAAGUACAAGUUACCGCAAGGAGGCACAUUGGAUAUAAGAUAGAAACUUGAUAAUCCAAUUGACUUGGCUUGAGACAAAGAGAAUGAUGAAGUCCCCUUAAUUCUUCAUAAUUUAGCCAAGUCUCCAAUGCCCUCCAACAACACCUAUUGAUCAAGUUUGAGCUUGUUGGUCCCCAACCAAGUUGGGUCCUAAGAGGUUAGUCACAAUAGGUUUGGCUACCCAAAUGGUUCUUUUCUUGACACCACUUUGAGUACCAACAAACUUGGCAAACACAUUGCCAACCUUAUCCUUCCCAAGAGAAUAGAUAUCAUCAAUAAUAAUUGGGUUGGAUAAGUUAUCACUAGUGCAUGAAGAAGCGACGUGACCUUUCUCAUGACAUAAGUAGCAACGUCUACUCUUCACUUUCUUCUCAUUUGAUUUCUCAACUUGAGAAGCAUUAGCUUGAGUCUUCUUGGGAAGAGGCCUUUCUUCAACUUGAGGUUGAGCAUGAGAAUGCAAUUGUAGCCGCUUCCCUUGUUGCUUGUCACUAAUAGCCUUCUUCUUCAAUGGGCAAGAUCUAACAUGAUGCCCUUCAAUUUUGCACUUGAAGCAAAUAAUCUUGGCCGAAUCCUUGACUUGUUUUUGGCCCUUCUUAUUGUUGAUCUUGGACUUAUUCUUCUUGUUGGAGUUGAAUCCAAGUCCACCUUUGUCAUUGGGGGAUUUUUGCACACUCAAGAUAUUGUUGAGUGUGGAUUUCCCUUGAUGACUCUUUUCCAAGUCUUUCUUCAAGGAAGUGACUUGGGCCUUGAGCUCUUUGAUUUCCUCUACAUGGUUAGUCUCAACACAAGUACUAGAGGAAGUAUAAGCUUCAUCAUUAGAGCAACAAGGCAAGGAAAGCAAUUCAUCGCAAGAUGUACCAACAUUGUGAGUAGAUGAAUUACAAGGACUAGCACAUGGCAAUAUACUAUUUUGACUAGAAGUAGUGCUAGUAUCCACAUGAGGCUCACUAGAUGUUACCUUGGCAAUCAUGGCCUCAUGAGCUAUGUUUAGCACACUAUGGGAUACUAGAAGAUCAUCAUGAGAGCUUGAGAGCUUUUCAUGACUUUCUUCCAAUUUCCCAUAAUUGCUAGAUAGCACCUCAAGUUGAGCCCGUAGCUCAACAUUCUCCUUCAAAAUGGAUGCUUCACAAGUAAUAGAAUUAGUAGCACAAGCAUCAUCAUUAACAGCAAGAGGAGAAGGCAACUUGGCAAGCUCUUUGAGAUAAGAAGCUUCAAGUUGGGCAUGAGACUCGGUGAGUUUGAUGAGCUCACCCUUGAUGACCCUUGAGCCAUUUUCGAGGUGCUCAAAAUCCUCAAGGAGUCUAGCAUGAGCAACUUCAAGCUUAGCAUUUUUAGUUUUAAAAACAUUGGCCACCUCAAGGGCUCUAUCAAUAGAUUCCUUCACUCUAGACAAUUCUAGAGCAAAAGUCUCCUCAAGAGAUUCCUUGGUCGUUUGUUCAAGUUCAAGAGCUUGAGAGAGGUCCGCAAUCUCAUUAGCGUAAUCACGCCCAUGACCUUCCAGUUUAUCAAUGGUGACCUCAUGCUCCUCAAGACGAGAUUCCAACUCAUCAAUAUAUUUCUUGCUCUCAAUAGCAAUGGACAUGAUUUCCAUGAAGUUGGAACGAGCAAUUUUACUUUUAUGAAGAGCUUUAAAAACCAUUUCCCCCUUAAUUUUUAAGGAGGUAACAUUAUCAUUCUCUUCAUCAUUAUCCUCAUCAUCAUUAGCAUCAACAUCAUCAUCAAGAGACAUAUUGGGGUACAAAGUAGGAGAUACCUUUGACGCCUUAGCCAUAAGGCAAAACGCAAUAGAUGAUGAUGUAGGAUCCCUUGAGGCAACAUUAAGCACCACAUCUUGUUCCAUGGAGUGUUCGGUUUCCUCUACAUUGUUAGCACAACAAUUCGAGGAAAUAGAUGCAUUUUUAUCAUGGCAACAAGACAUAGCAAGCAUUUCAUCAUGAUAUUUAGUCAAGCAAUUUCUAGAUGAUAUGCAAGGACUAUCAACACAAGCAUGUGAAACAUUUGGAGUGCUCGAAGUGUUAAAGCCCAAAGAAGGAGCAUUGCAAUAAUAUAGUGAUGAAGGAUCAUCCACAAUAAGCAUACUAUCAUCAUUGCAAUGACCAACACUACUCACCAUGUCAUUACCUUGUGGCAAACCACAUGUAGGUGAAGUAGAAGAAGUUGAGAAGACUAUACGACCGGAGGUGGAGGGAGAACAAUCAUCCCCACAAAUCUUGGACACACCAUAUUUAUCUUGAAGCUUCGUCCACAACUCAUGAGCAUCUCGGAACGGCAUGAGUUGAAAUAUAACUACAUUGCUCAAAGCAUCGAAAAGCACAUUAGAAGCUUGAGCAUUGAGAUAAGAGUUUUUCUCAUCCUCUAAAGAUAAUCUUUGGGGAUCCUUUGGAGGAGAAAAACCCAUAUCUACAAUUCGCUCUAAAUUUGGGUCCUUGACCCUAAAGAGAUUAAGCAUGCGAAUUACCCAAACAUCAAAAUUUGUGCCAUCGAAACUAAGAGUGUCAGAGAAUCCUAAUCCCCUAGUCGACAUCUUUACUCUCUAGGCGGUUAAGCCCAACAAAGAGAGACGAGGCUCUGAUACCAAUUGAAAGAUCGUGGAUGUCGCCUAGAGGGGGGGGUGAAUAGGCGUUUUAAAAUAAUUACGGUAGAGGCUCGAACAAAUGCGGAAUAAACCUAGCGGUUAAUUUGUCAAGCACAAAACCUACAACAACUAGGCUCACCUAUGUGCACCAACAACUUAUGCUAAGCAAGGUAAGCAACAAAGUGAUAGCAAGAUAUAUGACAAAUAACAAUAUGGCUAUCACAAAGUAAAGUGCAUAAGUAAAGGGCUCGGGUAAGAGAUAACCGAGGCACGAGGAGACGAUGAUGUAUCCCGAAGUUCACACCCUUGCGGAUGCUAAUCUCCGUUUGGAGCGGUGUGGAGGCACAAUGCUCCCCAAGAAGCCACUAGGGCCACCGUAAUCUCCUCACGCCCUCGCACAAUGCAAGAUGCCGUGAUUCCACUAAGGGACCCUUGAGGGCGGUCACCGAACCCGUACAAAUGGCGACCCUUGGGGGCGGUCACCGAACCCGUACACUUUGGCAACCCUUGGAGGCGGUCACCGAUACCCGUCAAAUUGCUCGGGGCGAUCUCCACAACCUAAUUGGAGACCCCGACGCUUGCCCGGAGCUUUACACCACAAUGAUUGAGCUCCGAACACCACCAACCGACUAGGGGGCCCAAGCACCCAAGAUAAACAAGCUCAAGGGCACCAAGCACCCAAGAGUAAUAAGCUUCUCAACUUGUAACUUCCACGUAUCACGUGGAGAACUCAAACCGAUGCACCAAAUGCAAUGGCAAGGGCACACGGAGUGCCCAAGUCCUUCUCUCUCAAAUCCCACCGAAGCAACUAAUGCUAGGGAGGAAAAUGAGAGGAAGAACAAGAAGGAGAACACCAAGAACUCCAAGAACUAGAUCCAAGGGGCUCCCCUCACAUAGAGGAGAAAGUGAUUGGUGGAAAUGUGGAUCUAGAUCUCCUCUCUCUUUUCCCUCAAAAACUAGCAAGAAUCCAUGGAGGGAUUGAGAGUUAGCAAGCUCGAAGAAGGUCAACAAUGGGGGAAGAACACGAGCUCAAAGGAUUAGGUUCAAUGGGGAAGAAGACCCCCUUUUAUAGGAGCUCCCGAAUCCAACCGUUAUGCUCACAGCCCGCACCGAGCGGUAGUACCGCUUGACAUCACGGUACUACCGCUAGGGGUAGCGGUACUACUGCUCGGGGUAGCGGUACUACUGCUUGCGAGCGGUACUAAAAAAUUACAUCCGUGCCUACCACCGCUGGACUUGUGACGAGAUUUUGGUCCCGAGCGGAAGUAGCCACGGAAGUAGCCGCGGUAGUACUGCUCCAAGCGGUAGUACCGCUCCCAAGGGCGGUAGUACCGCUCCCAAGGGCGGUAGUAAAAAAUUACUUCCGCUCCUACCCGCGGUACUACCGCUGCAGCCUUUUCAGAACACCAAAACUGCCACAACUUCUUCAUUCGGACUCCGAAUUCGAUGAAACCAAGUUUGUUGGAAAGCUAGCGACAAGGGCUAACACAAUCUUGAAAGAAAUACCAAUAAUAAGCAAAUGAGAAAAGGCCCAAAAGAAAAUGGUGAGAACCCUUCCUCGGAGAAGACCGGUAAAACCUACAACACCGAAAACAUCAUAGAAGACGCAUGCAAACUCCGUUUUCGAUGAACUCAAGCUUGUCAUAAAGAUGACCAUAAGCUCUAAGACUCACAAAGAGAAUCAAACAAGAACCAAGAAACAUGAUGAAAGGAUGCAAUGGUUUGAGCUCUCGACGAACGAUACGAUCAAGCUACUCACUUGAGAGCCCCCCUUGAUAGUACGGCUAUCGAUCCUAUAACCCGGUCUCCCAACUACCACCAUGAGACCGGUAAAAUAGAAAACCUAUCAAGGGCAAACCUUUGCCUUGCACAUGGUCCAGUUGAGCUAGAUGAUGACGAUCUUGACUCCCUCAAGUUGGACCACCUUUCUUGAUUGCAUUGGCUCGAUGAAGACUAGAUGAUUGCUCCCCCAUAGUUCACUAUGGGUGAGCGACUCUUCGGCACAUAUUCACAAGUCCAUUGACACCACAAUGGAUGGCAAGAUUCAAACUUGAUUGCUCCCCCAUACUCCAUUAUGGGUGAGCCACUCUUUGUGUUGCUCCACUUGAACUUGCACACUGCAAACUUGAUGACGAUCACCACUUGAUGUCAUCCUCCAUGGGUUUUAUGGGAUCUUCCUCUUGACGCAAGACCAUGGAAACAUACCUAACCCCACAAAGAACUCUCACGUAGACCAUGGGUUAGUACACAAAGCAUAAUGGACAAUGCUUACCAUACCAUGGGAACACUUGGUCCCACUCGGUACAUCUUCUAUGCUUUGUGAGUUGAUCAACUUGAUUCACUCUUGACUUAGUCUUGAUCAACCUUGAAUCUUUCCGACUCUCUUCAUUUGGAUGAUGUCUUGAAGGUAAAUAUGAAUGAUCACACAAUCUUCUUCUUCAAGACAUGCUUGCAAUAAGCUCAACACUCACAUGACCAAUCUUUGGAUAAUUCCUUAAUAGCACCUUGGUCAACCCAUAAACUCCUUGAAACCAACACAUGGACUUCAAGAAAUGCCUAUGGAAACAUCCUUCAAAUAUAACUCGAUGCAACCAUUAGUCCAUAGAGAUUGUCAUCAAUUACCAAAACCAAACAUGGGGGCACCGCAUGUUCUUUCACAGAUCCCGCUGUCGGUUAUUGACCGGAGAGUUGUCUCGGCCAUGUCUGCAUGACUCCCGAACCCGUAGGGUCUACACACUUAAGGUUCGAUGACGCUAGGGUUAUAGGGAAUAGAUAUACGUGGUUACCGAAUGUUAUUCGGAGUCUCGGAUGAGAUCCCGGACAUCACGAGGAGUUCCGGAAUGGUCCGGAGGUAAAGAUUUAUAUAUGGGAAGUCCUGUUUUGGUCACCGAAAAAAUUUCGGGUGCUAUCGGUAAUGUACCGGGACCACUGGGAGGGUCCCGGGGGUCCACCAGGUGGGGCUACCUGCCCCAGAGGGUUGCGUGGGCCAAGUGUGAGAGGGGACCAGCCCCAGGUGGGCUGGUGCGCCCCCCACCAGGGCCCAGGGCGAAGAGAGAAGGGAAAAGGGGGAAACCCUAGGCUCAGAUGGGCCUAAGGCCCACCUAGUGGUGUGCCCCCCUCUCUCCCCCCUUGGUCGCCCCCUAGAUGGGAUCUAGGGCUGGCCGCCACCCCUAGGGGUGGAAACCUAGGUGGGGGCGCAGCCCCUCCCUUUCCCCUAUAUAUAGUGGGGGGUUUUGGGCUGCCAUACACACGAGAACAUCUCCUUCUUGGCGCAGCCCUACCCCUAUCCCUCCUCGUCUCUUGCGGUGCUUGGCGAAGCCCUGCUGGAGUACCACGCUCCUCCACCACCACCACGCCAUCGUGCUGCUGCUGGAUGGAGUCUUCCCCAACCUCUCCUUCUCCCCUUGCUGGAUCAAGGUGUAGGAGACGUCACCGGGCUGUACGUGUGUCGAACACGGAGGUGCCGUCCGUUUGGCACUAGGAUCAUUGGUGAUUUGGAUCACGACGAGUACGACUCCAUCAACCCCGUUCACUUGAACGCUUCCGCUUAGCGAUCUACAAGGGUAUGUAGAUGCACUCUCCUUCCCUCGUUGCUAGACUUCUCCAUAGAUUGAUCUUGGUGAUGCGUAGAAAAUUUUGAAUUUCUGCUACGUUCCCCAACAGUGGCAUCAUGAGCUAGGUCUAUGUGUAGUUUCUAUGCACGAGUAGAACACAAGUUGUUGUGGGCGUCGAUUUUGUCAUUUUGCUUGCCGUUACUAGUCUUAUCUUGAUUCGGCGGCAUCAUGGGAUGAAGCGGCCCGGACCGACCUUACACGUACUCGUACGUGAGACUGGUUCCACCGACUGACAUGCACUAGUUGCAUAAGGUGGCUAGCGGGUGUCUGUCUCUCCCACUUUAGUCGGAUCGGAUUCGAUGAAAAGGGUCCUUAUGAAGGGUAAAUAGAAAUUGGCAUAUCACGUUGUGGUUUUCGCGUAGGUAAGAAACGUUCUUGCUAGAAACCUAUAGCAGCCACGUAAAAACUUGCAACAACAAUUAGAGGACGUCUAACUUGUUUUUGCAGCAUAUGCCUUGUGAUGUGAUAUGGCCAAAAGGACGUGAUGAAUGAUAUGUGUGAUGUAUGAGAUUGAUCAUGUUCUUGUAAUAGGAAUCACGACUUGCAUGUCGAUGAGUAUGACAACCGGCAGGAGCCAUAAGAGUUGUCUUUAUUUUUUUAUGACCUGCGUGUCAACAUAAACGUCAUGUAGUUACUUUACUUUAUUGCUAAAGCGUUAGCCAUAGUAGUAGAAGUAACAGAUGACGAGACAACUUCAAGAAGACACGAUGAUGGAGAUCAUGAUGAUGGAGAUCAUGGUGUCAUGCCGGUGACAACGAUGAUCAUGGAGCCCCGAAGAUGGAGAUCGAGAGGAGCAAAAUGAUAUUGGCUAUAUCAUGUCACUAUUGGAUUGCAUGUGAUGUUUAUCAUGUUUUACAUCUUAUUUGCUUAGAACGACAGUAUCUUAAAUAAGAUGAUCCCUCACUAAAAUUUCAAGAAAGGUGUUCCCCCUAACUGUGCACCGUUGCGAAGGUUCGUUGUUUCGAAGCACCACGUGAUGAUCGGGUGUGAUAGAUUCUAAUGUUCGAAUACAACGGGUGUAAGCCAGAUUUACACAGCAAAAACACUUAGGUUGACUUGACGAGCCUAGCAUGUACAAACAUGGCCUCGGAACACGGAAGACCGAAAGGUCGAGCAUGAGUCGUAUAGAAGAUACGAUCAACAUGAAGAUGUUCACCGAUGUUGACUGGUCCGUCUCACGUGAUGAUCGGACACGGCCUAGUUGACUCGGAUCAUGUUUCACUUAGAUGACUAGAGGGAUGUCUAUCUGAGUGGGAGUUCAUUAGAUGAACUCAAUUAUCAUGAACAUAGUCUAAAUUGUCUUUGCAAAUAUGUUGUAGAUAAAUAGCUCACGUUGUAGCUCCUUGUUUCAAUACGUUCCUAGAGAAAGAUUAAGUUGAAAGAUAUUGUAAGCAAUGAUGCGGACUAGGUCCAUAGUCCGAGGAGUGUCCUCACUGCUACACAGAAGGCUUAUGUCUUUGAUGCACCGCUCGAUGUGCAAACCCCUACAACGUCGUCUGUGGAUGUUGUGAACACUUGACAGACACGUCCUGAUGACUACUUGAUAGUUUAGUGCACCAUACUUUACGGCUUAGAAUCGGGAUUCCAAUGACGUUUUAAACGCCAUAGAACAUAUGAGAUGUUCCAAGAGCUGAAAUUGGGAUUUCAGGCUCAUGCCCGUGUUGAGAGGUGUGAGACCUCUGACAAGUUCUUUAGCCAACAAGAUGGAGGAGAAUAGCUCAACUAGUGAGCAUGUGCUCAAAAUGUCUGGAUGAUACAAUCACUUAAAUGAAGUGGGAGUUAAACUUCCAGAUAAGAUAGUGAUUGAUAGAGUUCUCUAGCCACUAUCACUAAGCUACUAGAUCUUCGCGAUGAACUAUGACAUGCAAGGGAUGGAGUUGAUCCCGGAGCUGUUCGCGGUGCUUAAGACCGCAAAAGGUAGAAAUCAAGAAGGAGCAUCAAGUGUUGAUGGUUUAACAAGACCACUGGUUUCAAGAAGGGCAAGGGCUAGAAGGGAAACUUCAUGGAUGGCAAACCAGUUGUCGCUCAAGUGAAGGAACCCAAGGUUGAACCCAAACCCGAGACUAAGUGCUUCUAUUAUAAAGGCAACGGUCACUGGUAGCGGAAUUACCCCAAAUGCAUGGUAGAUAAGAAGGCAGGCAACUUCAACAAAAUUUAUACGUGUCAUUAAUGUGUACCUCACUAGUACUCCUGGUAGCACCUGGGUAUUGGAUACCGGUUCAGUUACUAUUAUUGGUGACUUGAAGCAAAAGCUACGGACUAAACGGAGACUGGCUGAGGGCGAGGUGACGAUGUGUGUUGGAAGUGUUUCCAAAGUUGAUGAGAUCACCAUCGCACACUCCAUCUGCCUUCGGGAUUAGUAUUGAACCUAGAUAAAUGUUAUCAGGUAUCUACGUUGAGCAUGAAUAUGAUUAGAUCAUGUUCAUUGCAAUACGGUCAUUCAUUUAAGUUAGAGAAUAAUGGUUAUUCUAUUUACAUGAAUGAUACCUUUCAUGGUCAUGCACCCUAUGUGAAUGGUUCAUUGAAUCUCGGUCGUGGUAAUACACAUGUUCAUGCCAAAGGAUGUAGAGUUAAUAAUGAUAGUACCACUUUCUCAUGGCACUGCCGCUUAGGUCAUAUUAGCGUAAGAUGCAUGAAGAAACUCCAUGUCGACGGAUGUUUGGAGUCACUUGAUUUUGAAUCACUUGACACAUGCGAGCCACGCCUCAUGGGCAGGAUGACUAAGACCCUGUUUUCAGGUACAAUGAAACGGGCAAGUGACUUGUUGGAAAUCAUGCAUGCUGAUGUGUGUGAUCCAAUGAGAAUUGAAGCGUGCGGUGGAUAUCGCUAUUUUCUCAUCUUCACUGAUGAUUUGGGUAGAUAUAGGUAUAUCUACUUAAUGAAGCACAAGUUUGAAACGUUUGAAAAGUUCAAGCGAUUUCAGAGUGAAGUUAAGAAUCAUCAUAACAAUAAGAUCAUGUUCCUACGAUCUGAUCAAAAGGGGAUUUUCUGAGUUAUGAGUUUGGCAAUCACUUAAGACAUUGUGGAAUUGUUUCACAGUUGAAGCCACCUGGAACACCACAAGGUAAUGGUGUAUCCGGACAUUGUAAUCGAACCCUAUGAGAUAUGGUGCAAUCUAUGAUGUCUCUUACCAAUCUACUGUUUUCAUUUUGAGGUUAUGCGUUAGAGACAGCCGCAUUCACUUUAUAUAGGACACCAUCUAAAGUCUGUUGAGACAACAUCGUAAGAAUAUGCUUUGGCAAGAAAUAAAUGUAGGGUUUCGUAGUAAUUUCAAAAAAUUUCCUACGCUCACGCAAGAUCAUGUGAUGCAUAGCAACGAGAGGGGAGAAUGUUGUCUACGUACCCACGCAGACCGACUGCGGAAGCGUUGACGCAACGUAGAGGAAGUAGUCGUACGUCUUCACGAUCCAACCGAUCAAGCACCAAAACUACGGCACCUCCGAGUUCGAGCACACGUUCAGCUCGAUGACGAUCCUCGGACUCCGAUCCAGCAAAGUGUCGGGGAAGAGUUCCGUCAGCACAACGGCGUGGUGACGAUCUUGAUGCACUACAGCAGCAGGGCUUCGCCUAAACUCCGCUACAGUAUUAUCGAGGACUAUGGUGGUUGGGGGCACCGCACACGGCUAAGGAAUAGAUCACAUGGAUCAACUUGUGUGUUUCUGGGGUGCCUCUGCCUCAGUAUAUAAAGGAGUAGAGGGGGGAGGCUGGCCNNNNNNNNNNNNNNNNNNNNNNNNNNNNNNNNNNNNNNNNNNNNNNNNNNNNNNNNNNNNNNNNNNNNNNNNNNNNNNNNNNNNNNNNNNNNNNNNNNNNNNNNNNNNNNNNNNNNNNNNNNNNNNNNNNNNNNNNNNNNNNNNNNNNNNNNNNNNNNNNNNNNNNNNNNNNNNNNNNNNNNNNNNNNNNNNNNNNNNNNNNNNNNNNNNNNNNNNNNNNNNNNNNNNNNNNNNNNNNNNNNNNNNNNNNNNNNNCGGAGGGGGAAAAGAGAGAGAGGGGGCCGGCCACCUCUCCUAGUCCUAAUAGGACUAGGGGAAGGGGGAGGCGCGCAGCCCAUGUAGGGCUGCCUCUUCUCCUUUCCACUAAGGCCCAUCAUGGCCCAUUUAGCUCCCGGGGGGUUCCGGUAACCUUCCCGGUACUCCGGUAAAAUCCUGAUUUCACCCGGAACACUUCCGAUAUCCAACCAUAGGCUUCCAAUAUAUCAAUCUUUACGUCUCCACCAUUUCGAGACUCCUCGUCAUGUCCGUGAUCACAUCCGGGACUCCGAACAACCUUCGGUACAUCAAAAUGCAUAAACUCAUAAUAUAACUGUCAUCGUAACCUUAAGCGUGCGGACCCUACGGGUUCGAGAACAAUGUAGACAUGACCGAGACAUGUCUCCGGUCAAUAACCAAUAGCGGGACCUGGAUGCCCAUAUUGGCUCCUACAUAUUCUAUGAAGAUCUUUAUCGGUCAGACCGCAUAACAACAUACGUUGUUCCCUUUGUCAUCGGUAUGUUACUUGCCCGAGAUUCGAUCGUCGGUAUCCAAUACCUAGUUCAAUCUCGUUACCGGCAAGUCUCUUUACUCGUUCUGUAAUACAUCAUCCCGCAUCUAACUCAUUAGUUGCAAUGCUUGCAAGGCUUAUGUGAUGUGCAUUACCGAGAGGGCCCAGAGAUACCUCUCCGACAAUCGGAGUGACAAAACCUAAUCUCGAAAUACGCCAACCCAACAUGUACCUUUGGAGACACCUGUAGUACUCCUUUAUAAUCACCCAGUUACGUUGUGACGUUUGGUAGUACCCAAAGUGUUCCUCCGGUAAACGGGAGUUGCAUAAUCUCAUAGUUAUAGGAAAAUGUAUAAGUUAUGAAGAAAGCAAUAGCAACAUACUAAACGAUCGGGUGCUAAGCUAAUGGAAUGGGUCAUGUCAAUCAGAUCAUUCAACUAAUGAUGUGACCUCGUUAAUCAAAUAACAACUCUUUGUUCAUGGUUAGGAAACAUAACCAUCUUUGAUUAACGAGCUAGUCAAGUAGAGGCAUACUAGUGACACUCUCUUUGUCUAUGUAUUCACACAUGUAUUAUGUUUCCGGUUAAUACAAUUCCAGCAUGAAUAAUAAACAUUUAUCAUGAUAUAAGGAAAUAAAUAAUAACUUUAUUAUUGCCUCUAGGGCAUAUUUCCUUCAUUCUCCCACUUGCACUAGAGUCAAUAAUCUAGAUUACACUGUAAUGAUUCUAACACCCAUGGAGCUUUGGUGCUGAUCAUGUUUUGCUCGUGGAAGAGGCUUAGUCAACGGGUCUGCAACAUUCAGAUCCGUAUGUAUCUUGCAAAUCUCUAUGUCUCCCACCUGGACUAGAUCCCGGAUGGAAUUGAAGCGUCUCUUGAUGUGUUUGGUCCUUUUGUGAAAUCUGGAUUCCUUUGCCAAGGCAAUUGCACCAGUAUUGUCACAAAAGAUUUUCAUUGGACCCGAUGCACUAGGUAUGACACCUAGAUCAGAUAUGAACUCCUUCAUCCAGACUCCUUCAUUUGCUGCUUCCGAAGCAGCUAUGUACUCCGCUUCACAUCUAGAUCCCGCUACGACGCUUUUGUUUAGAACUGCACCAACUGACAGCUCCACCGUUUAAUGUAAACACGUAUCCAGUUUGCGAUUUAGAAUCGUCUGGAUCAGUGUCAAAGCUUGCAUCAACGUAACCUUUUACGACGAGCUCUUUGUCACCUCCAUAUACGAGAAGCAUAUCCUUAGUCCUUUUCAGGUAUUUCAGGAUGUUCUUGACCGCUGUCCAGUGAUCCACUCCUGGAUUACUUUGGUACCUCCCUGCUAGACUUAUAGCAAGGCACACAUCAGGUCUGGUACACAGCAUUGCAUACAUGAUAGAUCCUAUUGCUGAUGCAUAGGGAACAUCUUUCAUAUUCUCUCUAUCUUAUGCAGUGGUCGGGCAUUGAGUCUUACUCAAUUUCACACCUUGUAACACAGGCAAGAAUCCUUUCUUUUCUUGAUCCAUUCUGAACUUCUUCAAAAUUUUGUCAAGGUAUGUUGUUUGUGAAAGUCCAAUUAAGCGUCUUGAUAUAUCUCUAUAGGUCUUUAUGCCUAAUAUGUAAGCAGCUUCACCGAGGUCUUUCAUUGAAAAACUCUUAUUCAAGUAUCCCUUUAUGCUAUCCAUAAAUUCUAUAUUAUUUCCAAUUAACAAUAUGUCAUCCACAUAUAAUACCAGAAAUGCUACAGAGCUCCCACUCACUUUCUUGUAAAUACAGGCUUCUCCGAAAGUCUGUAUAAAACCAAAUGCUUUGAUCACACUAUCAAAACAUUUAUUCCAACUCCGAGAGGCUUGCACCAGUCCAUAAAUGGAUCGCUGGAGCUUGCACACUUUGUUAGCUCCCUUUGGAUCGACAAAACCUUCUGGUUGCAUCAUAUACAACUCUUCUUCCAGAAAUCCGUUCAGGAAUGCAGUUUUGACAUCCAUCUGCCAAAUUUCAUAAUCAUAAAAUGCGGCAAUUGCUAACAUGAUUCGGACAGACUUAAGCAUCGCUACGGGUGAGAAGGUCUCAUCGUAGUCAAUCCCUUGAACUUGCCGAAAACCUUUUGCGACAAGUCGAGCUUUGUAGACAGUAACAUUACCGUCAGCGUCAGUCUUCUUCUUGAAGAUCCAUUUAUUCUCAAUUGCUUGCCGAUCAUCGGGCAAGUCAACCAAAGUCCAUACUUUGUUCUCAUACAUGGAUCCCAUCUCAGAUUUCAUGGCUUCAAGCCACUUUGCGGAAUCUGGGCUCACCAUCGCUUCUUCAUAGUUCGUAGGUUCAUCAUGAUCUAGUAGCAUGACUUCCAGAACAGGAUUACCGUACCACUCUGGCGCGGAUCUCACUCUGGUUGAUCUACGAGGUUCAGUAGUAUCUUGAUCUGAAAUUUCAUGAUCAUUAUCAUUAGUUUCCUCACUAACUGGUGUAGGUGUCACUGGAACAGUUUUCUGUGACGUACUACUUUCCAGUAAGGGAGCAGGUAUAGUUACCUCAGCAAGUUCUACUUUCCUCCCACUCACUUCUUUCGAGAGAAACUCCUUCUCUAGAAAGUUUCUGAAUUUAGCAACAAAAGUCUUGCCUUCGGAUCUGUGAUAGAAGGUGUAUCCAAUUGUUUCCUUUGGAUAUCCUAUGAAGACACAUUUCUCCGAUUUGGGUUCGAGCUUAUCAGGUUGAAGCUUUUUCACAUAAGCAUCGUAGCCCCAAACUUUAAGAAACGACAACUUUGGUUUCUUGCCAAACCAUAAUUCAUAGGGUGUCGUCUCAACGGAUUUUGAUGGUGCCCUAUUUAACGUGAAUGCGGCCGUCUCUAAAGCAUAACCCCAAAACGAUAGCGGUAAAUCUGUAAGAGACAUCAUAGACCGCACCAUAUCUAGUAAAGUACGAUUACGACGUUCGGACUCACCAUUACGCUGUGGUGUUCCAGGUGGCGUGAGUUGCGAAACUAUUCCACAGUUUUUCAAAUGUACACCAAACUCGUAACUCAAAUAUUCUCCUCCACGAUUAGAUCGUAGAAACUUUAUUUUCUUGUUACAAUGAUUUUCAACUUCACUCUGAAAUUCUUUGAACUUUUCAAAUGUUUCAGACUUAUGUUUCAUUAAGUAGAUAUACCCAUAUCUGCUUAAAUCAUCUGUGAAGGUGAGAAAAUAACGAUAUCCGCCACGAGCCUCAAUAUUCAUCGGACCACAUACAUCGGUAUGUAUGAUUUCCAGCAAAUCUGUUGCUCUCUCCAUAGUACCGGAGAAUGGUGUUUUAGUCAUCUUGCCCAUGAGGCACGGUUCGCAAGUACCAAGUGAUUCAUAAUCAAGUGGUUCCAAAAGUCCAUCAGUAUGGAGUUUCUUCAUGCGCUUUACACCGAUAUGACCUAAACGACAGUGCCACAAAUAAGUUGCACUUUCAUUAUCAACUCUGCAUCUUUUGGCUUCAACAUUAUGAAUAUGUGUAUUACUACUAUCGAGAUUCAAUAAGAAUAGACCACUCUUCAAGGGUGCAUGACCAUAAAAGAUAUUACUCAUAUAAAUAGAACAACCAUUAUUCUCUGAUUUAAAUGAAUAACCAUCUCGCAUUAAACAAGAUCCAGAUAUAAUGUUCAUGCUCAACGCUGGCACCAAAUAACAAUUAUUUAGGUCUAAUAUUAAUCCGGAAGGUAGAUGUAGAGGUAGCGUGCCGACCGCGAUCACAUCGACUUUGGAACCGUUUCCCACGCGCAUCGUCACCUCGUCCUUUGCCAGUGCCUGCUUAUUCUGUAGUCCCUGUUUCGAGUUGCAAAUAUUAGCAACAGAACCAGUAUCAAAUACCCAGGUGCUACUGCGAGCUCUAGUAAGGUACACAUCAAUAACAUGUAUAUCACAUAUACCUUUGUUCACCUUGCCAUCCUUCUUAUCCGCCAAAUACUUGGGGCAGUUCCGCUUCCAGUGACCAGUCUGCUUGCAGUAGAAGCACUCAGUUUCAGGCUUAGGUCCAGACUUGGGUUUCUUCUCCUGAGCAGCAACUUGCUUGCUGUUCUUCUUGAAGUUCCCCUUCUUCUUCCCUUUGCCCUUUUUCUUGAAACUAGUGGUGUUGUUAACCAUCAACACUUGAUGCUCCUUCUUGAUUUCUACCUCCGCAGCUUUCAGCAUUGCGAAGAGCUCGGGAAUAGUCUUGUUCAUCCCUUGCACAUUAUAGUUCAUCACGAAGCUCUUGUAGCUUGGUGGCAGUGAUUGGAGAAUUCUGUCACUGACGCAAUCAUCCGGAAGAUUAACUCCCAAUUGAAUCAAGUGAUUAUUAUACCCAGACAUUUUGAGUAUAUGCUCACUGACAGAACUGUUCUCCUCCAUCUUGCAGCUAUAGAAUUUAUUGGAGACUUCAUAUCUCUCAAUUCGGGCAUUUGCUUGAAAUAUUAACUUCAACUCCUGGAACAUCUCAUAUGCUCCAUGACGUUCAAAACGUCGUUGAAGUCCCGAUUCUAAGCCGUAAAGCAUGGCACACUGAACUAUCAAGUAGUCAUCAGCUUUGCUCUGCUAGACGUUCAUAACAUCCGGCGUUGCUCCUGCAGCAGGCCUGGCACCCAGCGGUGCUUCCACGAUGUAAUUCUUCUGUGCAGCAAUGAGGAUAAUCCUCAAGUUACGGACCCAGUCCGUAUAAUUGCUACCAUUAUCUUUCAACUUUGCUUUCUCAAGGAACGCAUUAAAAUUCAACGAAACAACAGCACGAGCCAUCUAUCUACAAUCAAACAUAAACAAGCAAGAUACUAAUCAGGUACUAAGUUUCAUGAUAAAUUUAAGUUCAGUUAAUCAAGUUAAAGAACUCCCACUUAGAUAGACAUCCCUCUAAUCCUCUAAGUGAUUACGUGAUCCAAAUCAACUAAACCAUAACCGAUCAUCACAUGAGAUGGAGCAGUUAUCAAUGGUGAACAUCGUUAUGUUGAUCAUAUCUACUAUAUGAUUCACGCUCGACCUUUCGGUCUCCGUGUUCCGAGGCCAUAUCUGUAUAUGCUUGGCUCGUCAAGUAUAACCUGAGUAUUCCGCGUGUGCAACUGUUUUGCACCCGUUGUAUUUGAACGUAGAACCUAUCACACCCGAUCAUCACGUGGUGUCUCAGCACGAAGAACUUCCGCAACGGUGCAUACUCAGGGAGAACACUUCUUGAUAAUUAGUGAGAGAUCAUCUUAUAAUGCUACCGUCAAUCAAAGCAAGAUAAGAUGCACAAAAGGAUAAACAUCACAUGCAAUCAAUAUAAGUGAUAUGAUAUGGCCAUCAUCAUCUUGUGCUCGUGAUCUCCAUCUCCGAAGCACCAUCGUGAUCACCAUCGUCACCGGCGUGACACCUUGAUCUCCAUCAUAGCAUCGUUGUCGUCCCGCCAAGCUUUAUGCUUCUACGACUAUCACUACCGCUUAGUAAUAAAGUAAAGCAUUACAUCGCGAUUUCAUUGCAUACAAUAAAGCGACAACCAUAUGGCUCCUGCCAGUUGCCGAUAACUCGGUUACAAAACAUGAUCAUCUCAUACAAUAAAAUUCAGCAUCAUGUCUUGACCAUAUCACAUCACAACAUGCCCUGCAAAAACAAGUUAGACGUCCUCUACUUUGUUGUUGCAAGUUUUACGUGGCUGCUACGGGCUUAAGCAAGAACCAAUCUCACCUACACAUCAAAACCACAACGAUAGUUUGUCAAAUAGACUCCAUUUUAACCUUCGCAAGGACCGGGCGUAGCCAUACUUGGUUCAACUAAAGUUGGAGAGACAGUCGCCCGCAAGCCACCUAUGUGCAAAGCACGUCGGGGGAACCGGUCUCGCGUAAGCGUACGCGUAAUGUUGGUCCGGGUCGUCUCGUCCAACAAUGCCGCCAAACCAAAGUAUGACAUGCUGGUAGGCAGUAUGACUUAUAUCGCCCACAACUCACUUGUGUUCUACUCGUGCAUAUAACAUCAACAUAAAUAACCUAGGCUCGGAUGCCACUGUAGGGUUUCGUAGUAAUUUCAAAAAAAUUCCUACGCUCACGCAAGAUCAUGUGAUGCAUAGCAACGAGAGGGGAGAAUGUUGUCUACGUACCCACGCAGACCGACUGCGGAAGCGUUGACACAACAUAGAGGAAGUAGUCGUACGUCUUCACGAUCCAACCGAUCAAGCACCGAAACUACGACACCUCCGAGUUCGAGCACACGUUCAGCUCGAUGAUGAUCCCCGGACUCUGAUCCAGCAAAGUGUCGGGGAAGAGUUCCGUCAGCACGACGGCGUGGUGACGAUCUUGAUACACUACAGCAGCAGGGCUUCGCCUAAACUCCGCUACAGUAUUAUCGAGGACUAUGGUGGCUGGGGGCACCGCACAUGGCUAAGGAAUAGAUCACGUGGAUCAACUUGUGUGUUUCUGGGGUGCCUAUGCCUCAGUAUAUAAAGGAGUAGAGGGGGGAGGCUGGCCGGCCAUAGGAGGCGCGCCAGGAGAGUCCUACUCCCUCUGGGAGUAGGAUUCCCCCCCCCCAAUCCUAGUUGGAAUAGGAUUCGCCGAGGGGGAAAAGAGAGUGAGGGGGCCGGCCACCUCUCCUAGUCCUAAUAGGAUUAGGGGAAGGGGGAGGCGCGCAGCCCAUGUAGGGCUGCCUCUUCUCCUUUCCACUAAGGCCCAUCAUGGCCCAUUUAGCUCCCGGGGGGUUCCGGUAACCUUCCCGGUACUCCGGUAAAAUCCCGAUUUCACCCGGAACACUUCCGAUAUCCAACCAUAGGCUUCCAAUAUAUCAAUCUUUACGUCUCGACCAUUUCGAGACUCCUCGUCAUGUCCGUGAUCACAUCUGGGACUCCGAACAACCUUCGGUACAUCAAAAUGCAUAAACUCAUAAUAUAACUGUCAUCGUAACCUUAAGCGUGCGGACCCUGCGGGUUCGAGAACAAUGUAGACAUGACCGAGACAUGUCUCCGGUCAAUAACCAAUAGCGGGACCUGGAUGCCCAUAUUGGCUCCUACAUAUUCUACGAAGAUCUUUAUCGGUCAGACCGCAUAACAACAUACGUUGUUCCCUUUGUCAUCGGUAUGUUACUUGCCCGAGAUUCGAUCGUCGGCAUCCAAUACCUAGUUCAAUCUCAUUACCGGCAAGUCUCUUUACUCGUUCUGUAAUACAUCAUCCCGCAACUAACUCAUUAGUUGCAAUGCUUGCAAGGCUUAUGUGAUGUGCAUUACCGAGAGGGCCCAGAGAUACCUCUUCGACAAUCGGAGUGACAAAACCUAAUCUCGAAAUACGCCAACCCAACAUGUACCUUUGGAGACACCUAUAGUACUCCUUUAUAAUCACCUAGUUACGUUGUGACGUUUGGUAGUACCCAAAGUGUUCCUCCGGUAAACGGGAGUUGCAUAAUCUCAUAGUUAUAGGAACAUGUAUAAGUUAUGAAGAAAGCAAUAGCAACAUACUAAACGAUCGGGUGCUAAGCUAAUGGAAUGGGUCAUGUCAAUCAGAUCAUUCAACUAAUGAUGUGACCUCGUUAAUCAAAUAACAACUCGUUGUUCAUGGUUAGGAAACAUAACCAUCUUUGAUUAACGAGCUAGUCAAGUAGAGGCAUACUAGUGACACUCUGUUUGUCUAUGUAUUCGCACAUGUAUUAUGUUUCCGGUUAAUACAAUUCUAGCAUGAAUAAUAAACAUUUAUCAUGAUAUAAGGAAAUAAAUAAUAACUUUAUUAUUGCCUCUAGGGCAUAUUUCCUUCAACAAAAGUUGUCGUUUCUUAAUGUUUGGGGCUGCGAUGCUUAAGGCUUCAGCCGGAGAAGCUCGAACCCAAAGUGGACAAACACAUCUUCAUAGGAUACCCAAGGGUGACAGUUGGGUAUACCUUCUAUCUCAGAUCCAAGGGCAAAUUGUUUGUCGCUAAGAACAGGUCCUUUCUCGAGAAGGAGUUUCUCUUGAAAGAAUUGAGUGGGAGGAAGAUAGAACUUGAUGAGGUUGUCGAACCUUUAUUUUCAACCAGAGAGUGAUGCAACACAAAAAGAUGUUUUCUUUGGUGCCUACAUCUGUUGAAGAGGAAGUUAAUGAUAGUGAUCAUGAAGCUUCAGAUCAAGUUGCUAUCGAACCUCGUAGGUCGACAAGGAUAUGUACUACUCCUGAGUGGUACGGUAAUCCUGUCUUAGAUAUCAUGUUGUUAGACAACAAUGAACCUACGAGCUAUGGAGAAGCGAUGGUGGGCCCGUAUUUCGACAAAUGGUUAGAAGCCAUGAAAUCCGAAAUAGGAUCCAUAUAUCAGAACAAAGUAUGGACUUUGGUGGACUUGCCCGAUGAUCGGCAAGCCAUUGAGAUAAAUGGAUCUUUAAGAAGAAGACGGACGUGGGCGGUAAUGUUACCGUCUAUGAAGCUCGACUUGUGAGAAAGAGUCUUUUCACAAGUUCAAGGAGUUGACUACGAUGAGAAUUUCUCACCCGUAGCGAUGCUUAAGUCCGUCGGAAUCAUGUUAGCAUUAGCUGUAUUUUUCGAUUAUGAAAUCUUACAGAUGGAUGUCAAAACAAGUUUUCUUACCAAUUUUCAUAAGAAAAGUUGUAUGUGAUACAAUAAAAGGUUUUGUCGAUCCUAAGGAUGCUAAAAGGUAUGCUGGCUCUAGCAAUCCUUCUAUGGACUAGAGCAAGCAUAGAAUCGGAAUAUAUGUUUUGAUGGAGUGAUCAAAGCUUUUAGGUUUAUACAAUGUUUGCUAGAAACUUGUAUUUACAAGAAAGUGAGUGGGAGCACUACAACAUUUCUGAUAAGUAUAUGUGGAUGACAUAUUGUUGAUCCGAAAUAAUGUAGAAUUUCUGGAAAGCAUAAACGGUUGUUUGAAGAGUGUUUUUCAAAGGAAGACCUGGAUAAAGCUGCUUACAUAUUGGGCAUCAAGAUCUAUGGAGAUAGAUCAAGACGCCUGAUGGUACUUUCAAAGAACGCACACCUUGACAUGUUUUUGAAGGAGUUCAAAAUAGAUCAGUCAAAGAAGGGGUUCUUACCUGAGUUGUAAGGUGUGAAGUUGACUAAGACUCAAAGCUUGACCACGACAGAAGAAAGAGAAAGGACGAAGGUCGUCCCCUAUGCUUUUGUCAUAGGCUCUAUACGGUAUGCCAUGCUGAAGUACCGCACCUGAUGUGUGCCUUGCCACAUGUCUGGCAAGAGGGUACAAAGGUGAUCUAGGAGUAGAUCACCAGAUAGCGGUCAAAAUUAUCCUUAGAGGAAUAAGGAAAUGUUUCUCGGUUAUGGAGGUGAUAAAGAGUUCGACGUAAAGAGUUACGUCGAUGCAAGCUUAACACCUAUCCGGAUAGCUCUGAGUAGAGAUACCGGAUACGUAUAAUGGAGCAACAAUUUGGAAUAGCUCCAAGUGGAACGUGGUAGCAGCAUCUACGAUAUGACAUAAAGUUUUACGAAAUACAUAGGAAUCUGAAUAUGGCAAGACCCGUUGACUACAACCUCUCUCACAAGCAUAACAUGAUCAAACCCAGACUCUUUGAGUGUUUAUCACAUAGUGAUGUGAACUAGAUCAUUGAGUCUAGUAGACUCUUAGAUGUUGGUCACAUGGUGAUGUGACCUGUGAGUGUUAAUCACAUGGCGAUGUGAACUAGAUUAUUGACUCUAGUGCAAGUGGGAGACUGUUGGAAAUAUGCCCUAGAGGCAAUAAUAAAUUGGUUAUUGUUAUAUUUCCUUGUUCAUGAUAAUCGUUUAUUAUCCAUGCUAGAAUUGUAUUGAUAGGAAACUCAGAUACAUGUGUGGAUACAUAGACAACACCAUGUCCCUAGUAAGCCUCUAGUUGACUAGCUCGUUGAUCAAUAGAUGGUUACGGUUUCCUGACCAUGAACAUUGGAUGCCGUUGAUAACGGGAUCACAUCAUUAGGAGAAUGAUGUGAUGGACGAGACCCAAUCCUAAGCCUAGCACAAAGAUCGUUUAGUUCGUUUGCUAAAGCUUUUCUAAUGUCAAGUAUCAUUUCCUUAGACCAUGAGAUUUUGCAACUCCCGGAUACCAUAGGAGUGCUUUGGCUGUGCCAAACGUCACAACGUAACUGGGUGGCUAUAAAGGUACACUACAGGUAUCUCCGAAAGUGUCUGUUGGGUUGGCACGAAACGAGACUGGGAUUUGUCACUCCGUGUAAAUGGAGAGGUAUCUCUGGGCCCACUCGGUAGGACAUCAUCAUAAUGUGCACAAUGUGAUCAAGGAGUUGAUCACGGGAUGAUGUGUUAUGGAACGAGUAAAGAGACUUGCCGGUAACGAGAUUGAACAAGGUAUCGGGAUACCGACGAUCGAAUCUCGGGCAAGUAUCGUACCGAUGGACAAAGGGAAUUGUAUACGGGAUUGAUUAAAUCCUUGACAUCAUGGUUCAUCCGAUGAGAUCAUCAUGGAACAUGUGGGAGCCAACAUGGGUAUCCAGAUCCCGCUGUCGGUUAUUGACCAGAGAGUUGUCUCGGCCAUGUCUGCAUGACUCCCGAACCCGUAGGGUCUACACACUUAAGGUUCAAUGACGCUAGGGUUAUAGGGAAUAGAUAUACGUGGUUACCGAAUGUUGUUCGGAGUCCCGGAUGAGAUCCCGGACAUCACGAGGAGUUCCGGAAUGGUUCGGAGGUAAAGAUUUAUAUAUGGGAAGUCCUGUUUUGGUCACCGAAAAAAUUUCGGGUGCUAUCGGUAACGUACCGGGACCACUGGGAGGGUCCCGGGGGUCCACCAGGUGGGGCUACCUGCCCCAGAGGGUUGCGUGGGCCAAGUGUGAGAGGGGACCAGCCCCAGGUGGGCUGGUGCGCCCCCCCCACCAGGGCCCAAGGCGAAGAGAGAAGGGAAAAGGGGGAAACCCUAGGCUCAGAUGGGCCUAAGGCCCACCUAGUGGUGCGCCCCCCUCUCUCCCCCCUUGGCCGCCCCCUAGAUGAGAUCUAGGGCUGGCCGCCACCCCUAGGGGUGGAAACCUAGGUGGGGGCGCAGCCCCUCCCUUUCCCCUAUAUAUAGUGGGGGUUUUGGGCUGCCAUACACACGAGAACAUCUCCUUCUUGGCGCAGCCCUACCCCUCUCCCUCCUCGUCUCUUCCGGUGCUUGGUGAAGCCCUACUGGAGUACCACGCUCCUCCACCACCACCACGCCGUCGUGCUGCUGCUGGAUGGAGUCUUCCCCAACCUCUCCUUCUCCCCUUGCUGGAUCAAGGCGUAGGAGACAUCACCGGGCUGUACGUGUGUUGAACACGGAGGUGCCAUCCGUUCGUCACUAGGAUCAUCGGUGAUUUGGAUCACGACGAGUACAACUCCAUCAACCCCGUUCACUUGAAUGCUUCCGCUUAGCAAUCUACAAGGGUAUGUAGAUGCACUCUCCUUCCCUCAUUGCUAGACUUCUCCAUAGAUUGAUCUUGGUGAUGCGUAGAAAAUUUUGAAUUUCUGCUACGUUCCCCAAUAGUACGUGUGUUGAACGCGGAGGCGCCGUUCGUUCGGCACUAGAAUGGAUCUUCCACGAUUUGAAUCGCCGCGAGUACGACUCCAUCAACCGCGUUCUUGUAACGCUUCCGCUGAGCGAUCUUCAAGGGUAUGAAGAUGCACUCCCUCUCUCUCGUUGCUAGCAUCUCCUAGAUUGAUCUUGACACGUAGGAAAAUUUUGAAUUAUUGCUACGUUCCCCAACAAAGGCAGGCCGCGCCCCCCUCCCCUUAGUCUAAAUUGGACUAGGAAGGGGGGCGGCGCCCCCUUUCCUUUCCCAGCUUCCUCUCCUUCCUUCCCCCUCUCUCCCUUUUGGUGGAAACCUACUAGGACUUGGAGUCCUAGUAGGAUUCCCCACUUGGGGGCGCGCCAAGGAGGGUCGGCCGGCCUCCCCCUCCCUUCUUUAUAUAUGUGGGGAGGGGGGCACCCUAGAACACACAAGUUAAUUGUUUAGCCGUGUAUGGUGCCCCCCUCUACAGAUUUAUACCUCGGUCAUAUCGUUGUAGAGUUUAGGCGAAGCCCUGCGCAGGUAACUUCAUCAUCACCGUCAUCACGCCGUCGUGCUGACGAAACUCUCCUUCGACCUCAACUGUAUCUAGAGUUAGUGGGAUGCCACCAAGCUGAACGUGUGCAGAUCGCGAAGGUGUCGUAUCUUCGGUGCUAGGAUCGGUCGGAUCGUGAAGAUGUACGACUAUAUCAACCGCAUUGUCAUAACGCUUCCGCUUACGGUCUACGAGGGUACGUGGACAACACUCUCUCCUCUCGUUGCUAUGCAUCACCUAGAUGAAUCUUGCGUGUGCGUAGGAUUUUUUUUUGAAAUUACUGCGUUCCCCAACACUCCUCAACUAAUGAUUUCGGUGGUUGGCUUUUGCAUAGGUGUCCUUGGUUUUGUCACAGGCGUUUCCUAAUCGGUGCCUUAAGCGCCAUUUAAAAGGUAUUUUGAGGGAGGCAGGGGGAGCGUCGUUUAUAGGGUAAUCCGUACAGGGCACACACCCCCUAUACACUAGGUCCAGUUCGCAGUCCGGCCCAUUUGUUUUUCUGUUCGUUUAUUUUUGCGUUUCGAACUGGGAUUUUUUUUUAAAUUGCAUGAACUUAUUUUUAAAAUUCGAUGAACUUUAAGAAAAUGAUAAUAUUUACCUGCUUUUGUGAACAUUUUUCAAAUCAAUGAUUUUUUUUCACAAUCGAUGAACUUUCUUUCAAAAUCAAUGUUUUUUUUAUUUUUUUGUGUUUUUCGCAAAAGCAAUAUUUUCCUGCCUGGAAGUUUUCCAAUGCAAUGAGCUUCUUCAAAAAAUUUGAUGAAUUUUUUCAAUAUCGAUGAACUUUUUUUUUUAAAUUCAUGAACCUUUUAAGUUUGUGAACUUUCUUUUCAAAAACCAUGAACACUCUUUAAGUUUGUCAACUUUCUUUUUAAAUUUGGAGUGAAAAUGGGUCAAAACGAGCACAAAUAGACAUACAAAUGAAAUGGGUUGCUGCGUUCAUCCGUGCUUUUUGUCCAUCCAGACCCAAACAGACACAGCAAGACAAAAUGGGUCAGUGCAUUGUAGUUGGCCUUAGCUUUCCUCCUUUCCAUCUUUGUUCCAUAAGAAAGACCAAGAAGGGCGCUUGCGGCCUCACGAUAUUGUGAAGCUCAGGAACUAUCUCUUCAUUUUUAUGGUCGUGACUGUUGAAGCUAAGAGCUAAUUCUUGAUCACAACACUUACUUCCUCCGGUCCUUUUUAGUUCGCAUAUAAGAUUUGUCCGAAGUCAAGCCUCGUAAACUUUGACCAACUUUAUAGAAAAAAAUAUCAAUAUUCAUAAUGUGAAAUCAAUACCAGUAGAUGCGUCACGAAUUAAAAUUUCAUAUUAUAUAACUUUAGCAUGGUAGAUGCUGAUAUUUUUCUUAUAAAUAUGGUCAAACUUUGUGGAGUUUGACUGCAGACAAUUCUUAUAUGCAAAGUAAAAAGGACCGGAGGGAGUACAAACGCUAUAUAAAUUUGAGCAUGUUUACUCCUGAAAAAAAUAAUUGAACUACAAACUAAAAUAAUUUUGAGCACCUGACAACCGGCCCAUUCAAAAGAAUUCGCACGACAUUCAACAGCCCAUGCGAAACAACCCAGCCGAGCAAUAAGCCCAGGGCCUCCUAAACCGCCAUAGCUUUUCCUCCAAGCAAUGCGUCGUCAUAAACCUCCUCCUACCCUUAACCCACUGACACCCGGGCACGCCAAGCUCGUGGCUCCACAAGUCAUUCCCUACGUCUCACCUCCCCUCCGCACUCCCGCGUAACCUCUUCACUCACCCCAGCUACUGCUAGAGGCACCCGCAACAACCCCAGGCAACCUCCACCGUUUCACGUACAGAUGGGGCCCGCCUGGGUGGUGACUUCCUGACCCCACCCGUCGGUGUCCGUGGGAGCAGGGGAUAUUUCCGCCCCGUACGCGCGCGCCGGAGCCGCAGAAAUAUCUCUCGUGGUGCCUGGCUAUUAACCCAACCCCAUUCCCUCUCUCCCCCUCUCCACUCCUCGUCCCCCCCUCCUCCUCCCCAGAACCCUAAACCCCGCCGCCGCCAUAAACCCUAGCCGCCGCCGCAGCCAGGGCCAGCCAGGAUGUACGCCAUGAUCCGCCGCGCGGAUCCCCUCCGGAGGCGCGCCGCGUCGGCCAUCCUGGCCGCGCUGCUGCAGCACCCGGCGGGCCCCUCCGCCGCCGGGGCGUCGGCGUCGGUCCUGCCCCCAAGGUCGCCGCUCCCGCCGCCGGCGAUGUGGUUCCACUCCAGGCCGGCCCCGCUCGGGUUCCGGGAGACGGGGGCCGCGCGGGCCGGGGCGCACGCUCAGUUCGCGGCGGACGAGGGGUGGAACUACGACGAUAAGAGGAAGCCCGCGGGGGGCGUGGCUGGGGCCGGCGCCGGCGCCAAGGAGGAGGGGCUUGAGAUCGCAAAGCUCGGGAUCUCGUCCGAGAUCGUCGACAAGCUCUCCGCCAAGGGCAUCACCAAGCUGUUCCCCAUCCAGGUAAGGGGAGCAGGCAGGCACGCAGCCUUUUCCCCCUCUCUUCGAUUGGAACGUGAUUACUACCUCCUUUGAUCGUCCGUGGUUUGUUUGCUCUCUGGGGCUACUGCUUGAUUGAUUGCUGCCCAGUUAAUUGUGUUCUGUAGGAACGAGAACAUUUCCUCCUUUUGGAAUGUUGUAACUUCUCCGCAGUUAAUUAAUUCUGAACAUAGCUCAGAAGGAGGCUUGCUCCGAUGCGCGGAACUGCGGAGCAGUUCUUCCCCACUAUGAUAGUUUUGUGUGGUUUUCCACUACCUCACUGCCCUAUGCGAGGCAACUGUGAUCUUUUGGUUCGUUCUGAAUGGACAGAUGUUUUAUUGCCAGUGAAAUUUAUACACUAUAUAAGUUAGUCUAUGGAACCUUAAUUAAUUAAUUUGUAAUUUCUAACGAGAGACAAAAAAUUUAAGGUUGCAUCAUAUUGUUCAGCAGCUGCGAUUAUCACUCUGUAUUAUUAUGUGCUUGCGUGUCCCUUUCUCUUGUGAUAAUAGUUAUGCAUGCUCAGCUGUUUUUUUUACUUCUGCUUCUAGAUUGAGUCAAUCAAACCAUCCCUGUAUAGGUCCAAUUUUUUAUCUGUUUGUGCGUACCUUUAUGUUUGUCAUCUUUCAAUAUUCUCCUGGCAGUAGGGUAGAUUGUUUACUGCUUACAUGAUCACACCAUUAGUGGAUGCCUUGUGUUUUGGAUGUUAAAAUCCCCUUCCUUUUGCUGUGAUGUGUAGAGAGCUGUCCUUGAGCCAGCAAUGCAAGGCAAGGAUAUGGUUGGCCGUGCCAAAACGGGGACAGGGAAAACUUUGGCAUUUGGAAUCCCCAUAAUGGAUGCAAUUAUUCGCCAUAACGCAGCUAACAAGUAAGUUUGGACAUUUUUCGCAUCAAUCAUUAUUCAUUUUCCCUCUACUCCUUUUAGUGCCAUCUUGUGUUGCAUUGUCACCUCAAUUGAAUCUCUGGAUUCACAGACCUGGAAUAUAUCCCCUGGCGAUAUGUUUGGCACCAACACGGGAACUUGCAAAACAAGUUGAGAAAGAAUUUGUUGAUUCUUCCCGGCUGGAUACACUCUGUGUAUAUGGAGGCACUCCAAUUCAGCAACAAAUGAAAGGACUUAGCCAGGGUGUUGAUGUAGUUGUUGGGACACCUGGACGGGUAAUUGAUCUGCUAAAUAGACGUGCUCUGAAUUUGUCAAAUGUCCAGUUUGUUGUUCUCGAUGAAGCAGACCAGAUGCUGUCAGUGGGUUUUGAUGAAGCUGUUGAGGAAAUUUUGCAAAAUGUGCCUGCCAAACGUCAAACCUUGAUGUUCUCCGCAACAAUGCCACCCUGGAUACGCAAGCUGAUGCAGAAGUACCUCAAAGAUCCUGUCAUAGUUGAUCUUGUGAGUGAUGCUUACCCAUGUUUUACUGAACACUGCAACUUUGAUUUCAUUGCAAAAUUUGUGUAUCCAUAUCUGACCUUAUUUGUCAUGCAUUUGCUGUCUCUACUUGCAUUGGAACUUAUCAUGAGAAGUAACUUCAAUUUUGUUAUGUUAGGCUUGGACUUUUGUUGCGUCUUUUCUAGUAAGAUAAGCAUUAGUGUUAGUAUCAAGAGGAUUAAGAAAAUUAUUCUGGUGGUGUAAAUGCCAAAGACACCUUUUUCUUUUGAAAACUUGCAUAGUCAAUUUCAGGUUUUGAUAAUAUGUGUGGAUGUGCCUGCAACUCUUUAGUCUUUCCCUGAAGAUUUGUAUAGCGUUAAAUCAUUUUUGAAGUUAAUAAACUUCAAAGUUAUGAACUAAGUAACAUUUAUGGGUUAAGUUUGCUCUUUGUUGCACCUGCAUGACAUCAUAAGCACAUUGUUUAAUUAAGAAAAUACAUAGCUACUAGCUGGAUUUGGUUUAUGAUACUAUUUCUUUUCUAGGUGGGUGAAGAUGACCAGAAGCUGGCAGAAGGGAUUUCUCUGUUGUCUAUUGCUACAGAGAAUCAUGCAAAACCUGCUGUCCUUGGGCAAUUGAUUCAGGCAAGGAUGUUUUCUCUGUAGUAUCAAUGGAAUAUUUUUUUCUUAAGUGCUAUCUAAGUUUCUUUCUGCACUCUAUGACGUAAUGUGUGUGUGAGUUCAUUGCAGGACCAUGCUAAAGGUGGCAAGUGCAUUGUAUUUACGCAAACAAAAAGGGAUGCUGAUCGGUUGUCAUACACUAUGAGUCGAAGUGUCCAGUGUCAGGCUCUUCAUGGAGAUAUUACACAACAACAGAGAGAGAGGACACUUCAAGGAUUUCGUGAAGGGCGCUUUAAUACUUUGAUUGCCACUGAUGUUGCUGCUCGUGGUUUGGAUAUUCCAAAUGUGGAUCUGGUUAGUGUUUUUCUGUCAUUGCCUUUCCUUUUGUCAUUUAGAACUGCAUUAUUAAUCUGUUUAAAGCUGGCAACAUUAUCUCAUUGCAACAUCUGCUGUCAAACCCCUUGACUGGCUGUGUUUCCUUGUUUCAGGUGAUACACUAUGAAUUGCCAAACAAUUCAGAGAUAUUUGUUCACAGGUCUGGCCGUACUGGCCGUGCUGGGAAGAAAGGCACUGCAAUUGUGAUGUACAGCUACAACCAAAGUAGAGCUGUCAGGGGCAUCGAGAAUGACGUUGGAGGCAAGUUUACGGAGGUGAGAUUUUGUGUCAUUUAAAGUCGCUGCUUGAGUUUUUUCUUAUGGCAUUUAUGCUCAAUGUGUUCUCUUUUUUGCAGCUUCCAAAGAUCAAUGUUGAAGGUUCUGACUUGACAAUGGCUAGUGGUUAUGAUUCGUUCGGAGGUGGAGGUGGAGGUGGGCGCUCACGUGGUGGUGGUUUUGGUGGCCGCGGUGGUGGUUUUGGCAACUCUUCCAGCAGAGGUGGCGGGUUUGGUGAUUCCGGUUUUGGUCGUUCAGGUGGUGGGUUUGGUCGGUCAGGCGGCGGCGGAGGUGGUGGAUUUGGCGAUUCAGGGUUUGGCCGAUCAGGUGGUGGUGGUGGAUUCGGUGAUUCAGGGUUUGGCCGAUCAGGUGGUGGUGGAGGUGGAUUCGGCUCAAGUGGUGGGUUUGGGAGUUCUGGUUCAGGGCGGUCUGGCGGGUUUGGUAGCAACUCUGGUAGCUCUGGCUCUAGCUGGGGUGGAUUCGGCAGCUUUGGAGGCAAAAGCUCUUGAUUGAUCAACCCCCCAUAGCCCAGCAAAUUUUUGGUUGGAGCGGAAGGCAACCGGGUUAACCGGUUCAGCUUGAUGGUUCUUAUAUAUGGAAAGCCCUCUGUCAGAAGAGGUAAAUUAACAUGGUCUGAUUCUUGUUGGGUAGUACAAGGUUGAAUUUCUAGCGUGGACAACAUACGCUUAUAUUGCCUGGAGCCGCCAACUUUGAAGGCAGCUGGAAAUAAUCACGAGGCUUUCUUCUUUUUCCGUUUCCUGGUGCAAGCUAUUUGCAGCAGGGUUCCUUGUAAAAUAUAUGCAGUGUGCCUUGUCUUCUGCGGAUCACAAUAUAUAUCUGUUUCUUUAGUAGUAGUUUUUGUAUUGUAUUAUCAAGCUUUUUGUGGACCUUAUCUAAUGGCCAGAACUAGUCUCUAGAAGCAAAUGUUAAGAUCUAUGCAUCUGAUACCAUGACUAAUUAUUGCUAAUCGCUAAGGCUUGGGGCGUGUAAACCAUCUCUGCUCUGUUGGCUAUAGGACUUAUGCUAUACAUUGCAUCCGAGUUAAAACCAAGAAUAAAGAUGUUGUGUGGCUUGAAGACUCGUUUUUCUUUUUGUGUAGAGCUCCUUGAAUGUUGUUUCACCAUGAUUUUUUGCAUGCUCUUUAGCAUAUUUACUUCAUUUUUUAAUUUACUUAUGAAUUUUUUAAGUUACGGGUGGAACCGCUGUGUGGCUCAGCUACAAAGCCCUGGCCUGCACGCUCGACACCAAUGGCAUCUUUUGCUACCUUAAAUGUCACCAAUAUACUUUGUAAGAAGCAGUUGUCGAACAAAGUAUGACAAAAAGCAUUUAGAUCACUCCUUUAGUUAUCUUUAUGGAGGGAGUACUAAAGAUAAGCACUUGUUUUCCCAUGAGGUUUGCAAGCACCUAAGUUUCCUCCUGUACGACAUCCAUAUAUUUGCUUCCGGUUCAUAUGGAUUUUUAUGUUCCUCAGUUGUGUGAAUGUAUGUAUAGAGGCAUCCGGUGCAUAUGGAGCUUUUUGUGUUCCCCAGUUGUGUGAAUGUUUGUAUAGAGACAUUAUGGCUCAAUUUAAAACCCACAAUGUGAAUCAUGUCGAACCAAUCACUACUACUACCAUGAUACAGGACAUAUACUACACGGUGAGUAUAUCUCGAUAUAACUGAAAAGGUGCUUGAUUUUUCUUGGAGGACAUAUACCAUCGAUUGGAUUUUGUUCAGUAUGUUUGAUUAUGGUUAACUGAGUAAAAAAUGCACUCCAAAACUCAAUCCUGGCUGAUGAGAAGGGCUGCCAAGCACAACCAUAUAAAAUAAACAAGAUACAAUGAAAUACGACUGAAAAUAUUACUCGGGAGAUACAGCAAAAUAGUAGGCUAUUUAAAAGCAUCUUGUUACAUUAGAAACUUAGCACACGUUCAGGAAGUUCGGGUAGAUAACUUAUAAAUUCUGCCAAACACAUAGACGAUGCGACAGACCCAGCUAGAACUGCAGCAGCUGUUCCUUCGCCUAGAGAAAGCAAAAUCAUCAAUCCAUCAAUAACCUGAUUGGAUACCAAUACGUAGCCUCCAACUUAUUCAUGUUUAUAACAACAAAAUUGACUACUAAUGUAUAGCUGGACAAAGCAAAAUCGUCAAUCUUCUCGUUUUCAACUUGUAGGGCCAUUAUGGCUGAUGUUUAUAACAACAAAAUGCACUACUAAUUCAAUGAUUUUGCAAAAGCUAAACCAAGGAGAACACUAUGAAUGCCCAUAUAGGUACACAUCAUUUUAACAUCCACAUGAUAUUCAACGUUUGGAUAUCAUUUGCAACAAAAAGAGUCAUUUUAUCUCGGCAUUACCGUCAUUUUAAUUGUUGUGUAUGUUAUUUACAUGCGUGAAUCUCUACAGCCAAAUUGACGAUAUUUUGAGAGUGCAUUUUACCCAUGUUGGCAGCCACAUAUUUCCAUAGAGAAAAAGACAUAAUUCUCCAUAUCUCUUAAGCUAUAUUCAGAAGAUGUUCUUACAUGCUGAACCAUUUCAGCACAUUAGCAAUCAUCCAAUGUGUUGUGCAGCGUUUUCAGCUCCAUUAGAUCCAUCAGCAAUGGCUGUGCCUAUUUAAGAAGGUAAACAAAAGUUGUUAUCAUUGACUAAAAAAUCCAAAAUUAAAACAGUUAAACAGAAAAGAAGUACCGGAUAAAAGAAUACAACUAGUUUGAGAUUGCACACAUGCCAACUAAGUGGCAUUUGAUUUUGCAUUUUUUACUCAUUUGACAUUUGAUAUGGAUCUUCCAAGAAUAAAUACAACUAGUGAUGACAUAUAAAAGUAAAAAUAAAGCCAUGAGUAAAUUUUGUCCAUCUAUCAAAGGGACGAUUGUUGAUUAAGCUUAACUUGUUAGUGACUUAAGAGGCAC
rnacentral:lncRNA from 1 species